rnacentral:lncRNA from 1 species
UCAAACAUAAAAAUGGGGAAUACUGAAACCUUGUUUUAUUAUUCAAUAUAUACACUGCGCAAAAGGCUACCCAAUUUUUGAAGGAAAGAGUUACACAUUAGGGAAAGAAGUAAACAAGUUGGUGAGGCGUUGAAUACUACUCGGUAGUGACCUCAACUCCUCACAGAACCAAAUCCCUAAUUUUUGAAGAGAAGUCAUGUCUCCCAGCCAGUCAGGCAAUGAAGUAGACGUGCAAUAGGUUAUAUCCAAAGUUUGUAGAGAGGGGAUACUUUGUAAACCAUUUGGUAAUGUGGAGAAAUGGUCGAUUUCGAAAGUCCGAAGGGCAGUUAGUUGGAUCAUAUUACUUGACAAGAAGAGAUACUCAAAAUCUCCAAACAUGUCAGAUAUCGCACACCUUCGGAUAAUGAUUUUAAGUUCUCACAGUUGGAAAUACUCAAACUUUUAAGAGAUCUCAGACCUAGAUUAUACCAAUGUUCAAUGCGUAGUUUCUGGAGUGCACCCAACCCGCUGAGUUGGUCGGGUAAUACCACCACUCCUUCAAUCUCCAAGAUCUUUAGACAAGGCAUAUUCUCUACAACCCCUUCCAUCAAGGAAGCCGCUUCGUCAAUUCAUCCAGCAUAAAGUUUCUCAACAGAAGGAAGACGUGGGAAUUUAAGGUUGGAGACGUCAUAAAUAGUUAAUUCAGAAAGACAAGGGAGCAUCUCUACUCCUUCUUCCCUCAACAUCCUCUCCAAUUUUGGUAAAUUCUUCACCCACAAAUACUCCAACGUUGGAAAUGCCUUCUCCUCUACACCAUCAUACCUCUCACCAUCUAUACACUUCACAUUUUUUAUUCCUAGCACAUAUAGCCUUUUCAAGUGUGGUAGUUUACCAAGUGGAGGAAGCUCCUCACAGUUGUCACAGCCCCAGAGUGUAACUUCCACCAAGUCUCUCAGAACUGCAUCAUUUCUCAUCCAAUUGGAUAAUUGUCUACCCUUAUAUCUUCUCAUCAUAAAACUCUUCAGAGUUGAGGGAGGUUGCAGGGCUUCCAGUACUCUCUCAACGUUAACAUUACUACCUUUUGAAUUAGCUAGCACUACCACCCCAUGACAAGUCUAGGAUAUUCAAGUCCUUCUUACCAAUCAAAUUUGCUUGUUUAGCAUCCCAUUCAUUGGGGACGUUCUCAAGGCCUUUGAUUCUCAGCUUGCCUCCAAGCUUUAAGCUAUGCAACUCUGCUAACCCACACCCUGCCUUUGAUCCCACAACGUAAGUGCUCAGUGUUCUUAGAUGCCUUAACUUGCCAAUAUUCUGAGGCAUCUCAUUUACACCACAGUUAUCAAUCACAAUAUGUCUUAGAUCCUGUAAUAUCGUCAAUUCUUUGGGCAUCCUAAGUUGGCUCAUAUUUUGUAGUUUCUAUAUUUGCAAUUUGGGCAAUUGACAAAUUAAGUUAUUUAAGCUUGAUCCCGAACCAAGAUUCAAACUCAAGUAUCUCAAAUGUGCUAAAUCCUUAAGCGGAGACGACAGAGAAGACCUUGUGCAUAAUACUCGGAGACAAUGGGUUGAUGGCAAACUAUUACCAAAACUCAGAAAAGUCCGCAGGGAUUCAACUUUCUUGAAAGCAACCAUAUUGACAGAAACAUCAUGAUUUAACAAGUGCAAAUGGUGAACUCUAGUUGGCAACUGAGUCAACCUUCCUUUCUCAACAAUCACACAUUCUUCAUCCAUAAUAGACUGGGCAAGAUCAUGAAAUAGAUCAUGCAUCUUGCAACUUCUAAUCAUACCAAACUCAUCAGACUUUGCUUCUUGAAAAAAUGAUCUACGUUAUAAUUUGUUCCACACUUUAUUUCCAACAUCCUCCACUUCUACGUUUCCUUCAGAUUUAAUAAAUCCAUUAGCCAUCCAGAGAUGAAUUAGAUCCUCCUUAUCUAUUUCAAAAUCUUUGGGGAAAAUUGCACAAAAAGAAAAGCAUCUCCUCAAAGACAACUCCAAAUUAGAAUAGCUCAAUUUCAAAGUACGUAUGAUAGAAUUUUCUUCUCGUGUCAUAGAACUACUUUCCUCUCGUAUAUUCCAAAUCUCAUUUUCUUUUACAUUUUCCCACUGGCUUACCUCACUUUUAUCACGCAAAAGACUUCCCAGUGUUUUGAUUGCAAGUGGCGAACCAACGCAUCUUCUCACUAUCUCUCUGCCAAUUGCCACAAGCUCUUCUAUUUCUUCUCUGUUUUGUCCAAAUGCAUGGUGUUUGAACAAUGACCAACUGUCGUCUCCUGACAAUCCUGUCAAAUGGUAAGCAGAAUGCGUCUCCAUGGUGGAAGCAACUUCCUGGAGUCGAGUGGUGACCAAAAUGGUAGCUCCUUUUGCUGCCCUUGCACAGUGCAACUUCCCCUUCAACUGCUUCCAUUUCUCUUUGUCUUCAUUCCACACAUCAUCAAGAACAAGUAAAUACCUCUUGCUCUGCAAUACUUCUUCAACUUUUUUACGGACUGCUUCUAAGGUAUUGAGAUUGGGAUUUUGUCCAGUGCAACAUUCUAUGAUGGAUUGUAGUAUGGUCUUGGAGUUGAAAUCAUCAGAAACACAAACCCAAAUUGUCAAGUCAAAAUGGUUGCAUACCCUGUGAUCAUUGAAGACCAGCUUGGCAAGUGUUGUUUUGCCAAGUCCACCCAUACCAACUAUGGGAUAGACGGAGAGGUCUUCACUGUUACUGGCAUCUUCCAGAAGAAACUUCACAAUUUGCUCUCGAUCCUGGUCUCUGCCAUAGAGUGUAGGUUCUGUAAUGUCAGAGCUAGUUUGGCGCCAAUCAUCGUCCACUGUUUGCACCUCCGUGACCCCAAGUUCUAAAUGAAACCUGCUCUUUUCUUGAUGAAUGUCUUGAAAUCUUUGGGUGAUGUGUUUCAUCCUCUUGCCAAUAUUGAAACGAAAGAGAAUGUCCUUAGGAUGGAGAGGGGAUAGGCAUGAAGUAUGUCCAUCAUCAGAGUGGACCUUUGUGGAGUGAAUUGAACAUUCAUCCAAGAUAUCAUCUAGCACAUAUGCUGCAUCUGUGAGUUUAUGCAGCCAAUUCUUCAGGACCUCACUUGUUAUUUGCUUUUUCUCAGCAUCUCUGAGGACAGCACGGAUUGCAGUGAGAUUGGUGGAAAGGUUUUGAGUCUGUUGGUCAACACCCCAAAACGUUGCAAGUUGGUCUUGGACAAAAGAUUGCAAGUUGUGAAUUACAAUUCCCAGCAAAGCCUCAGCCAUUUGCAGAAAUGUGAUUUUUUUGGAUGAUUGUGGUUGUGGAGAAGGAAGUACGGGGAAAAGUGCUAACAGUGAUUGGAAGGUGAUCUUAGAAAAUGAUCAAUUGGCAAGAAAAAGUUGUUGUUUUCUUCCUUGGCAAGUGGCCCCUCUUUACUUUUGUUGACGAAGAGUGUUGAUAGUAUUGAAUUUCUUCAUGAACAGCAUAAGGAACUUCCAGAAAGAAGGAGAUGAAUCAGAGGCAUAACAUUGUGCGAGUGAGAGACACGUGUUAAGAAAGAAAUAUUUUUUGUAUAUUAUUGAAAAAGAACGUUGCAGCUUUACAUCAUAUAUUGGCAUGGUGUAUAUUCAGAACACCAAGCUUGGUAACAAGUUUAUGAAAAACUGCAUAGUUGAGAGACUUUGUAAGAAUGUCUGCUGGUUGUUCUUGAGAGCUUAUGGGAAGAAGGUGAAAAAGCCCAUGUUGUAAUUUCUCUCUUACUACAUGGCAGUCAAUAUCCAGAUGUUUGGUUCUCUCAUGAAAUCCGUUGUUGUGAGCUAUAUGCCUUGCCGACUGGCUGUCACAAAAGAGGCUUGCAGCAUUGUUGACUUUGAUGCAGAGAUCUUCGAGAAGGUAUACAAGCCAUUGUAUUUCACAACAUGUGGUGGCUAAAGCACGAUAUUCAGCUUCAGAGGAUGAUCUAGAAAUGGUACUUCGCUUCUUGGUUUUCCAGGAUAUCAAGGAGUCUCCAAGGAAGAUGCAAAAACCAGUGGUUGAGCGGCGUGUGGUGAUACAAGAAGCCCAGUCUGAGUCACUAAAAGCUUUAAGUUGAAUGUCAGUACUUUUAGGAAAGAAUAUACCUUGUGCUGGAGAGGACUUGAUGUAUCUCAAAAUUCUCUGAACAGCUUGGUGAUGAAGCUUUGAUGGAGCCUGGACAAACUGACUGAGGAAUUGAACAGAGAAGCUAAUAUCUGGUCUGGUGUUCACAAGAUAUAAUAACCUUCCAAUGAUUCUUCGGUAUAGAGUUAUGUUGUGNNNNNNNNNNNNNNNNNNNNNNNNNNNNNNNNNNNNNNNNNNNNNNNNNNNNNNNNNNNNNNNNNNNNNNNNNNNNNNNNNNNNNNNNNNNNNNNNNNNNUCGUUCUUCUGUGUCAUAGGAGUGUUUGCAGGUUUAGCACCAAGCAUACCUGCAUCAGUCAAAAUAUCGAGAGCAUACUUUCUUUGGCAUAUAUGUAUACCUUUAUGUGUUCUAGCAAUUUCCAGACCCAAGAAAAACUUGAGAUGCCCCAAAUCUUUUAUUUUGAAAGCAGAAUUUAAAGAAUUUUUUACAAUAUCUAUGUCUUUUAUAUCAUUUCCAGCAAUCAAUAUAUCAUCCACAUAUAUAAGUAAAGCAAUAAAUGAAGUCUCAGAUUUUCUGAUGAAAAGGGAAUUAUCAGCUCUGGAUUGAACAAAAUUGAUGUUGUAAAGAAAGGAACUUAACUUAUCAUACCAUUGUUUGCUGGCCUGUUUCAGACCAUACAAAGCUUUGGUUAACUUGCAAACCUGAUUACUUUUCACUGUGGUGAUACCAGGAGGCAAGCUCAUGUAAACUUCUUCUUGUAGAUCUCCAUGCAAGAAAGCAUUGUUCACAUCCAGCUGUUCCAAGUGCCAAUCCAUAACAGCAGCUACAGCCAAGAUGGUGCGUAUAGUUGUGAGUCUUGCUACAGGUGAGUAGGUGUCCAUGUAGUCAAUGCCUUCACGUUGUGUGUAGCCUUUUGCUACAAGUCUUGCUUUGUACCGUUCAAUUUCACCAUCUGCCUUGUGUUUGACUUUAUACACCCAUUUGCAGCCAAUGGGAAUCUUGUUGUGAGGAAGAUCUAUUAUAUCCCAGGUUUUAUUUACUUCUAGUGCCUCUAUUUAAGCUCUCAUAGCCUCCAUCCAUUCAGGGUAGCAUUUUGCCUCCUCAUAACAUUUUGGUUCAGUUUUAAAGGAGAUAGACAAGGUAUAUUUUAGUUGUUUUUCAGAUAAACUUUUAUAGGACAUAACCGAAUAAAGAGGAUAACGUACCUUUUCUUUCAAUUUUUCUUCACAUGGUGAUAUCAUGAGCUGAUGAUGAUAGUCUUCAAGAAAUGUUGGUGUUCUCCUGGUUCUGGUGGACCGCCUCAAUUGUUCUUGUUCUAUGGAAUUUCCAGCUUCAUUUUGUGUAGAGAGAUCACCAUGCAUCAUGUUUUCCCUUUGUGCAGUUCGGUUUUCUGUCUCCCUUUGUACAUGAGCAUCAUCAUAUGUUAUUCUUGUGAAGUCAUCUUCUUCUUGUAUGACAGCUUGAUCAAUUCUAUUUUGAAACUUGCCAAAAAAAGAUUCAUAGAAAAUAACAUUCCUAGAUAUAAAAACUUCUCUAGUUUGAAUAUCCAUAACAACAUAACCCUUUGUACCUUGUUUAAAACCAAGAAAAAUACACUUACGUGCCCUAGGGUCAAGCUUAUGUCUAUUUUGUUCAAGAGUAGAUGCAAAGCAAAGACAACCAAAGACUUUAAUAUCAGAAAGACAAGGUGCAAUAUUAUAUAAGAGUUCAUAAGGAGAUUUGUUAUGAAUAACAGGGGAAGGAAGGCGAUUAAUCAGAAAAACAGAAUGCAAAACAACAUAACACCAAAAGACUUUGGGUAAUCUGGACUGAAAAAUAAGGCAUCGAGUGAUAUUAAGAAUAUGUUGGUGUUUCCUCUCAACAAUAGAGUUUUGUUGAGGGGUUUCAUUACAAGAGGUUUGAUGAAUUAUGCCAUGCCUUUCAUAAAAAUCUUUCCAAUAGAACUCUUUACCGUUGUCAGUUCUAAUAAUUUUUACAUUCCUGUUGAACUGAUUUUUAACAUAAACAACAAAACUUUGUAAAAGCUCUCUAGUUUCGCUUUUAUUUUUCACCAGAUGAACCCAUGUAUGUCUGCUAAAAUCAUCCACAAUGGUUAAAAAAUAUUUAUGACCAUGCAAAGAAGGAGUACCUAGAGGUCCCCAUAUGUCUAUGUGAAUGAGAUCAAAAACAUUUUGACUAUUUGUUUUGCUAAGAGGGAAAGACAAUUUAUGUUGUUUUGCAAGAUGACAAGGAGCACAAACAUUCUUAUCAUUGUAAUGUAUAUCAGAAUAUUGCUUAGCUAAACAAUCUAAUAUUCUAUUUGAGGGAUGACCCAUCCUACAAUGCCAAACAUCCAGAUUAUUUACAGUAUCAAAAGAAUCAACAUGUAAAGUGUACACAGAGUUGUUUUCUUCAUCAGCAUACAAAUGAUAGAGCCCAUUUUGAAUCUCAGCUUGACCAAUCAUCUUCAAGGAAUUUUUCUCCUGAAUUUGACAAAUAUUGUGAGUAAAAACAAGUUGACAAUUUAAAGAAGAUAUAAGGCGUUGAACAGAUAUGAUAUUUAGGGUAAAAUUUGGAAUAUACAGAACAUUAUGCAGAGUAAUGUUUUUGGAAAGAAAAACAGUUCCAGCAUGAGUAGCAUACACAUAUUGAUUGUUAGGUAGCUUGACCCUUAAUGAUUUUAUUUUGUGAUAGCUUAUAAAUAGGGAAAUAGAGCAAGCUACGUGAUCAGUAGCACCCGUGUCAAGAAUCCAGAAAGACUUACCCUUUUUACCUGGAUUUUGUUUUGAAGUUUCACCCAUGGCAUUGAUUACGGUUUGUUCGUUGCCUUUUGAAUUUUGUAUCAUGUCAAUGAGCUGUUGCAGUUGCUCAGGAUUGAGGACUUCAAAGAUUUUCUCAUUAUGAAUCUUAGCUUGUGAAAACUCUUCAUUCUCACCAUUACAAUCCUCGUUUCUUUCAAUAGCAUUUGCAGUGUAGUUCGUUCUCUGCUUCAUCCAUGGUGGAAGACCGUGUUUCGAAUAACAUUCAUCAGCGGUGUGGUUCAUCUUGUUACAGAAAGAGCAUUGCUUCCCAUAGUUCUUUCCUCUUCCUCUUCCUUGGUUGCGCCAUCCAUGAUUAACCUUGUUGUUCGUUCUUUGACUCUGAUGAUUGACGCUAUUGAGCAAGAUCUUUGUAUCUAUGCCUAUAUUUUCAUUCAGAUGCCUUUCCUGCUGCAGAACAAGGGAGAAGACGCGAUUGAUAUUUGGUAGAGGUUCCAUGAGUAAGACUUGCGUUUUGACAGUGUUAUAAUUUUCUCCCAAUCCUUUUAAGAAACACAUAACCCGUUCGGAGUCUCUGUAACUCGCCAUUGUCUUCAUCACAUUACAACUGCAUUUUACUUUGCAAAUACAGGUUGGUAAUGGUCGCAAAGAAUCCAGUUCCUCCCACAAAAUCUUUGAGUCUGUGAAGUAAUCUGUGAUGUUCCGCUCUCCUUGUUUGAUAGAAUUGAUUUCUUGUAAGAGAUCAGAAGCGCGAAAAUGAUUGCUUUUUGAGAAUCGUUCUUUAAGGUCUUCCCACAACUCCUUUGCAUUGUCAAUAUACACGGUGCUUUGUGCUAUCUGAGUAGUCAGCGUGCGUGUGAUCCAUGAAACCACCAUGACGUUGCAUCUUUCCCGGGCUUCGUAUUUUUCGUCAUCACGGGUUGGUUCCAAGAUAUCACCAUUAACGAAUUUGAACUUGUUCUUUGAGAGUAGGGCUCGUUUCAUAGACCGGCUCCAGGAGUGAUAAUUGGAUCCGUCAAGUUGUGGCGUAACAAGAAUCACACCUGGGUUUUCUCCUGGAUGAAGAUAAUAUGCACUGAUAGGGUUUUGUUGAUCAUCUUGUUUGGUCGCAGCCAUGGAAAGGAACAAGGAAAAUCAAGAAGCAAAGAAAGAGAAAUUAAAGGGAUGAAAGGGAAGAAGAAAACCGGUGGCAGCAUAAGGAACUUCCAGAAAGAAGGAGAUGAAUCAGAGGCAUAACAUUGUGAGUGAGAGACACGUGUUAAGAAAGAAAUAUUUUUUUGUAUAUUAUUGAAAAAGAACGUUGCAGCUUUACAUCAUAUAUUGGCAUGGUGUGUGAAAAGAAAAAGGAUUAUUGGGCUGAACUAAAGCUAACUAAACCUUAGGCCCAACAAACCCAAAACAUCAAAAGAUAGAAUGAGUGAACAACUCAAAGCAACCAUAGAAUUGCAUAGCAACUUCCCUCUCUUCCUUCCACUGUUUCCACUUACUUUCUCUUUCAUUUGCCAUCAAAUUUCCCAACUCUUUCCACAACAUGUUUAUCUCUUUCCUCGAAAAUAUUUCAUAAAAUAAAAAUACAGAAUUAUUUAUAUGUUCUUAAAAUUAGGGGAAAAUAGUUUUUCAAAUUAUGUAUAAGUUUUGUUAUCUUUAUUCGUAUCAGCAUAUAAAACAUAUGAUACAAUUAUUGUUCAACUGUAUUAUAUUCAGAGAAUAUUUCUCACUAAUUUUCACCUAAACAUAUAUUACUUUCUAAAACCCAUAUAAAUUAAAAAUUUAUCUGAAAAAAUAUAAUAUAUAUUAAUAAUUUAUUUUAAAUUUUAUACAAAUAUUUUUUUCUAUUUAUAUAUAAAGUCUGAACAUUGAAAAUAAUUAAAACAUUUUUAAAAAUUAUUAUGAUUAAAUAAAAUAAAUAAAAAAAUAUAAUUAAGAAAUUAAUUAAUUAAUUAAAAAAAUAUAAUAUUUAAUUAUUAAAAAAUAAUUGUCUAAAAGAACUAUCUAAUGGAUAUGAAGUAAUAAACUAAAUAAAUAAAUAAAAUAUAAAAGAUAAUAAGGAAUGUUUUCAUUUAAUGAAAGUUAUCAUGAUUUUUAUAAAAUAAAAUUUUGAUUUAUAAAUAGGUGGAGUGGAAGAGAAGGUGAAGGAAAGACAAGGAGAAGUUAGGAGAGAGAGAAGGGAUAGGGAGAAAAAAAAGAGAAAGGAGAUUUGGAGGAAGUAAUUUUAAAUCUUCACAUUUGAAGUUUGAUUUUAUUUUGUCACUCCAAUAAGGAAUUAAUGUUAAACUUUUUUAUUUUAAUAUUAAUAAACUUUUUUUUAAAUUAUUUAUUUAUCUUUAAUUACAUAUUAAUUUUAUUUAUAUGUUUUAAUUAUCACCUGUUAGACACGUCUUAAAUUUUUUAUUUAUCUCUCGUUCUAUUUAUUUAUUUAUUUUAUUUAUCUUAUGUUACACAUUAGUUUUAUUUUAUUUAUUUCUAAUUAUUUAAUAGUCAUAUUUAUUUAUUUUAUUUAUAUUUAAUUACGUAUUAAUACUAUUUAUUAAUUUUAUCUAUCUCUAAUUACACAUUGGUUAUAUUUAUUUAUCUCAUUUAUUUUAAAUUACGCAUUAUACCUAUACCUAUUUAUUUGAUUUUACCUACCGUUCUGUAUUGGUCUUAGUUAUGAUUUUUAUAUCCAAUUAAACACUGGUUUUAUUUAUUUAUUUAUUUUAUCUAUACUUAAACAUUGAUUCUAGUUAUUUAUUUAUUUAUAUCUUCAAUUACGCAUUUAUCCUAUUUAUUUGUUUAUAUAUUUUUAUUAUUUUAUUUUUCUGUAAUAUAACUUUUUCAAUUCAAAGAUAUACAUAGUAAUAAUAAAAAUAAAUUAAAAGUAAUUAUUAUUUUUUAUUUAAUGUGUUUAGAUAAAAGAAAGUUGUUUGUAUGUUUUAUUAUUAUCUUUUAUAUUUGUUUGUAUUUGUUUGAAUGGUGCAUAUAGACUAUUGUUAAAAUAAAUAUGACAAUUUUUAACCGUCCUCAUCAUGUUAUGUGAUUCUUGAAAGUGUAAAAGAAUAUGUCAGUUGAGAACAUUGAGUUAAGAUCAUGUUAAUGUAUAAGUCUUUGUAUUUGAGAAGUCACAAUUUGGUAUAUGGUGGGAAGAAAGGUAGGAAUCAAGUGGGGUUUAAGGAAGUUACCAAGUAGGUGAAUAUAUGGAUAGUUCAGAAUAGCACCAUGAACUAUGACAUUCAUAGAGAAAACUUGGAAUUGUUCGAUCCAUGCUCAACAUCGUCAAGGUUAGGUAAUCCGUAUAUAAAGUAGAAACCUAAAAACGUUAUAUUUGUGUUGUUAUGGAACACCUUGGAUUACGUAUAAGGAUAAGAAAAAGCCUUGUUUAGUUAUAUGUCUCUGAUAACACUUGUUAACAUUUUCUUAGGCUAAUUUAUCUUCUAACAUUUGCUCUUAUUGUUUGUUUUUAGCAGAGAUUUAUGUUUUCUGUUAUAAAUAAGACUUGAAAAAUAAAUCGAAAAAUAUUAUGACUAAAAAAAAUGAUAAAAAAUUAUUUUUUAAAAAAUAAGUUAGUUAUUUAUUUAAUUACGAAAAUAUAAUAAUUAAUUACUAAAAAUAAUUAUUUAAUAAACCUUCCAAUAGAUAAGAAGGAAUAAAAAUAAAUAAAAUAUAAAGGAUAAGAUGAAAUAUAAUUAAUGAAGGAAUCUUCAUCGUGACUUUACAACAAAAAAUUAAAAUUAAAUUACUUUGUGACUUAUAAAUAAGUGGAAUGGGAGAGAAGGUGAAUGAAUGGCAGGUGAAGCAACUAGAGAAAAAAAAGAAAAAGAGAGAGAAAGGACAUUUGGCGUAAGUAAGUUUUAUUAUAUAGAGGAGAAUUGAGGUUAAACUUUUUUUAUAUUAAUCUUAAUAAAUUUAUGUGUAUUUUAUUAAUUUUAUUUAUUUAUUUUGAAUUCUAUAUUAUCAUAGUCUCUUUAUUUUAUUAUUUUUAUUAAUUUUCACUUAAUCAUUGCUCGUAUUUAUUUAUUUUCAGUGAUAUGGUACUAUUUAUUUAUUUUAUGUUAUUUAAUUAACAUUCAGUACUUAUUUUAUUUAUUUAUUUUAUUUAUCUUUACUUACAUUGUUCUAGUUAUUUUAUUUAUCUCAAUUGAUUCUACUUAUUUUAUUUAUUUAUUUUAUUUAUCUUUACUUACAUUAUUUUAGUUAUUUUAUUUAUCUUCAAUUACGUAUUGAUUUUAUUUAUUUAUCUUUAGUUAGACACUAGUUCUAUCACAAACAAGUCUAUAUUGUGCGUUAAGUUUAUUAAAAUUGAUAUUUAAGACUUAUAAAGACCUCACUCUUUCCUACUUGUUUUUAUAUAUACCUAUUGUAUGAGUAGAAACUACUUGUUUUUAUAUAUACAUAUUGUAUGAGUAGAAAGAGAACUUGUUGACUAAAAUAUGUUUAUAAAGAUUUUGGAAGUCUUCUAUAGAAGAUCGACUCAUGAAAAGUUUAGAAUAUUGAAAACAUAUAGAUUGAUCUCUAUAUUGAUGUAAAACUCUUAUUAUUCUAUAAAAUUUAUAUAAUUUUAUAAUAUAAUAAAUAAAUAUAAACAUGUAAAAUAUUGACAUACAUUAAUAUCUAGAUAUUAAUGAGAUUAUGUUAUGAUUAAUAUUCUCUAAACAAUUUUUAUUGAAGAAAUAAAAUCUACUAGUUGGAGUGUUAUAAUGAACCUAAACAAAAGGAACGACUCACUUUAAGUUUUGUUUCCGUAAAUGGAUUUGUGCCUAUGGAUAAAAAAAUAGAAAAAACAAAAAAAAAAUAAUAAUAAGAUAAAAGUUUCAUAGUAAUUUUAAUUUUUCUUUAUAUACGUAAAUGUUUUAUAUAGUAAAUAUUUUAUUAUAUUUAUAAAUAUAAUAAAAUUAAAACUAUUAACUAAUAAUAAAAUUAUAAUUUAUUAUUUAAUUAAAAUUAAUUUAUGAUGACAAAGGUAAUUUAGUCAUUAUAUAUAAAUAUUAUUUUAUUUUUCUUUGAUCUCUCGAUAUUUUUUUAUUAUAAAAAUCAAUAUGUUUUUUCCCAUCAUAUGUUUUAUGUUGAUACGAAUAAAGAAAGAAAAAUAAUAUAAAUAAUUUAUUAAACAUAAUAGUCAAUCUAAUAAACACGUUGACUCACCACUUGUGUUUACGUUGUUUUGAGCCUUUUGUUUAAGUUAAUUGAAGAGUGGGUGAGUAUAGUAAAAAAGUGGAUACAGAUUGUAAAAUGACUCACCACUUGACAUGGAAAGCAUGGAUGUGGCAUGAGAAGCAUGAACAUCCACAUGAAUCUUCCUUAAUGGAGAGAAUCCUCACUAAUUAAGAAGUGAUAUUUUUCAAUCUCUCAUUUGAGAGGAAUCUCUCAAAUAAGAGGAAGACACUUGUCAACCUCUCAUUUGAGAGGAUCAUAAGCACGAAACAUGUUAUAUCACGUGUCACCUUGCCAUUGGAGAGUUUUUAGGACAAGUCUCCUAUAAAUAGGAGUGUACCUCUAUUGUAAAGUUUAACUUGAAAUUAGUAAUGAAAUGCUACUCAUUUUUUGCCAUUCUACUUGUUCCUAAGUUCUCCAUAGGUUGGUCUCCUUCAAGACUUAGCAUAUACUCUUUCUGUUGGGUAUGAAGUCAGGACCAAUUGGGUUGGACUGAGUAGACACCAUGUUUUAGUGAGUGGGCUUAAUCAUUGUGUCCCUUUAUUAUAUCUAUUUAUCUUUAUUUAAAGAGAUCAUUGUACUUGUAAUUGGGGUGCAACAGGAUAGAAUGAAAACCUAAUAGUUGCCCGUGUGGAUGUAGGUUGCAGGUGACGACCGAACCACGUUAAAUCAUGUGUUGUUUAUUUUCUGCAGUUAAUUUGUGAUUAUGUAUGUUGCUUCCGCGUGCGCUUUUCCCAUCAAGGGGCAUUAGAGCUUAGGUUUGUUUACACACUAGAGAUCUGAUCAGCAGAAAUUAAUCAACUGAGACGUGAAAGUUACGAUUGCACCGGCAUCCAAAAGCUAGGGUUUCGCAGUGGCUAGAGCAGCAUCCCAAAACUAGGGUUUCGCAGGGGUUGCAGUAGCGUCCCAAAGUUAGGGUUUCGCAGAGGCUGCAACAGCGUUCCAAAGCUAGGGUUUCGUAGGGGCUGCAACAGCGUCCCAAGGCUUAGGGUUUCACAGCGGUGCAAGGAGGAGGCUCCUAGAUCUGCUUCACAACAGCGGUGACCAGCAACGGUGGUGGUGCGGAGCGCCAGUGUAGUGGGGACUGCGACCAAGUUUGUUGGUAAGUGAUUUUGGGUGGUGCAAUUUUUGAGGUCUUGAUUUAAAAAAAAAAUUGUCAAGAUCUGAAAUUAGUUGUACCGAGUAUCUCGACUAGUCGUUUGAGAUGGUAGAGGACGGGAAGUUCCGAAUUAAAAAUUCGAUGGUACAAAUUUCAGUUGGUGGAAAAUGCAAGAUGAGGAUUUGCGAGUUCAGUUACUGAGCACAUCAAUAUGAUCUUAGCCAGACUUACGUCAAUGGGCAUUAAGUUCGAUGAUGAAGUUCAAGCUUUACUAUUGCUAUUGUCUUUGCCUGACAGUUGGUCCGGAACGGGUACAGUAGUUACCAAUUCAGCAGGAUCCGAUGGAUUCACUUUUGAGAAGAUUCGUGAUCUCAUUCUUGGCAAGGAUGUCCGAAGAAGGAGUUCUGGGGAAUUAUCUAGUGAAUCGCUAUAUGUCAUUGGAGGUAAGAAUAAUACCAAAGAUAGUGGGAGCAAGAACAAAAGAAGGAGUCAGUCAAAGACUCGGGAUUGCUCAAGUGUAACAUGUUGGAACUGGAAGGAGGUGGGGGCAUUUCAGGAAUCAAUGCCCAAAUGAUAAACAAGUCAACAUUGCAGAAGACUCCGCGGACGAGGACCUUUUAGUCUGUUGCGCGGAUAGUAGUGUGGAUUCCUGGGUCAUGGAUUCUGAAGCAUUGCAGAAUCUAGUUAUUGGAGACUUUGGAAAGGUAAGACUAGCGGACAACAUAACUUUUGAUGUUACGGGCAUGGGUGACAUAGUGUUGAAGACACCAGUUGGUUUCUGGACUUUGAAGAAUGUCAGAGUUGUUCCAAGCUUGAGGAAAAGUUUGAUUUCUGUUAGGCAGUUGGACGGACAUGGACAUGAAGUGAAGUUCGGAAAUCAGCAGUGGAAGGUCGUCAAGGGAAAUCUUGUCAUGACCUGCAGAAGAAAGAGAGGUUCGUUGUAUAGAGCCAGAUUAUCGUGUCUGAGGGAGUGACCAUCCCAGUUCAGAAGAUAAACAAAGUCCGGUUCACAGAAUCUCAUGGGCAGAAGAGGGUUGUCUUUACAAGAGAGAAACCCAGAGCCACAGGUCAGAUUCAGGAUGAACGAGCAUGGAAAGGUUCAGGUAGACCGGUCAGAGGUACUUGUGGCAGUGGGAGCAUGGGUUGUGCUUCAGCUAAGGUUCCUAGACGAUAGUGGGUUAGGAGAACCAGUAUUCCAACGGUUGAAACUUCUCCAGAAAAUUUCUUGUUGAAUAUGGAGAGUGUUUGUUCUCAAGUUGUUCCAGGAUCCGGCGUUCCUGUAAGUGGGAGUCGGUAGGAAUAGAGAACGGGUCAGUGAAUGACGUGUUGAAACUCAGGGGAGUUUUAACGAACUCUUCAAAAUGAUUAAGAAGGCUGGUGGCAACUAGAGGUGGAACAUUGAGUUCCGUCGACAGAUUACAGAAGUACAUGUACACAGUUGAAACGCAGUUGAACAUUGUUCCGUGAAUUCAAGUGGGAGAUUGUUGGGUAUGAAGUCAAGACCAAUUGGGUUGGGCUGACAAGACACCAUGUACACAGUUGAAGCGCAGGUGAACAUUGUUCCGUGACUUCAAGUGGGAGAUUGUUGGGUAUGAAGUCAGGACCAAUUGGGUUGGACUGAGUAGACACCAUGUUUUAGUGAGUGGGCUUAAUCAUUGUGUCCCUUUAUUAUAUCUAUUUAUCUUUAUUUAAAGAGAUCAUUGUACUUGUAAUUGGGGUGCAACAGGAUAGAAUGAAAACCUAAUAGUUGUCCGUGUGGAUGUAGGUUGUAGUUGGCGACCGAACCACGUUAAAUCAUGUGUUGUUUAUUUUCUGCAGUUGAUUUGUGAUUAUGUGUGUUGUUUCCGCGUGCGUUUUUCCCAUCACUUUCCUGGUGAGUUUGUCUCACCUCUCACUUUCACAAAUUUCUAACUCCAUUUCAAUCCAUGAAAAUUUGUCUUGAGUUUCUUUAAUGCUUUCACUCCUCAAAUAUUCUUUAUCAUUCAUCCAAAAAAGAAAUUACAAAGAUCACUAUUAGAAAAAUAACGUUUUUCCAUCAGAAUCUAUGAAGAAGAAAUGAUAAACAAACAUGAAAAAGGUCUUAAGAUAAAAAUGUUGUAUAGAAAUAGUAAUAGACUAAUAUUUGUUUGUAAUUAUCAAAAUUAAAUUAAAAGUUUUUAACUUAAAUUUAACAAAUUACUUAUUAUAAGCUUACAAUUUAAAAUUUCAUUAUAGUUUUAAUUUAAAUUUUUUAAAGUGGACAAGUAAAUAAAUUAAUCGAUUUUGUCUUGUUAGUGACCCACUAUGUUAGCGAGCUAAAUGGAACAAGUCAUGACAGGUUAAUAAGUGGAACCACUUAGUUUGAUCCAAUACGUUCAAUCCACUUUCUCACCUCUACUUACAAAAUCAUCAUCUUUAUGAUAACAAACGUCACAACUUUUAUGUUUGUAACACCUCAGCUAUAUUAUAGAUAUAAUUGUUAUUUAAUUAUAAAUUGAGAGUAGAUUUUUUUUAUUUUUAUUUUUUUGCAAUAAGAUUUUCUUAAAGAAAACAUUAAUCAUAAUAUAAUCUCAUAGAUAUAAAUGUAUGUCAAUAUUUUACAUUUUUAUAAUUAUUCAUAGUAUAUUACAAAACCAUAUAUGUUUCACACAAUAAUAAGAGUUCUACAUCAUAAAAUAAAACUAUUUGUAUAUUUAAAUACUUUAAAUUCUUCAUGAGAUUCUAGAGGAUACCUCCUAAAACAUUUCUUAAUAAUUCUUACUGAGCAGGUUUGUUUUGCUUAUAUUCGUAUAACAAAUCCAUAUCAGAAAAUAUUACAAAAUAGAACAGAGAUGAACAAAAGGGGAACAGAGAUGAACAAAAGAGUAAACUGAAGACAAAGGAUAUGAGAAUGAAUAUCUCUUCUUUCUUAUUAUUCAAAUGAAAAAAUGGUCUGAAUAUAUACAAGUAGUACACUCAUUUUAGGGUUUAACUAAAGAAGGAAAUAAUCAAUAUUAAAUACUAGAAUCAUAACACACAAAGAUAAAAAAAUAAAGGUUAUUCUCUUCUAUAAAGAGAAAUAACUGAUAAUUAGAAAAGACACUCAAUUAUUCUUUUUCUAUAAAGAGAAACAACUGAUAAUUAGAAAAGACUCCCAUAGAACAGAGAUGAACAAAAGAGUAAACUGAAGACAAAGGAUAUGAGAAUGAAUAUCUCUUCUUUCUUAUUUUUCAAAUCAAAAAAUGGUCUGAAUAUAUACAAGCAGUACACUCAUUUUAGGGUUUAACUAAAGAAGGAAAUAAUCAAUAUUAAAUACUAGAAUCAUAACACACAAAGAUAAAAUAAAGGUUAUUCUCUUCUAUAAAGAGAAAUAACUGAUAAUUAGAAAAGACACUCAAUUAUUCUUUUCUAUAAAGAGAAACAACUGAUAAUUAGAAAAGACUCCCAAUUAAUAUUAGGAUCCUUCUGUAAAUCUGGUAUCUGUAUCCUUUAAUAUCCCGCCACAAGAUGGAGAGCAAAUAUUGAUGAGACCCAGCUUGGAACAAAUAUUCUUAAAAGAUUGAGGACUUAAAGCUUUGGUAUAAAUAUCAGCCAGUUGCUCUGUGGUGGAUAUGGGAAUCAAAUGGAUGAGACCCUUCUUUAAUUUUUCUCUGACCACGUGACAAUCUAUUUCUAUAUGUUUUGUACGCUUGUGAAAUACUAGAUUUGCUGCAAUGUAUCUUGCUGAGUCAUUGUCACAGUAUAAAAGAGAUGGUUGCUCAAAAGGAACUUUGAAAUCUUGAAGAAGAUAAGUUAGCCAUUGAAUUUCACAUGUAACAGUGGUCAUUGCCCUAUAUGCAGCUUCACAAGAACUCUUUGAUAUUGUUCCUUACUUCUUUGAUUUCCAAGAUAUGAGACAAUUCCCAAGAUACACACUAAAACCAGUCACUGAUUGUCUUGAAUCACUGCAGGUGCCCCAAUCACUAUCACAAAAGGCUUUGAGAUGAACAGAAGUAGUGGAAGAGAAAAAUAGACCAAGACUUGGAGCCACUUUGAUAUAUCUGAGAAUUCUAAUCGCUGCAUUAUAGUGAACAAUUGUAGGCUUAGCAAGAAACUGAGAAAGUUGUUGCACAGAAAAUGUUAUGUCAGGUCGGGUAUUAGUGAGAUACAUAAGCCUUCCAAUCAAUCUUCUGUAGGCUUGAAUAUCUGUGAAAGGAAUACUUCCAGUAGAAGAGAAUUUCUCAUGAUUAUCAAUAGGAGUGGGUGCAGGUUUGCAGGCUAAAAGACCUGCAUCGGUUAAUAAUUCCAAUGCAUAUUUCCUUUGAUUUACCAUUAUUCCUGUCUUACUUCUUGCUACUUCUAGACCAAGAAAGUAUCUUAAAUUCCCAAGAUCUUUAAUCUUGAAUGUCUGAUUCAAGGCUUGUUUGAUUCGAACAAUCUCUUCUUUAUCAUUUGCUGCCAAUAUUAUAUCAUCCACAUAUACCAAUAAUGCUGUAAAAGAUCCUUCAGAAGAAUUAAUGAACAAGGAAUGAUCAUUCAUAGAUUGAGUAUAUCUCAUAGAAAGAAAAAAUGAUGACAGUUUGACAAACCAUUCUCUGCUGGCUUAUUUAAGGCCAUAUAAAGCCUUUUUUAGUUUACAAACUUUUCCUGGUGGAAUAGAAGUCAAUCCAGGAGGAGCAACCAUGUAUACAUCUUCUUUCAAAUCUCCAUGUAAAAAGGCAUUGUUUAUGUCUAAUUGUUUCAAUUCCCAAUUAUAAAUAGAAGCUAAAGAAAGAAGCAACCUUAUGGUGGUCAUCUUUGCUACUGGAGAGAAAGUAUCGAGGUAGUCAAUGCCUUCUGUUUGUGUAUAUCCCUUUGCCACUAACCUUGCUUUAUACCUUUCAAUUGUUCCAUCAGCCUUAUAUUUUAUUUUGAAUACCCAUUUGCAACCUAUGGCAGCUUUGUUCUGAGGCAAAAGAGCAGUCUCCCAAGUUUGAUUUGACUCUAAAGCAGAUAUCUCACAUUGUAUAGCUUUUCUCCAACAGUCAUGUUUCACAGCUUCAGAAUAAGUGUUUGGCUCAACAUGUGAAGAAAGAGACAUAACAAAAGAUUUGUAAGAAGGUGAUAAAUUGCUAUAAGACAAAACAGAAUUCAAAGGAUAUUUAACGCUUGAAGAUGUACUGGAAACAUUAAGAUUACAAUGAUAAUCCUUUAAAUACUCAGGUGAUUUGUUUAUUCUUGUGCUCAUUCGGACAGAUGGAUCUGAUUCAGAACUUUGUUCUAUAUCAUGAUUUUCAUUGAGGUUUUGGUCUAUAUGGGAACAAUCUUCUUCUGAAACCUCAAUUUGUGACUCACAAUUAUUAUCACUGCUAUUUUCAACAUUAUCACAAGGUGUAUUAUCACAAGAUGCAAGAAUGGCUUGUGAUGGCUGACUUAAGACAAAUUGAUCUUCAGCAAACAAAGUUUGAUCAUUAAUGUCGGGAUUGUUAGUUUCAUUGCUAGUAUCUUGAACCCUUUGGUAUGGAAAAACAUGUUCAUAAAAGACAACAUCCCUAGACACAAAAAUUUCUCUUGAUUGAAUAUUCAACAAAAUAUACCCUUUUGUCCCCCGUUGAAAACCAAUAAAAACACAUUUUGAUGCUCUUGGAUCAAAUUUUCUUCUAUUUGUUGACAAGGUGCUAGCAUAACAUAAAGAACCAAACACCUUUAAUCCAUUAAAAUUUGCAUCAGUUUUGAAAAGCAUUUCAUGAGGAGAAGAAUAGUUUAAAACAGGUGUGGGAAGCAUGUUUAUAAUAUGCGCAGCAUGUAUCACAGAAUAUGACCAAUAAAUUUUGGGUAAAUGAGAUUGUAUCAUAAGAGCUCUUGCUACAUCUAAUAAAUGACCAUGUUUCCUUUCAACUAUACUAUUUUGUUGUGGAGUAUUGACACAUGAUGUUUGAUGUAUUAUUCCUUUACUGACAAAAAAAUUAGUCAUGAAAAAUUCAGUUCCAUUAUCACUUCUUAUUAUUUUAAUUGUUGUCUCAAACUGUGUUUGAACUAAAAUAACAAAAUCUUCCAAAACCUUAACAACUUCAGAUUUUUGUUUCAAAAGAAAAAUCCAUGUGUACCUCGAAUAGUCAUCAACUAUGGUCAAAAAAUAUUUAUGACCAUGAAUUGAUGGUAUUGAGUAUGGUCCCCAAACAUCUACAUGAAUCAAAUCAAAACAUUUUUUUGAUUUAGAUGUACUAAUAGUGAUGGAAGAGGGCCAAGCACAACCUUUCAUGAAAAGCAAGAGCCAAGUCAAGAACGUCCAAGAUCAAGCUAGGAGCGUCUAAGACCAAGCUAGGAGCGUCUAGGACCAAGCUAGGAGCGUCUAGGACAAGAAGACCAAGCUAGGGGCGUCUAAGACAAGCUAGGAGCGUCUAGGACAAGAAGACUUGGAUCAAAGCUAUGAAUGGGAGAGUGGCUUACUAGCACAAAUUCCGUGAAGGCCCAACAAGUGUAGUUUAGCUUUAAUUGGGGUGUAAAUAGCAUAGCCAUNNNNNNNNNNNNNNNNNNNNNNNNNNNNNNNNNNNNNNNNNNNNNNNNNNNNNNNNNNNNNNNNNNNNNNNNNNNNNNNNNNNNNNNNNNNNNNNNNNNNNNNNNNNNNNNNNNNNNNNNNCACCCAUGUGCUCCAUGUGCCCAUGUGCCUCACAUUUACAUUUCAUUUUGCUCACAUUUCAUGUGGAAUUAGCUUAGGAUUUACGGCCUCCUUAGCCUAUAAAAGGAGAUGCCUAGCUCUUGUAUUUUCAAGAUUAAUGAGAGUAAAGUUAUGUUGCCAACAUUGUGCCAUACUUUGCUUUUGCCUAGUUUCUAGGACCUAAUCUUCAUCUUCAUCACCUACCAUAAGGCUGGCCGAACCUCCCUCUUUCCAUACACAUCAUGCACCUUCAAGAUCACCAUAGCUCCUAGGAAGAUCUUGCACAUUUCAAUCCAUAGCUUCCGCACCCUUGAUCAUGAUUCCGAGAAGAGCUCCAUGAAUUUGCCAUCAAAUAGGAAAAUAAAGUCUUUUUUGCUUUGCAAAAUGACAAACAUCACAAACAAAAGAUUUGUUAUAUUUAACAAAAGAAAAUUUAUUCUUGAUAACAUCAAUACAUUUAUUUGAAAUAUGACCUAAUCGAAAAUGCCAAAGGGUUUCUAGAUCACUAGCACUGACAUUAACAUUAUUGAUGGUGUGUGUACAUUCAAGGGGUUUAAUUUGAAAUUUAUGGUAAGAUGGGAUCCUGAGUAUAUAAAGUCUAUCUUGCGUCUUAGCGAUUCCAAUCAUCUUCAUUGUUAUUUUGUCAUGAAUGUGACAACCAUUAGAGUCAAAGGUAAGAACACAAGAUAGUUUAUCAAUCAAUUUUGCUACGGAAAGAAGAUUAAAAUUGAAGCAAGGAAUGUACAAAACAUUGUCUAUGACAUGACUUUGAUUGAGAAAAACACUUCCAGAAUAAUUGGCAAUGACUUGAUUUCUAUUUGGUAAUUUGACAUAAAUAGGAUCAAUUUGAUGAUAUGAAGUGAAAUAAGUUAAAGAUGAACAAAUGUGAUCAGUAGCACCAUUAUCAAUAAUCCAAGAACUAAAAGAAGAAAUAAAAUUAUUACCUGUUUGAUUGGAGGGAUUGGAGGGAGUAAUAGAGACUUGAUUAGAAGCAUUGCCACUGGAUUUGGUCUGUUGUAUACUGCUCAGGAGUAAAACCAAUUUGUUGAAACUCCACUUCUGACUUUGAACCUUCAUGAUUAUGCUCAUUAUUAUUGAAAUUUGUAUUAUGAAAAACUGCAUUAGUAUGACUCUGAUCAUGAUUCUGAUUUUUGAACUUGAAAUGAGGUGGAAAGCCAUGCUUUUUAUAGCAUGUAUCAAUGGUAUGCCAUGUCCUUCCACAAUGACUACAAAUUUUGGAAGUAUAUCCUCUUCCAUUGCUUCCUCUUCCGUAUCCAACACCUCUGCCAUAGGUUGUAGCAUUGUUUUUAUAACCUCCUUUGCUAGUAGCAAUCAUUGCCUUGGAUUGAUCACCAAAUAUUUGCCUCUCUUGUUGUGUAACAAGAGAGAAAACUUUAUUCAAGGAUGGCAAAGGGUCCAUCAAUAAAAUUUGAGUUCUCACAGUCGAAUAAUUAUCAUUUAGCCCCCUUAGAAAUUUGAUAAUCUGGUCUUGUGUUUUAUAUUUAGAAACAUUCACAAGAGUAUUGCAUUUAGAGGCACAUGAAGAAGCGGAUAACGGGUGGAAAAGAUCAAGUUCAUCCCAAAGAAUUUUUAAUUGAGUGAAAUAGUUUGUAACAGUCAACUCACCUUGUUUAAAAGAAGAAAUCAUCUCCUGGAUAUCAGAAAUACGAAUCAUGUCUCCUUGUGAGAACCUUUCCUUUAAAUCAUUCCAUAUGUCAAAGGCAUUGUCCAUACAGAUGAUGCUCUACACGAUGGAUUGAGAAACAACCUUGAGAAUCCACGAAACUGUUGGGAAAAACGGGUAAUUUUCCCACUAAAACAAAACCCUAACAGAGCUACCCGACCAAUAAUAUUGAAUAAAUAAAGCGGAAUAAUAAAAGAGAUAAAGAGGAAAAAAACACACCAGAAAAUUGUUAACGGAGUUCGGCCUGUUUAGCCUAAUCUCCGAGCACACCUGAAAUAGCCUGCUUUUAUUAUUAUGGGAGAAGAUAUUACAACUUGGGAUAUUUAACAGUGAAGGAUGAGCGUUUAAUUUAUAACCCUCAAACCUCCUUCCCAAACAAUGAACCCACCGAUGUGGGACUCGGGAUUAAGCCAAAAUCAACAAAUCUCCACCUUGGCUUAAUUUCAACUCUCACCUAAUACAAAUCUUCUCAAAACAUAACAAAAACAAACUUUGUAGUGCUUUAAAUUUGCGCCUCCGGGCGCCAACUUCAAAUGUGCAAGAUAUUAACCAAGUCUAAACAAUGUUCAAAUUUGGCCCUUGUAACCACCUUGGUGAGCAUAUCUACAGGAUUCUCCGUAGUAUGAAUCUUCUGGAGAACAAUCUCCUCUUCUUCGAGAAUCUCACGCACAAAGUGAUAGCGAACAUCAAUGUGCUUCGUCCGUGCAUGAAAGACUUGAUUCUUUGCUAAAUGAAUAGCACUCUGACUGUCAGAAUAUAACUCAAGUUGUUUCUGACCAACUCCCAAGUCUUUAAGCAACCCAUGAAGCCAAAUUGCUUCCUUCACAGCCUCUGUAAUCGCCAUAUACUCUGCCACUGUCGUAGACAAAGCCACCAUAGACUGCAAGGUAGACUUCCAACUAACUGGCGCUUUUGCUAAAGUAAACAAAUAGCCAGUUGUAGACCGUCGCUUAUCCAAAUCACCUGCAUAAUCAGAAUCACAAUAUCCAACUAUGCAUUGACCAAGUGAUUCAUCUUGCUCAAAUGUCAAUCCAACAUCUAAGGUAUNNNNNNNNNNNNNNNNNNNNNNNNNNNNNNNNNNNNNNNNNNNNNNNNNNNNNNNNNNNNNNNNNNNNNNNNNNNNNNNNNNNNNNNNNNNNNNNNNNNNNNNNNNNNNNNNNNNNNNNNNNNNNNNNNNNNNNNNNNNNNNNNNNNNNNNNNNNNNNNNNNNNNNNNNNNNNNNNNNNNNNNNNNNNNNNNNNNNNNNNNNNNNNNNNNNNNNNNNNNNNNNNNNNNNNNNNNNNNNNNNNNNNNNNNNNNNNNNNNNNNNNNNNNNNNNNNNNNNNNNNNNNNNNNNNNNNNNNNNNNNNNNNNNNNNNNNNNNNNNNNNNNNNNNNNNNNNNNNNNNNNNNNNNNNNNNNNNNNNNNNNNNNNNNNNNNNNNNNNNNNNNNNNNNNNNNNNNNNNNGAGCCUUUAACCUGUCAAUCUCAACUUGGCUCUUUGCUGCAAUCAGCAUAUCAUCAACAUAUAAGAGUAUGUAAAUGUAGGAACCAUCUUCAAGUUUGCGCAAAUACACACAGUGAUCAUAUUUGCUUCUCUUGUACUUCUGAUCCUUCAUGAACUUAUCAAAUCGUUUGUACCACUGUCUCGGAGAUUGUUUCAGUCCGUACAAUGAUUUGCUAAGUUUACAAACCCAAUCUUCUUUACCAUCAACCUUGUAUCCUUCUGGUUGAGUCAUAUAGAUUUCCUCCUUCAAAUCACCGUGUAGGAACGCGGUCUUUACGUCAAGUUGAGCUAGCUCCAAAUUCAACUGUGCUACCAAGGCCAACAAAAUUCGAAUGGAGGAAUGUUUAACAACUGGAGAAAAUACCUCAUUAUAAUCAAUUCUCUCCCUCUGAGCAAAGCCUUUAGCAACCAACCUUGCCUUGUAGCGAACAUCUUCUUUAUUAGGAAAUCCUUCUUUCUUUGCAAAUACCCAUUUGCACCCAAUUGCCUUCUUACCUUUUAGUAAUUGUGCCAGCUUCCACGUCUUGUUCUUCUUCAAAGACUGCAUCUCCUCUUCCAUCUCACCUGCCCAAUUACCACUCUCUGAACUCAGAAUGGCUUCUGGGUAAGUGGAUGGAAUGUCAUCAACAACUGGAAGUGCAUAAGCAACCAUAUCCAUGAAACGAGCAGGCUUCUGAAUAUCUCGUUUCUGUCUUCUAACUGCAAUUGGCGCUGAUUGCUGUUGAGAUUCUUGGGUAGGAACCUCUUCCUCAUCCGACUCUUCUUCUGCCAUAGGAGAGUCACUUGUGGUAUUUCGUGUUGGGAUCACCACUGUCGGCUCAAACUCCACCUGCUUCCGGGUACACUCCACCUAUUGUGGAGUACUAUCAGCUCCUUCUGGAUUUACCUUCUUUAACAUGGAAGAUUCAUCAAAGGUAACAUCCCUGCUGAUAAUCGUCUUCUUUGCCUCUAGACACCACAAACGGUAUCCCUUCACUCCAGGACUAAAGCCCAUGAAAAGAGCCUUCUUUGCCCGUGGAUCCAACUUUGAUUCAAUCACAUGAUAAUAUGCAAUAGAACCAAAAACAUGCAAAGAAUCAUAAUCAGUUGCAGGUUUUCCAGACCAUACCUCUAACGGGGUUUUGCCAUCUAUAACAGAUGAUGGCAAACGAUUGAUGAGAUGUUGAGCGUAUGUCACAGCCUCAGCCCAAAACUCUCUACCUAACUCAGCAUUAGACAACAUACAACGAACUUUCUCCACAAGUGUCUUGUUCAUACGCUCCGACACCCCAUUUUGCUGUGGUGUUUUUCUAACAGUGAAGUGCCGAACUAUGCCACAAUCUUGGCAUACCUUCAGGAAGGGAUCACUCUUAUAUUCUCCUCCAUUGUCUGUUCGGAGAACCUUAAUCUUCCUUCCUGUCUGGUUUUCAACUUGAGCUUUCCACUCCAGGAGAGUUUGGGUGUUUACUAUGAAGAACAAAAAUGAUGUGCUCUUCGUUGUUUUCCCAGAACACAAUGCUCACAAAAUUCAAGUUUGCAAGCCUUCGUACCUUUCAACAAUCCCUGCUUGGUAAGAAUUUGCAAGGAUUUCUCUUCAGCAUGUCCCAACCUCAUAUGCCACAACUUCGUUGCCUCAGCAUCCUUCUUAGUGCUAGAAGUUGAUGUCGCUACUGUCUCCACCACUGUACUACCUUGAUAGUAAUACAGAUUGUUCUUCCUCACGCCUUUCAACAUCAUCAGUGCUCCUGAAGUUGUUUUAAGAAUUCCAUCUCGCAUCGUCACAACUAGACCUUUAGAUUCUAAAGCCCCCAAUGAGAUGAGAUUCUUCUUCAACUUUGGCACGUACCGUACAUCCCGCAAAAUUCUGGUGGCCACCCAUCUGGAUACGAUGAUGCUGAAAGCGAGACAAUUAAAGAGAUAUCUGAUUCCACGUCACUUUUGCAUUCUGCAACAUUUGCAUCUUGUGGAGUCUUCCCUUUCUUCUGCAGUUUUGGACAGUCUUUCUUCCAGUGUCCUUUCUCAUGACAGAAAGCACACUCAUCUUUGGCAACGGCUCGACCUUUAGACUUAGACCUCCCUCUUCUCCCCUUUGUUUGGCUUUGCUGACGACCUCUUGCCACCAAUGCUUCUUCUGAUGUCGUUGAUUUGGUUUUCAUUUUAUCCUGCUUUCUCAAUUCAUGACUAUAUAAAGCAGAACAAACAGCAUCUAACGACACAUUCUCCUUCCCGUGAAGGAGCGUAGUCUCCAAAUGUUCAAAUUCAUCAGGAAGAGAUGAUAACAACAACAAAGCCAAAUCCUCAUCCUCAAACUUCACAUCUAAAUUCAACAGGUCUGCUACUAAUUGAUUAAACAUAGUGAUGUGUGCAUUCAUAGUUGUACCUUGUUGGUAGUCAAAUCGGAACAACCUUUUCUUCAUCAGGAGCUUGUUCUGACCACUUUUCUUCAGAAACUUGUCCUCCAAUGCCUUCCACAGUUUGUGUGUAGAAGUCUCGUUUUUUACAGCAUACUUCUGCUCUCUGGACAGGCAGGAUCGAAUAGUUCCGCAUGCCAACCGGUUGAUGAUGCUCCAGACUUUCUCCUCUACCUCUUCUGGUUUCUCUCCUUCAAUAGCAAUAUCAAGACCCUGCUGAAAAAGAGAGUCCAAGACCUCUCCUUGCCACAUGCCAAAAUGCCCAGUGCCAUCAAAUAUUUCCACCGCCAAUUUCAAAGUGGACUCCGGGAACCUCGACCAUGAUGACGAGGAGCCCGAAACUCUGGAUACAUCCUUCGCUUCUUCUUCUUGAUUUGCCAUUACAAACUCAAAAUAUAAUAUUCAAUAUUACAAAUAAUUUCAAACAACCCAAGGGCGAACCUUCGGCUCUUGAUACCACUUGUUGGGAAAAACGGGUAAUUUUCCCACUAAAACAAAACCCUAACAGAGCUACCCGACAAAUAAUAUUGAAUAAAUAAAGCGGAAUAAUAAAAGAGAUAAAGAGGAAAAAAACACACCAGAAAAUUGUUAACGGAGUUCGGCCUGUUUAGCCUAAUCUCCGAGCACACCUGAAAUAGCCUGCUUUUAUUAUUAUGGGAGAAGAUAUUACAACUUGGGAUAUUUAACAGUGAAGGAGGAGCGUUUAAUUUAUAACCCUCAAACCUCCUUCCCAAACAAUGAACCCACCGAUGUGGGACUCGGGAUUAAGCCAAAAUCAACAGAAACAACCAACAUAUUGGCUCUUUGCCAUGUUGGAAACAAUGAUUUGGUACGAUUGGGAGCUUCUAUAGUUCCAUCAAUGAAACCUAUUUUGUUCUUUGAAAUUAGGCUAAUUUGAAAUGAACGAGACCAAUGAUGAUAAUUUGGUCCCUCAAGAAUAAUAGGAACAAUAAGAAAGGAAGGAUUAUCUAAUGAACUAACAUGGUAAGGUGAACUAAGAUCUUGUGAGGGAUCAUCAACUUCACCCAUGAAUAAAUGUAGCAAGCAGAGCUCUGAUACCAUAUUACAAAAUAGAACAGAGAUGAACAAAAGAGUAAACCGAAGACAAAGGAUAUGAGAAUGAAUAUCUCUUCUUUCUUAUUAUUCAAAUCAAAAAAUGGUCUGAAUAUAUACAAGUAGUAUACUCAUUUUAGGGUUUAACUAAAGAAGGAAAUAAUCAAUAUUAAAUAUUAUAAUCAUAACACACAAAGAUAAAAUAAAGGUUAUUCCCUUCUAUAAAGAGAAAUAACUGAUAAUUAGAAAAGACACUCAAUUAUUAUUUUUUUAUAAAGAGAAACAACUGAUAAUUAGAAAAGACUCUCAAUUAAUAUUAGGAUCCUUCUGUAACUCUCUCUCAAUUAAUAUUAGGAUCCUUCUGUAACUCUGGUAUCCGUAUACUUUAAUAGAAAAAAAAAAAACACAGAAAGGAGUGAGGUUUGUAUAUCUUAAAUAUCAAUCUUAAUAAAUUUAACAUACAAUAAGGGUUUAUGACUAGACCUAUAACCAUAAUAAUGGGGGUCUAUGAUUUGACUUAUAACCAUAAGACUUAAUCUCACUUUAUCAUACAUAUGGAUUCAUAUUCCACUUUUGAUUAUCUACUUUGAAUAUCAAAAGUUACUUGGAAAGUGAUUAGGUAAUUGAGUAUUUCUCAUCAAAAACAUUGGUACAAUAAUAAUUAUUUUUCUCAAAAAUUAUGGCCAUCUACUAAUAAAAAAAAUAUUUCCGUCAUUCUCUAGACAAUAAGUGUCAUAAUUGAAAUCAACACUUUAUCUUAAUUUUCUCCUCAUGCAAGAACACAAUGUCAAAACAAGAUAGAAAACACCCACUAUUACAUUAUGGAGAGGCACAGCACCGUAAAGAAAAAGAGCAUUUAUGUCCAUUAUCCAAUCCAGAGCAAAACCAAAAUUAAUAUCCUAAAAUUACUUCUGCCUCUCCAUCUUCAUAUUCUUUAGGCAAGAUUCAUUAUUGUGGAACACUUAUAAAAAAUAGAUAAUAUAAACCCUAAAUAAAAGUAAAUAAUAUUAUUCAUAUCACCUUCAUUAUUUCUCCUAUCUAAUUGACUUAAUUAUUUAACAAAAAAUUUAUAAAGAAAUACUUACAAUUUUUUGGAUUGUCUAACAUAGAAAAACGCUAGUCAAUAAUGAAAAAACUGUAAACAUAGAUAAAAGGUAAGCAGAAUUUACAUAUUUCGACUAAAGCUCAGUUUAUGUUCACAGUUAUAAAUCUAUAUUAAGAAUGAAAAUAAAAUUACAAUACAAAAUUUAUCUCAAAGUAAACUCUUACUCUAACUUAAAAAGAUAACUUUUUUUACAAGGUCAUAUUUAUAUAAGUGAAACUGCUUAACCAACUUUAAAAAUGGAACACACAAAUAAUUGUUAAGUCAUAUACACAAUGAUUAAUGAGAAGUUUGGAUUAAGACUAUUACAAAGUGGACUUUAAGUCUAACUCAACAGUUCGUGCGUGGGAUAAACAUAUUAUGGGUGGUCCGAUAACGGGUGGCACGAUAAGCCUAACAAACACUUGCUAGGAUAAGAUUGAAAUGACUCUGAUACCAUAUUAUGAAAUAGAACAGAGAUGACUAAAAGAGUAAAAGGAAGGUAAAGGAUAUGAGAAUGAAUAUCUCAUUUUCUUGUUAUUCAAAUAAAAACAAAUGGUCUGAAUAUAUACCAAGUAGUACACACUCAUUCUAGGUUUAACUAAAGAGGGAAAAAAUCAAUAAUUAAAUACUAGAAUCAUAACACACAAAGACAAAAUAAAGGUUAUUCAUAUCUAUAAAGAGAAACAACUGAUAAUUAGAAAAGACACCAAAUUAUUCUCUUCCAUAUUACAAAGUGGACUUUAAGCCUAACUCAACCCCAUAAAACCAGCUCAUAAGGUUGAGGUUUGCACCCACUUAUAUACAAUGAAAUGUUCUCAUCUCUAGUCGAUGUGAGAUCUCCAACAAAGGCAAAAAAUCUUGAAUCACUAAACAUUUGAACCUCUCUAAAAGUUCUAAUAUUUCUAGACAAUCUAAAAACAUUUAAACAUAAGUUGUACGACAAUCUAAAAAGUUUUAAACAUAAGUUUUACUGAACCAAAAUUCACACAAGUUAUAAUUUAAAAGGAUACCAACAAAUAAUAGUGAUAAAAAUAAAAUAUUUUUUUUAUAAAAGACUAAAAUAAAUAAAAAGUAGAACUAAGUAUAAAAAUAUACUUAUUAUUAGUCUUUUUUAAAUGACGACGUAUUGCUAAUAAUAAGAAAAUAUUCAUCAAAGACCAGUAGGAACAAAAAUAUUUAUAAAAAGAAUAAUAUAAAAUGUGAUAAUUUAUUAGCGAAUAGAAAAGCUAUUUAAAGUUUUUUAAAUGAAUAAUGCUAAUGACUUAGUGAUUGUUGAGAUUAUAACGGAAAAGAAAGGAAGAAAAUAUUGUAUUAUGAAGGUGGCCAUUCCAGAAUUCAAUUUUUUAUUUAUUUGAAUAUAAGCUUGUAUAGUAGUUGAAAUUGAAUCCGGAUUAUACAAAUCGGUUUGUAAAUGAUAAAACGAAAUCAGUUUGUACAAUCUGAUAUAAAAUCUCGAAUCUAGUUUCAACUAUCAGAUUGCAUAAGCUGUAUUUAAAAUAAAAAAGAAUGGAGCAAUUUAUUUGAACAACUCUACUUGGACAUAUUCACGCAAGCGAGCAUUGUAUCUUCUCAUCUUAUUUUGAGUCAUGUAUUGCAAAGGGUAUCACGUUUGUUUUUGUGGCAAAUUCGUCCUGUCCCAUAUCAAUUUCUGCACCCGAUUUACAAAAAUGUUUUUGUAAAAUAAUAAAAAUAUUCUUAAAUGAAAUAAGAGUGUGGAUAAAAAAUUAUUUUCAAAACCUCUUUUCUGAAAUACAUAUUCAGAUUUUAAUUUCUGGAACAUAUUUCUGAAUUUCUGAAUUUUUUUUCUUUUUCAAAAUGCAUUUCCAGGAACUUAUUUUCCUGUAUUUUUUGCAUUUCAAUUUUUUUUUAAUUUUAUUUUUUGAAUUCCAAAUUUUCAAUUCCGGAAUAAAAGAUAAUUUUAGAAACGUUAGAAAGAUUAAAUGAUCCAAAUUCAAAUUGAUACGGUGCGUGAAGAAUUUGCAUUGUUUUGUUUGUGAAAGAAUUGUAAAAGAAUGAGAGUGGGUAAAUAAAUUGAAUGAAAGAAAAAGAGACGGCCAAGAAAGAGAGAAGAGGUUAAGAGGUAAAAAGGUUUUGUCUUUCCUAUUUGUAUGUGUGAAACUUGAACAGAGAGAAACAAACCUGAAAAACCCACAUACCUUGGUGAAAAUUUUUGUUCUUCUGAAAUACGAGAGAUGAAGAUGAAAUUGUUUUUGGGUGAAAGAGAGAAACAAGGGUAUUGAAUAUAGAUAGAUGCAUGGAUUAGAGGCUAGAGGAAAGGUAGAUGAUGGGAUGGUGUUGUUUCUCUGGUAGGCUAAAAUUUGUUGUUGGUUGCAACCUUAUAUUAAGUUUAUUUCAUACUUGAAGUCUAUGUGUAUUGUAAAAAAUGGUUUGGGUGAAUUGAUUGUUUCUUUAUUGCGUGAUUGAUGAUCCAUAAGGUCUGUCAUGUUGGCUAAAGCCAGGAAAUAUGGGAAGCCGGAAAAGUUGGUGAGUCAUUGUAUAAAAAAAACCUAUAUGAAUCAACUUUUUCUUUAAAUGAGUAUUCCAAAAAUUCUUCAUCUCAUAGAGUCAUCAUAGGAAGGUCAAUGGUCAAAUUAAUAAAAUAAUAAAUAUUUCUCAUAUUACAAAUUGUUCUCACUGGUUGAUUGUCGGUUCAGGCUCCUUUGGUCUCUUCUGGAAUUUGUACUUCCCUUGGUUAAUGAAUGUUUUACCUGCAGAGACAAAAGGGCGCCCUUACGGUCGUUUGUACUUCGACGCUCAAGUCAGUAAGGAUUAAAGAACAAUAAGUAUGUAAAACAAUUUCAGUCUUAGAAACGGCGUAUCUUUACCAGGGAUCUCAACUCCCUUUCAUAGACUGCUUAGGUUACCUCAUUGUAACAACUCUUCUCUCACCAGAGCCUUAUCUCUAGUAAAAUUAGGUUUGCUCGAGGACAUUCUGUUGUUACACAAUCUUAGCGCAACAACCGCACAGAAUCUUCCUUUUUGGAGUGCAAAUCUUAACAGCAUGGCCGCCAGGGUACUAACUCAUGUACCAGCAUUACGGGGCCCAUCUAUUAUUGUAGGUGCCCUAGUCCUUACGUAUCAUGCAUGCAACUUUCCCCUGAAAACCCUAGCGCUCUUGGGCCUUGUCGUCUUAAGGGAUAUUUAUUUGUGUUAGACCCAAAUGUACUAUACACACCAGAUGCACUUUCUUGCGGACUAGGCUUUUCAUUUAUACACAGGUUUCAACACACAUAUCUCUGGGGACCACUUACGUGGUCCACUAUCUCGACCAGACCAUCGAGCCGACCUGUUCCACAGGUAUCGAUGUCCGAUGCCUAAUGUCUGGUCCAGUACACAAAUUAUCAAUUAACUUUAAUCCAAUAACAUAAAACUUUGAAGUUUAAUAAUUAUGAUUAUUAAAAAUAACUAAAUUUGAUUUGAUUAAGUUAAUAAGAAUGAUAUGACUUUCUUAUAUAAUAAAACUUUUAUUCAAAUAUGGAGAAGUUAGAUCAUUGUAUGAAAAAAGAAAACAAAUUGAUCAAAUAACAUAUAUCAUUUCCAAUUUGUGAUUAUUGAUUGGAAAUGGAAAAUAGGUUAAUUCACCAUUUGUAUAUAUGAGAUUGAAAUUUAUAGAGAUUAAAAAUUAUAUGAAUUGAAGUUAAGAAAUGUGUAAAUAUGAUUAUGUAGAAGGCAGGCCAAGUUGAUAUUUUGAGAGAUUGUAGAAUACAGGGCAGUGUUAAACUCAACACCAAUAUAUACAAUUCAUCCACCAAUAUCAGUCAAAGCUAUAAAGAGCAACAGUAACAGGUGAUUAAUUGAAGAAAACAGUAACACAUUUGUGAACCACAUUAAUAUAAGGAAAAUUUCAAAUCUGCAUUUUAUAAAUUUAUCUAGCUCGACUACUGGCACGUGGAAUCAAUCAUUUACUCAUCUACUUUGAAGGCAGGCUUGAAGCAAUUAUGAUACAGAAAAGGUCGGAUGGUCUCUGCACGCAAUUACGAACAUUAAUGUAUGCAGGACACAGUAAGGAGAAAUUAAAGAAAAUGAAACAAUCAUUCACUUACCACAAAAUCUUUAGUACAGUUGUAUUUCUGGAAUGUGGUUUAUGUAUUGCCAAUCCUCUCCCAUUUCCCUCUUGCACCGCUUCUUCAGAUAAGGACAUCCGCAUAUAAUUAAAGAAGACAAGUUGGUGAGGCGUUGAAUGCUACUCGGUAGUGACCUCAACUCCCCACAGUUCCAAAUCUGUAAUUCUUGAAGAGAAGUCAUGUCUCCCAACCAGUCCGGCAAUGAAGUAGUCGUGCAAUCCCUUAUAUCCAAAGUUCGUAAAGAGGGGACACAAUGUAAGCCAUACGGUAAUGUGGAGAAACCCCCGAUUGUGACCGUCUGAAGGGCAGUUAGUUGGCUCAUAUUGCUUGGUAGAGCCACCAGCUCUGGACAAGACCAGAUACUUAAAUCCUCCAAACAUGUUAAAUGUCGCACACCUUCGAAAAGUGAUUUUAAUUUCUCACACUAGUAAAUACUCAAACUUUUAAGAGAGCUCAGACCUUCCAACACAUGGUCUGAAAAAUACUCCAAAUCAUCACAAGAUUCAAUAAAUAGUUCCUGUAGUGAACCCAACCCUCUGAGUUGGUCGGGUAAUACCACCAGUUCUUUAAUCCUUUCAAUCUCCAAGGUCUUUAGACAAGGCAUAUUCUCCACAACCCCUUCCAUCAAGGAAGCCCCUUUGUCAAUGUCUGCAGCAUAAAAUUUAUCAACAGAAGGAAGACGUGGAAAUUUAAGGUUGGAGACGCCAACAAUUGUUAAUUGAGAAAGACGAGGGAGCAUUUCUACUCCUUCUUCCCUCAACAUCCUCUCCAAUUUUGGUAAAUUCUUCACAAUCAAUUCCUUCAACGAUGGAAAUGCCUUCUCCACACCAUCAUACCACUCACCAUCUAUCCACUUCACAUUUUUCAUUUCACGCACGUCUAGCCUUUUCAACUGUGGUAGUUUGCCAAGUGGAGGAAGCUCCUCACAGUUGUCACAGUCCAAGAGUAUAACUUCCACCAAGUCUCUCAGAACUGCACCAUUUCUCAUCCAACUCGAUAACUGUCUCCCCUUAUACCCUUUCAUCAUAAAACUCUUCAGAGUUGAGGGAGGUUGUAGGGCUUCCAGUACUCUCUUAACGUUAACAUUACUACCUUCUGAAUUAGUACUACCACCCCAUGACAAGCGUAGGAUAUUUAAGUCCUUCUUACCAAUCAAAUUUGCUUGUUUAACAUCCCAUUCAUUGGGGACGUUCUCAAGGCCUUUGAUUCUCAGCUUGCCUCCAAGCUUUAAGCUAUGCAACUCUGCUAACCCACACCCUGCCUUUGAUCCCACAACAUAAGUGCUCAGUGUUCUUAGAUGCCUUAACUUGCCAAUAUUCUGAGGCAUCUCUUUUACAUCACACUUAUCAAUCACAAUAUGUCUUAGAUCCUGUAAUAUCGUCAAUUUUUUGGGCAGCCUAAGGUCAAAGACAUCUUUCAAUUUCAAUAUUUGCAAUUUCGGCAACUGACAAAUUGAAUUAAGCAACCUUGCCUCUAAAUCCCCACACAAUGUCAAGUAUCUCAAAUGUGCUAAAUCAUUCAGUGGAGACAACACAGAAAAACUUGUACGUAAUGCUCGAAGACAAUGGGUUGAUGGCACCAGGCGUCUAUAACUAAAAUUCACAAAAGUCCGCAAGGACUCAACUUUCUUGAAAGCAGCCAUAUCGAUAGAGCCAUUCAAAUUUAAGCAUACAUAGUGAACUCUAGUUGGCAACUGAGUCAACCUUCCUUUCUCAAUAAUCACACAUUCUUCACCCAUAAUAGUCUGGGCAAGAUCAUGAAAUAGAUCAUGCAUCUUGCAACUUCUAAUCAUACCAAGCUUAUCAUACUUUGCUUCUUGAAAAAAUGAUCUACGGUAUAAUUUUUUCCACACUUUAUUUCCAACAUCCUCCACUUCUACGUUUCCUUCAGAUUUAAUAAAUCCAUUAGCCAUCCAAAGAUGAAUUAGAUCUUCCUUAUCUAUUUCAAAAUCUUUGGGGAAAAUUGCACAAAAAGAAAAGCAUCUUCUCAGAGACAACUCCAAAUUAGAAUAGCUCAGUUUCAAAAAACGCAUAAUAGAAUUUUCCUCACGUAUUUUCCAAAUCUCACUUUCCUUUAGAUUUUCCCAUUGGCUUACCUCACUUUCAUCACGCAAAAGGCUUCCCAGUGUUUUGAUUGCAAGUGGUGAACCAACGCAUUUUCUCACUAUCUCUCUGCCAAUUGUCACGAGCUCUUCUAUUUCUUCUCUGUUUUGUCCAAACGCAUGGUGUUUGAACAAUGACCAACUGUCGUCUCCUGACAAUUCUUUCAAAUAGUAAGCAGGAUGUGUCCCCAUGAUGGAGGCAACUUCCUGCAGUCGAGUGGUGACCAAAAUGGCAUCUCCUUUUGCUCCCCUUGCACAUUGCAACAUCCCCUUUAACUCCUUCCACUUCUCUUGGUCUUCAUUCCACACAUCAUCAAGAACAAGUAAAUACCUCUUGCUCUGCAAUGCUUCUUCAACCUUUUUCCGCAUUGCUUCUAAAGUAUGGAGAUUGGGGUUUUGACCAUUGACAUAUUCUAGGAUGGAUUGCAAUAUUCUCUUCGCAUUGAAAUCAUCUGAAACACAGAUCCAAAUUCUCAAGUUAAAAUGUUUACUUAUCUCGUGAUCGUUGAAGACCUGCUUGGCAAGAGUUGUUUUGCCAAGUCCACCCAUACCAACUAUGGGAUAGAUGGAGAGGUCUUCACUGUUACUAGCAUCUUCCAGGAGAAACUUCACAAUUUUCUCUUGAUCUUUGUCUCUGCCACAGAAUAUAGGUUCGGUAAUCACAGAGCUAGUUUGGCGCCAAUCAUCAUCAUCAUCCACUGCUUGCUUCUCAGUGACACCCACACGUAAUUCAAACCUGAGCCUUUCUUGAUGAAUGUCAUGAAAUCUUUGAGUGAUGUCUUUCAUCCGCUUUUCAAUAUGAAAACGAAAGAGAAUGUCCAUAGGAUGGAGAGGGGAUAGGCAUGAAGUAUGUCGAUCAUGAGAGUGCAUCUUUGUGGAGUGAAUUGAACAUUCAUCCAAGAUAUCAUCCAGCACAUAUGCUGCAUCUGUGAGUUUUUGCAGCCAAUCCUUCACAGCAUGCUUUCUUAGUUGCUCUCUCUCAGCGUCUUUGAGGACAGCACGGAUUGCGGUGAGAUUGCUGGAAAGGUUCAGCGUCUGCUGGUCAACACCCCAAUAAGUUGCAAGUUGGUUUUGAAGAAAAGAUCCCAAAUUUUCAAUAAUGAUUUCCAGUAAAGCCUCGGCCAUUAGCAGAAAGGAGAGGUUUUUGGAUGAUUGUAGUUGUGGAGAAAGAAGUACGGGGAAGAGUACUAACAAUGAGUGGAUAAGAUUUUGUGAUCAUUUAUUGAAUUGAGAAUUGGUGGCCAUGGCAAUAAAAGUUUUGUCUCUGCUUGUGUUGACGAAGAGUGUUCAUUCGAUGAGUGAACUCAAACCAACCAUAUUAAUUGCAUAGCAAUCACACCGACAUGUCCACUUACUUUCUCUAUUAUUUCAGCUCAAAUUUUCUUCUUCUUCUUCUUCUUAUUAUUACUUUUAUUAUUUAUUUUUACUUUUAUUAUUUAUUAUUUUGUUUACAAUUAUUUUAUUAUUAUAAUCAUUUUAUAAAUUUAUUAUUAAUAAUUUAAAUUUUAUUAAUAUUUUAUUGUUAUUAUUAUUAUUUUAAUAAUCAAAUUAUUAUUUUAACAUUUCUUAUUAUUAUAUUUUUAUUAUGUUAUAUUAUAUAAUUAAUUUUAUUUAUUUUAUUAUACCAAAAAUAUAAAUAUUAAUAAAAUUUAUUAUAAUAAAAAUAUAUAUUAUAUAUUUAAUGUAAUAAUUAUAUUUAUAAAUAUCAUCAAAAUUUUAUUAUAUAAUCAAUUAUGUAUUUAUAUAAUUGGUUAUGUAAAAAUAUAAAAUAUUCAUAUACAUAUAUAGAUAACUAUUAUUCUUUGUAAAUUUUAGCAAUUAUACAAAGAGUAACGUAAAUUUUUUUAUCUCAUUUUUUAUUUUUAAUUAUUUUAUUUUAUUUUAUUUUUGUUAUCUAUCAUGAAAUCCAUUUAUCGAAACAAAGGAACCUUUAAAGUUUUUAAAGUGAGUUUUUCCUUUGGGUUCAUAGUUAGUGAAGUGUACACAUUCAAACAUUAUUGACUUAUCCUUCAAGUUUUAGCAUGACACGACUCGAGUGAUCUAAUUUAUCAAGAAUUUGUCUCCUCGAAAUUCAUGUAUCCUACAACUGUUUGGCUUAAACACAGACAUACAAAAAUAAUCAAUCAACUACAUUUCAAUCAUACUAUAUCAAACAAAAUCUUAACUACACAUAUUUUAACUACAAAUUAUUUAAAUUCUAAAUUUGGUAGCAAAAAAUUUGAUAGUUAAUUAGAUACGAAUUUAAAAACUAUUUAUCAAUAAUAGAAACUAAUUUAGAAAUCAAUAAUUUUUUUAAUCUCUAAAAUAGUUUCUAAUUUAAUCAAUGUAGCAACUAAUUAUAUUUUUGGUCUCUAAAAUUGGUUUUUAUUUAAUGAUUUUGUUGUAGUGUUUGAACAAACUCUUUCUUACCUUUGUUGGGUUGUUCCAAUAGUGUUUUGUAAUUCUUGUUAUUGUUGGAGUGUUUCCAAUAUUGUAUUUGAGAUUGGCUUUGUUAUAGUAUUUGUUUGUGGUUGUAACAAGAGUUGAUAAGACUACCUUCCUAGGUGAAUAAAGAGUGGAUAAUGCUAAGAUCCUCUUAAAAUGGUUACAAGUAGAUAGGACACAUAUCCUCUUUGUUAUCCAUAGUUGAUUGAGGUUUAUAUUAUUUUAGUGUUUGAUAACCUUUUGAGGAGUGUUAAAGCAUUUAUUGUUGUCUUUGUGUUUUCACUCUUGUGUUCUUGUGUUAGUUUUGUACAAACAUUGGAUUGAUAAUGAAACCAUUUUUUCAAAGGUGAAAAAUUGAGGACUAGAUGUAGAAUUGGUUGAAUAUCCUAAAAAAUACUUGAGUCUGUCCAUCUUCAUAUUCUUUAGGUUCCAGGGUUGAUUAUUUUGGAAGACUUAGAGAAAAUAAUAACAUAAACCCUAAAUAAAAGUAAACUACAACAUUAUUUAUAUCCCACUGAUUAUAUAUAUAAAAGAAAAUAUGUUACUUUUACUCUCUAGUUAACUUAAUUAUUUAACAAAUAAUUUGUAAGGAAAAAUACUUACAAUUUAUUGGUCAGUCUAACACAGACAAACGUUAGAUAAUAAUGAAGAAACUGUAAAAACAUAUAAAAGGUAAACAAGGAAAAGUAAAUGAAUCAACAGAAAAAUUUAUAUAGUUUGAUUGAAACUCAAUCUACAUUUACAAUUAAAAAUUUAUUAAGAAAGAAUAUAAGAUUACAAUACAAAAUCUAUUCUAAAGUGAAUUUUCAAUUUUAAGUUGUUAAUUUUUCUUUUAACAAGAUCAAUCAUACUUAUAUAGAUAAAACUAUCAAACUAACUUUUAAAGGGAAUGCGUCAAAUAAUUGUUAUGUACACAGUGAUUCAAUUUGGAAUGAGAAACGCCAUGCUAAAAGUUAACUUGACACAGUAAAUUGUCUUAUUAGAAGUUCUGAUUAUGAUAGGAAAUCUUAAAUACAUUUUAACCUCUAAAUGGUCUAAUGUGUCUAGACAGUCUUUAAAACUUUUGAAUAUAGAUUUUAGUCAACCAAAUCUUUACACAAGUUAUAACUUAAAUAAUAGCAAUGAAAAUACAAAUAUUUUUUAUAAAAAAAAAUAAUAAUAAGUAGGACUAAAUAUAAAAAUAUACUUAUUAUUAAUCUUAUAGGGAUUGCAUUAUCGCAUAACUAAUGAAAGAUAAUAAAAAAGAUUAAGUAAGAAAAUAAUUUAUCAAAGACCACUAAGAACAAAAAUAUUUAUAAAAGAAUAAAUAUAUGAUAAUUUCCUUAGAUUCUAAAUUUGGUAGCGAAAAUCUCGGUAACUAAUUAGAUAAUAAUUUAGAAACUAUUUAAUCAUCCUAAUAUUAAUUGGGAGUCUCUUUUCUAAUUAUCAGUUGUUUCUCUGUAUAGAAAAGAAGAAUAAUUGGGUGUCUUUUCUAAUGAUCAGUUAUUUCUCUUUAUAGAAGGGAAUAACCUUUAUUUUUAUGUUUGUGUGUUAUGAUUCUAGUAUUUAAUAUUGAUUAUUUCCUUCUUUAGUUAAACCCUAGAAUGACUGUACUACUUGUAUAUAUUCAGACCCAUUUGUUUUGAUUUGAAUAAUAAGAAAGAAGAGAUAUUCAUUCUCAUAUCCUUUGUCUUCAGUUUACUCUUUUGUUCAUCUCUGUUCCCCUUUUGUUCAUCUCUGUUCUAUUUUGUAAUAUGGUAUCAGAGCUCUGAUCAUCAGAGCUCUGCUUGCUACAUUUAUUCAUGGGUGAAGUUGAUGAUCCCUCACAAGAUCUUAGUUCACCUUACCAUGUUAGUUCAUCAGAUAAUCCUUCCGUUCUUAUUGUCCCUAUUAUUCUUGAUGGACCAAAUUAUCAUCAUUGGUCUCGUUCGUUUCAAAUUAGCUUAAUUUCAAAGAACAAAAUAGGUUUCAUUGAUGGAACUAUAGAAGCUCCCAAUCGUACCAAAUCAUUGUUUCCAACAUGGCAGAGAGCCAAUAUGUUGGUUGUUUUGUGGAUUCUCAAGGCUGUUUCUCAAUCCAUCGCACAGAGCAUCAUCUGUAUGGACAAUGCCUUUGACAUAUGGAAUGAUUUAAAGGAAAGGUUCUCACAAGGAGACAUGAUUCGUAUUUCUGAUAUCCAAGAGAUGAUUUCUUCUUUUAAACAAGGUGAGUUGACUGUUACAAACUAUUUCACUCAGUUAAAAAUUCUUUGGGAUGAACUUGGUCUUUUCUGCCCGCUAUCCGCUUCUUCAUGUGCCUCUAAAUGCAAUACUCUUGUGAAUGUUUCUAAAUAUAAAACACAAGACCAGAUUAUCAAAUUUCUAAAGGGGCUUAAUGAUAAUUAUUCGACUGUGAGAACUCAAAUUUUAUUGAUGGACCCUUUGCCAUCCUUGAAUAAAGUUUGCUCUCUUGUUACACAACAAGAGAGGCAAAUAUUUGGUGAUCAAUCCAAGGCAAUGAUUGCUACUAGCAAAGGAGGUUAUANNNNNNNNNNNNNNNNNNNNNNNNNNNNNNNNNNNNNNNNNNNNNNNNNNNNNNNNNNNNNNNNNNNNNNNNNNNNNNNNNNNNNNNNNNNNNNNNNNNNAUGGAAGAGGAUAUACUUCCAAAAUUUGUAGUCAUUGUGGAAGGACAGGGCAUACCAUUGAUACAUGCUAUAAAAAGCAUGGCUUUCCACCUCAUUUCAAGUUCAAAAAUCAGAAUCAUGAAGGUUCAAAGUCAGAAGUGGAGUCUCAACAAAUUGGUUUUACUCCUGAGCAGUAUCAAACAUUGUUAGCUCUUUUACAACAGACCAAAUCCAGUGGCAAUGCUUCUAAUCAAGUCUCUAUUAUUCCCUCCAAUCAAACAGGUAAUAAUUUUAUUUCUUCUUUUAGUUCUUGGAUUAUUGAUAGUGGUGCUACUGAUCACAUUUGUUCAUCUUUAACUUAUUUCACUUCAUAUCAUCAAAUUGAUCCUAUUUAUGUCAAAUUACCAAAUGGAAAUCAAGUCAUUGCCAAUUAUUCUGGAAGUGUUUUUCUCAAUCAAAAUCAUGUCACAAACAAUGUUUUGUACAUUCCUUGCUUCAAUUUUAAUCUUCUUUCCGUAGCAAAAUUGAUUGAUAAACUAUCUUGUGUUCUUACCUUUGACUCUAAUGGUUGUCACAUUCAUGACAAAAUAACAAUGAAGAUGAUUGGAAUCGCUAAGACGCAAGAUAGACUUUAUAUACUCAGGAUCCCAUUUGGUAAUUGUUUAGGGUUUAGGGUUUAGGGCAACAUGAUCGUCGAUUGAUAGUCGGUGGUCGUCGCCAUGCGUGCGUAGUCGGUGGUCGUCGAAGGUAUGUAAAGUCAAAGAUGAUCACCGGUCGGUGAAGCGGCGCUGUCAACAUGAUCGCCGUUUGAGGAACGACGACCCCCACUGUGUAGUCGGUGGUCGUUGAAUAUGCAAAGGGCAACAUGAUCGCCGGUCGAGGAAACGGCGAUCACCAUGCGUGCGUAGUCGGUGGUCGCCAAAGGUAUGUAAAGUCAAAGAUGAUCACCGGUCGGUGAAGCGGCGCUGUCAACAUGAUCGCCGUUUGAGGAACGACGACCCCCACUGUGUAGUCGGUGGUCGUCGAAUAUGCAAAGGGCAACAUGAUCGCCGGUCGAGGAAACGACGUUCACCUUAGGUCUCCAUGAUCGCGAUCGAUGAAGUGGCGUUCUCCAUGUGUGUAGUCGGUGGUCGCCGAAGUAUUGUAGAGGUCAACAAGAUCGCUGGUCGAGGGAGCGGCGUUCUCCAUAUGUGGGUAGUCGCGUGGCGAGGUGAAAGUAUGCGACUUGGGUCCUGGGAGGUUCGGUAUAGUUGAGUGUUGCUUUGAGGUAACCUGAUGGUUAUAUUUUUUGGGUAUGGUUUCUCUCUUUAAGGUUGUUCUGCUGCAACCAUAAAGGAGAGCUUCUUUUGUGGAUGAUGUAGGAAGUCCACUACUGGUUACAGUAUAUGGGUUGGGAUACCCCUGAAGUAUCCCCUUAAUUCUAUUUAUUCAUUGCUGAUAAAAAAAAAAAAAUACUCAGGAUCCCAUCUUACCAGAAAUUUCAAAUUAAACCCCUUGAAUGUACACACACCAUCAAUACUGUUAAUGUCAUUGCUAGUGAUCUAGAAACCCUUUGGCAUUUUCGAUUAGGUCAUAUUUCNNNNNNNNNNNNNNNNNNNNNNNNNNNNNNNNNNNNNNNNNNNNNNNNNNNNNNNNNNNNNNNNNNNNNNNNNNNNNNNNNNNNNNNNNNNNNNNNNNNNNNNNNNNNNNNNNNNNNNNNNNNNNNNNNNNNNNNNNUUGAUUUGAUUCAUGUAGAUGUUUGGGGACCAUACUCAAUACCAUCAAUUCAUGGUCAUAAAUAUUUUUUGACCAUAGUUGAUGACUAUUCGAGGUACACAUGGAUUUUUCUUUUGAAACAAAAAUCUGAAGUUGUUAAGGUUUUGGAAGAUUUUGUUAUUUUUGUUCAAACACAGUUUGAGACAACAAUAAAAAUAAUAAGAAGUGACAAUGGAACUGAAUUUUUCAUGACUAAUUUUUUUGUCAGUAAAGGAAUAAUACAUCAAACAUCAUGUGUCAAUACUCCACAACAAAAUAGUAUAGUUGAAAGGAAACAUGGUCAUUUAUUAGAUGUAGCAAGAGCUUUUAUGAUACAAUCUCAUUUACCCAAAAUUUAUUGGUCAUAUUCUGUGAUACAUGCUGCGCAUAUUAUAAACAUGCUUCCCACNNNNNNNNNNNNNNNNNNNNNNNNNNNNNNNNNNNNNNNNNNNNNNNNNNNNNNNNNNNNNNNNNNNNNNNNNNNNNNNNNNNNNNNNNNNNNNNNNNNNCUUUAUGUUAUGCUAGCACCUUGUCAACAAAUAGAAGAAAAUUUGAUCCAAGAGCAUCAAAAUGUGUUUUUAUUGGCUUUCAACGGGGGACAAAAGGAUAUAUUUUGUUGAAUAUUCAAUCAAGAGAAAUUUUUGUGUCUAGGGAUGUUGUCUUUUAUGAACAUGUUUUUCCAUACCAAAGGGUUCAAGAUACUAGCAAUGAAACUAACAAUCCCGACGUUAAUGAUCAAAUUUUGUUUGCUGAAGAUCAAUUUGUCUUAAGUCAGCCAUCACAAGCCAUUCUUGCACCUUGUGAUAAUACACCUUGUGAUAAUGUUGAAAAUAGUAGUGAUAAUAAUUGUGAGUCACAAAUUGAGGUUUCAGAAGAAGAUUGUUCCCAUAUAGACCAAAACCUCAAUGAAAAUCAUGAUAUAGAACAAAAUUCUGAAUCAGAUCCAUCUAUCCGAAUGAGCACAAGAAUAAAAAAAUCACCUGAGUAUUUAAAGGAUUAUCAUUGUAAUCUUAAUGUUUCCAGUACAUCUUCAAGUGUUAAAUAUCCUUUGAAUUUUGUUUUGUCUUAUAGCAAUUUAUCACCUUCUUACAAAUCUUUUGUUAUGUCUAUUUCUUCACAUGUUGAGCCAAACACUUAUUCUGAAGCUGUGAAACAUGACUGUUGGAGAAAAGCUAUACAAUGUGAGAUAUCUGCUUUAGAGUCAAAUCAAACUUGGGAGACUGCUCUUCUGCCUCAGAACAAAGCUGCCAUAGGUUGCAAAUGGGUAUUCAAAAUAAAAUAUAAGGCUGAUGGAAUAAUUGAAAGGUAUAAAGCAAGGUUAGUGGCAAAGGGAUAUACACAAACAGAAGGCAUUGACUACCUCGAUACUUUCUCUCCAGUAGCAAAGAUGACCACCAUAAGGUUGCUUCUUUCUUUAGCUUCUAUUUAUAAUUGGGAAUUUAAACAAUUAGACAUAAACAAUGCCUUUUUACAUGGAGAUUUGAAAGAAGAUGUAUACAUGGUUGAUCCUCCUGGAUUGACUUCUAUUCCACUAGGAAAAGUUUGUAAACUAAAAAAAGGCUUUAUAUGGCCUUAAACAAGCCAGCAGAGAAUGGUUUGCCAAACUGUCGUCAUUUUUGCUUUCUAUGGGAUAUACUCACUCUAUGAAUGAUCAUUCCUUGUUCAUUAAUUCUUCUGAAGGAUCUUUUACAGCAUUAUUGGUAUAUGUGGAUGAUAUAAUAUUGGCAGGAAAUGAUAAAGAAGAGAUUGUUCGAAUUAAACAAGCCUUGAAUCAGACAUUCAAGAUUAAAGAUCUUGGGAAUUUAAGAUACUUUCUUGGUCUAGAAGUAGCCAGAAGUAAGACAGGAAUAAUGGUAAAUCAAAGGAAAUAUGCAUUGGAAUUAUUAACCGAUGCAGGUCUUUUAGCCUGCAAACCUGCACCCACUCCUAUUGAUAAUCAUGAGCAAUUCUCUUCUACUGGAAGUAUUCCUUUCACAGAUAUUCAAGCCUGCAGAAGAUUGAUUGGAAGGCUUAUGUAUCUCACUAAUACCCGACCUGACAUAACAUUUUCUGUGCAACAACUUUCUCAGUUUCUUGCUAAGCCUACAAUUAUUCACUAUAAUGCAGCAAUUAGAAUUCUCAGAUAUAUCAAAGGGGCUCCAAGUCUUGGUCUAUUUUUCUCUUCCACUACUUCUGUUCAUCUCAAAGCCUUUUGUGAUAGUGAUUGGGGCACGUGCAGUGAUUCAAGACAAUCAGUGACUGGUUUUAGUGUGUAUCUUGGGAAUUCUCUCAUAUCUUGGAAAUCAAAUAUUAACACAAUAAAAUGAAUAAUGAUAAUGAUCUAGUGAUUAUUGAGUUCACAUAGCAAUUAUAACGGAAAAUCAAUAAAGAAAAUAUAUGUAUUAUGAAAAGUUUUAUACACAUUUACAUAUUCAAAGUUGAUUAAGAUUGAUAUCAUUAAAGUGUUUGAUAUCCUCUUGACGAGUACUCAACAAUUUAUUCUUAUCCUGGUGUUUGUAAUUGUUGUGUUGUUUUGAAUAAACAUUUGAUUGAUAAUGGAACCAUUUUUUCAAGGGUGAAAAAUUAAGAAUUAAAUGUAGGAUUGGUUGAAUUCGAAUCAAAAUAAAUAUAUUAUGUGAUAUUUCUCUUACUUUAUCCAUCUCUUUAUAUUGUUAUAUUGUUAUCUAAUUCUUGUAUGAAUUACAUUAUCAAAUUAAUUGCAUUCUCAUUUUAUUGUUAUCAUCAUUUCUUAUAUCAAUUUUGUUUCCACUAAUAAUUUAUUAAUUGUUUAUAUCUUAAAGAAGUUUUAAAAGAAUUAUAAGAAAAGAGAUUAUUAAACAAAAAAAUUUGAAAAUCAAUUCACUCACCCUCUUGGUUUAAUCAAGUCAUUCCUUUUUUCUAAUAAAAAACACUCACUUUGAACCUAGCUAAUAAAAUUGAAUUUUCAAGAAACUCAAAGCUUAUUUCAUAAUUUUUAAAUAUAAAGAAUACAAUAGAAAAUUCUUUUAUUUAUAGGAUGUGAACGUGAGUUCAAGAAGUUAUCUAAGGUAUGAAAGAGAUGGAAGUAGUUGGCUAAAAUUUGAAGUUAAAAUACAUUCAAAGUACAACUCUCUUGGUUCAUGUAAUAAUGAAUACUUAUGUGCAUCAACUAACUUUAAUUACUACUAAUCAAGUUAAUUACAAGGCAAUAUUUUACAAAGUCUCUAGUUUCAAUGUAUAAAGUUUCAUUGUAUUUAUUGAUAAAAAAAUUUAAAUUAAAACUAUCUCAAGUUCAAUUAACAAGAUAUGUAACAUGAAUUUUCUAUCCCUCAUCUCAUAUUUUAAUAUUUUUCUUCAACAUAUCUUCAUUAACCAUAUUGAAAAAAACAAAAAAGAAGUUAUCACUUUAUAAAAUAAAGAAUUCCGAAAUGAAUAUCUAUUUUUAUGGCUUAUGUCACUUUUGGAUUUUGUUUCUUUCCAUUAGAGUUUCUCUUAGAUUUCUAUGAUUUCUAUUAUGAUUAAAAAUUAUAUGUAUGACAUAUAACAUGCUUAUAAGAAAUUGUGAUCAAUUAAAAAUUUAUUUUCCUAUCUACAACUUUAUUUAAAGUAAUUAUCAAUCACGUUAAAGAGUAAUUAUAAUCGUCCAUGUCAUUUAUUGUUCUACCAAAGUCAUUGAAAAAAUAAAGAUUCUUUUAUGUAAACAACACAGUAGCUCUUAAUUUUUAAUAGAACCUAAACAAGCAAUUAGGAACGUACGCCAAUAACAUAAAUAAAUCCAGCUUAGUAUGUAAAUUUUAAACACAAUGGAGAUCUAAUAACUUCUCUGCAGUACAAGGUAGGGAUUCCUCUGCUUUAGUUGCAUGGUACCGAUGGAAGUAUUAUUAUCUUCUAUUUUAAAAAAUUUCAGAUGUAGAAAUAACAUGAAAAGGAGUAAAAAGAAAUCAAUAAUAUUGAAUGCAAUGCGUUCGGGUGUUUAAGGGUAAGUAGAAAACAACAACUAGACAAUGCGUUCGGGUGUUUAAGGGUAAGUAGAAAACAACAACUAGACAAAUAUUGGCUUAUGUGAUUAAGUAGCUAAAACCAACACUUCCCUGGUGCUAUUAUGUACCAAAAUAUCAGUAUAUAAUGGGUUUUUGAUUAUGAUGGGGUUAUUUUUUUUUUUUACCAAAAUAGGGUUCGUUUAAAAAAAAUUACAAAUUUAGGUAAGUGGUGCCAAUUUGGCAUGACUUCAUACACAGAAAUUGUUCCAAUUUGACACGACUCUGUCAUGUCAUACUAAAGUCGUACCAACUUGGCACGACUUUUGCCCUAUCAUACUGAAGUCGUGUCAACUUGACACGACUUCUGCCACGUUAUACGGAAGUCGUGCCAACUUGGCACGACUUCUGCCAUGUCAUAAUUUUUUUUUUAAUUUUAUUGUUUAUAUAUUGGGUAGUAAGUUAUGUAAUGUUAAAAAUUAAUUUGAUACAUAAUUUUCUAAGGGUGUUAGUUUUAAGGAAAACAAAACUGGAUAUAUAAUUAUUUUUAAAUUAUUUAAUUAUUUCAAAAUAAUUACAAAUUAUUUAUAUUAUUUGACUUAUUUAAAAUUUAUAUAAUUAUUUUUAAAUUAUUUAAUUAUUUCAAAAUAAUUACAGUAAUUAUACCUUUUUAUAUUUUAAUAUAAAUGACAUUAAAAAAAUUAACAAGUUUAAAAAAUGUAUUAUUUGAAUUGUGAUAAAAAAAAUUAUUACUUCAUAACAAAAUGAAUAAUUGUGAUACACGAUUAUCCAAUUUUUUGUUCCUUAAAACUAUGACUCUUAGAAAAUUAUGUAUCAAAUUAAUUUUUAACAUUACAUAACUUACUACCCAAUAUAUAAAUAAUAAAAUAUAAAAAAAAAAUGACGUGGCAGAAAUUGUGUCAAGUUGGCACGACUUCAGUAUGACAUGACAAAGUCGUGUCAAAUUGGGACGAUUUGUACAUAUGAAAUCGUGCCAAAUUGACACGACUUGCCUAAAUUUGUAAUUUUUUUAAACGGACCAUAUUUUAAUAAAAAAAAAAAAACCUCAUUAUGGCCAAAAACCCGUAUAUAACAGCAGCCCACAAAUAUAAUGAAAAUGCAAAUACCAUAAACAUUCUUUGACUAAGAAUAAUCAACCUGUAUCAAAUGCUACAGAAAAACUAAGAUAAGCUAAGUUCACCUAUUAAAUGGCUAUAGUGGGACCACCAAUUGAAGAAGCAACGUUGCUAUGCUAUAUUUCGCAGGCAAAGGCAAAGAUUAUGUUGCAGGGAAGGGUGAGUAUGGGAUACUUGCUGCUGCUUCAACAGUUGAAGCCAACAAAGAAUUGGUAUAAGCCUGCCAAGAAACAGCACUAUUUUAAUUUGUCAAGAUUAUUGUCAGAUCUUAAACAUUUUAAUUUGGUUUUCAUUUCAUUUUUUAUUGUCAGUUCUUAUACAACUUGUUAUUUCCCAACAACACCACUCUACAUAAGAGCAUCUUUACCGGGUAUUAAAACAACAAACUACCACCGAAAUCAUUUAUUAAAUUGCAAAUAUCUUCUACUCAUAGCACCGUGUCCAUACAUAACUUAGUAACUAACCAUUUCUUAUCGAUAUGCUCUGUUUCUCAAAUGAUAUCUUGCAGCCUAGUAGAUAUAUUUUGUAGAAUUGCAAACACAAACAAUUGAAUCCAAACUUUAAGCCUACACAGUUAUUUUGAAUCAAAUUAAUGAGUUUCCACAGUAGUGUUAGUAAACAUUUUUUUCAAAAUCAAUUUUUAUACAUGUCAAAGAAACAAUUCAAAAUAAUUUUUUAUACAUGUUAAGCAAACAAUCACAAAUCUCUCUUACCACUUACACUUUCAAAACAAUUUAGUAAACAAUAUUUGAUCCUAAACAAAUUCAAAACCAAAUUUUAUACCAAUUUGAGGCACAUAGAACACUACAUAGCAGAUAAAAAUCUGAAAUCACUUUGGAAAGUACCAUCAAUGACUACAUAGAGAACAAAAGCACACAAAAAUUAAAAGAAUGAUGCAUACCAGAGGAUUGAUCUUCUUAGAAUCACUGUUAAGCUUAUUCAUAGCAUCAUGCAUGCAAUCCAGAACAGUCACAGCAAAGACUUCAGCAAAAUCCUGAGGUGAGGAGAAAAAAAAAGGUUAAAGAAAGAAUAGAAAUAAUUUUAUAUCAGGCAUUAUAUCAACUGCAAAUUGCAUAUAAAAAAACUGAUUUCCUUUUAUUAGUUUAUCUGGACAAAAGCAUAGUGACUAAGCUUAAUCAUAAGAUACAUUGUAUGAAAUGAGAAGCUGGUACAGUAUAUGCCAAACAUCAACCAUAAAAGAGGGGAAUACUGAAACCUUGUUUUAUUAUUCAAUAUAUACACUACGCAAAAGGCUACCCAAUUUUUGAAAAACAGAGUGACACAUUAGGGAGAGAAGUAAACAAAACACUCUUGAAUUUACCACAAAAAGUCGGUUUCAUUUGGAAAAACAGUUGUAUUUCUGGAAUAUGCUUUAUGUAUUGCCAAUCCUCUCCCGUUUCCCUCUUGCACCGCUUCUUCAGAUAUGGACAUUCGCGUAUAUUUAAAGAAGACAAGUUGGUGAGGCGUUGAAUACUACUCGGUAUUGACCUCAGCUCCUCACAAUACCCAAUCUCUAAUUUUUGAAGAGAAGUCAUGUCUCCCACCCAGUCCGGCAAUGAAGUAGAUCGGGUAACUGAAUAUAUCCAAAGUUCGUAGGGAGGGGCACAUUGUAAGCCAUAGGGUAACGUGGAGCAAUGGUGGAUUCUGACCGUUCGAAGGGCAGUUAGUUGGGUCAUAUUGCUUGGUAGAGUCACCAGCUCUGGACAAUUCAUGAUACUCAAACUCUCCAAACAUGUCAAAUGUCGCACACCUUCAGAUAAUGAUUUCAAUUUCUCACCGUUGGUAAUAAUCAAACUUCUAAGUGAGGUCAGACCUUCCAACCCGUGUUCUGAAAAAUACUCCAGACUAUCACAAGAAAUAAUGUGUAGUUCCUGUAGUGCACCCAACCCGCUGAGUUGGUCGGGUAAUACCACCACUCCUCUAAUAAUAUGCAAGGUCUUUAGACAAGGCAUAUUCUCCACAACCCCUUCCAUCAAGGAAGCAGCUUCGAAAAUAGAUACCUUCUCAACAGAAGGAAGACGUGGAAAUUUAAGGUUGGAGAUGCCACCAAUACGUAAUAGGGAAAGACGAGGGAGCAUCUCUACUCCUUCUUCCCUCAACAUCCUCUCCAUUUUUGGUAAGUUCUCCAAACUCAAUUCCACCAACGAUGGAAAUGCCUUCUCCUCCACACCAUCAUACGACUCAUCAUCUAUCCACUUCACAUUUUUCAUUCCACCCACUUUUAGCCUUUUCAACUGUUGUAGUUUACCAAGUGGAGGAAGCUCCUCACAGUUGUCACAGUUCAAGAGUGUAACUUCCCCCAAGUCUCUCAGAACUGGACCACUUCUCAUCCAACUUGAUAACUGUCUCCCCUGAUAUCCUCUCAUCCCAAAACUCUUUAAACUUGAGGGAGGUUGCAGGGUUCUAGUACUCUUUCAACGUUAACAUUACUACCUUUUGAAUUAGCACUACCACCCCAUGACAAGUCUAGGAUAUUCAAGUCCUUCUUACCAAUCAAAUUUGCUUGUUUAGCAUCCCAUUCAUUGGGGACCUUCUCAAGGCCUUCGAUUCUCAGCGUGCCUCCCAGCUUUAAGCUAUGCAACUCUGAUAACCCACACCCUAACUUUGAACCCACAACAAAAGUGCUCAGUGUUCUUAGAUGCCUUAACUUGCCAAUAUUCGGAGGCAUCUCUGAUAUUGAAUAACAGUUAUUAAUCACAAUAUGUCUUAGAUCCUGUAAUUGCGUCAAUUCUUUGGGCAGCCUAAGGUGGUAGAGAUGUUGUAGUUUCAAUAUUUGCAAUUUCGGCAACUGACAAAUUAAUUUAUGUAAGCCUUUUCCAGAACCCCAAUUCCAACUCAAGUAUCUCAAAUGUGCUAAAUCCUUGACUGGGAACACUGAAUAAGAAGUUGUGCAUAGUGCUCGGAGACAAUGGGUUGAUGGCACCAGGCCAAUAUCACCCAAAUCUAGAAAAGUCCGAAGGGAUUCAACUUUCUUGAAAGCAGUUUUCUUGAAAGCAGUUUUCUUGAAAGCAGUCAUAUCAACAACCAUCUUAGAAUUGAACAAGCUUGCAUAGUGAACUCUAGUUGACAACGGAGUCAACCUUCCUUUCUCAAUAAUCACACAUUCUUCACCCAUAAUAGACUGGGCAAGAUCAUGAAAUAGAUCAUGCAUCUUGCAACUUCUAAUCAUACCAAGCUUAUCAAACUUUGCUUCUUGAAAAAAUGAUCUACGGUAUAAUUUGUUCCACACUUUAUUUCCAACAUCCUCCACUUCUAUGUUUCCUUCAGAUUUAAUAAAUCCAUUAGCCAUCCAGAGAUGAAUUAGAUCUUCCUUGACUAUUUCAAAAUCUUUGGGAAAAAUUGCACAGAAAGAAAAGCAUAUCCUCAGAGACAACUCCAAAUUAGAAUAACUUAGUUUCAAAGCACGCAUAAUAGAAUUUUCCUCACAUAUAUUCCAAAUCUCACUUUCCUUUACAUUUUCCCAUUGGCUUACCUCACUUUCAUCACGCAAAAGGCUGCCCAGUGUUUUGAUUGCAAGCGGCGAACCAACGCAUUUUUUCACUAUCUCUUUGCCAAUUGCCACAAGCUCUUCCCGCCCUUUUCUGUUUGGUCCAAACGCAUGGCUUGUGAACAAUGACCAACUGUCGUCUCUUGAUAAUUCUUUCAAAUGGUAAGCGCCAUGCGUUCUAAUGGCUAAUGAAGUGGUAGAGGACAUCAGACGACGAGGGCAAAGUGGGCUAUGCCUAAAGGUCGACUUCGAAAAAGCGUACGACUCGGUUAGAUGGGAGUUUUUGUACGAUAUGAUGGGAAAGAUGGGGUUUCAUAGAAAGUGGAUCAGAUGGAUCCAGGGCUGUCUGGAAAGUGCCUCUAUCUCUGUGCUGGUGAAUGGAAGCCCGACAGACGAAUUUAAACCUGAGAGAGGGUUGAGGCAGGGAUACCCACUUGCCCCCUUUCUUUUUUUGAUAGCAGCGGAAGGCUUGUCAGGGUUGGUAAGGCAAGCUGUGAAGGCUAACUUACUAUCUGGUUUGAGGGUCGGGAGAAAAGAGGUUGAGAUAAGUAUCUUACAGUUUGUUGAUGACACUCUUUUCUUCUGUGAGGACUCUCUUAGUAAUGUGGUGACUUUAAAGGCUAUCCUUAGAGGGUUUGAGGUAGCGUCAGGCCUCAAGAUAAACUUCCACAAGUCCAGGAUUACAGGUAUUAAUGUGCAUAGGAACAACAUCCGCUGUUAUUUGAGGACCUUGAAUUGUGCGGAGAUGACAGUACCUUUCAAGUAUUUAGGGCUUGAGGUGGGAGGCAACCCGAGGAGGAAGAAGUUCUGGGAGCCAGUCAUUGAUAAGUUGGAGAGCAGGCUAAGCACGUGGAGAGGGAGGUUCUUAUCAAUGGCAGGUAGAAUCUGUGUUAUUAAAUCGGUGCUUACAGCAGUACCCCUGCACUACCUUUCCAUGUUCAAAGCACCUGUUUCGGUUUGUAAGAACAUCAAGCGUAUUCAAAGAAGGUUCCUAUGGGGCUGGGGGAAGGAAAAGAAAACCGAUCUCAUGGGUCAGGUGGGAAAAUGUGUGCAAACCAAAACAGGAAGGAGGGCUGGGGAUCAUAGAUAUACGUGAUUUCAAUUAUGCUCUGAUGGCAAAAUGGAAGUGGAGGUGGCUCUCAGAUGAAAAAGGAAGAUGGAAGGAUGUCUUGGAGUCGAAAUAUGGAGGAGGUGGUGAGGGGACUAACCAACCAUUAAAGCUGCAGUCUUGGUGGUGGAGGGACCUACAUAAAGUUUGUAUGGAGGGAGGAGGAGAGGGAUGGUUCCAAGCUGAAAUGGGUUGGAGGAUAGGGUGCAGUGACAGAGUGAAAUUCUGGGAUGACGUGUGGGUUGGGAAUACCAAUCUCAAAUCCGCGUUCCCCAGAUUUUACACCAUAUUAUGUAAUCAGUGUCAAACAGUGGAAGAGGUAGUCAUGUGGGAAGGGGACGUCUGGCGAUGGAACUUAAGAUGGAGGCGGGCCAGGUUCGAGUGGGAGUCGGUGAUGGAAACAGACCUAGUCUCAUAUAUUUCUAGGGCUGUUAUUACACGGCAGGAGCAAGACACUCGGGUAUGGGGGAUCAAUGAUAAGGGGUGUUUCUCAGUGAAAUCAGCUUAUGCGAGCAUAAGAGGAGAUGGCACCUGCAAUGCUGUUUUUGACCUCCUUUGGAAGGCCAAGGCUUUUCCCUCUGUUCUGACCACUGCGUGGGGGUCCUUACUGGAUAGACUACCAACUAGAGAAUGCCUGAGUAGGAGGGGGGUGACGAUGGAAUCCACUUUAUGCGAGUUUUGCCAUUCUAAAAUUGAAACCAGCCAUCACUUAUUUUUUGAGUGUCAAGUGGUAGUGCGUGUUUGGGACUUAUGUCAUAGAUGGCUAGGCAUCCUUUCUGUUCAACACAAUGGUCUGAGUAAUCACUUUGAAAGUUUCACUUUGAUUCAGGCCAGUAACAAACAAGACGAUUUGGAAAGGUAUCUGGACUGCUAUAGUACGAGUGUAUGGGAACAUAGGAACUUGGUCGCGUUCAAGCAAGGAGUUGUAGAUGCUGAAGAGAUGUUACAACAAGCUCAACUGAAAUCAUGGCUGUGGAUGAAGCAUAAGGUAUGCAGGUUCAAUUACUCUUUUGUGGAUUGGGUUUUAAACCCAAUCUUAUGUAUCAAGAGCUAUAAGUAAUGGACCUCCAAAGUAAAGUCCGGUCCAGGAAAGGCAGAAGGGUUUGUGGAAGAUUGGAAGAUCUGUAGGCCUGUUAGCAUUUGUGGUAAGAUCGUUGGGUUGUAGGUGCUGUGUUCAAUAGGCGCAAGCUAAGGCGCGACUGGGAUGGAUGGAGGCUAUGGUUCUGUUCGCUCGGCGGAAUGGCUAGGGCAUGCUCGAAGAGAUUGUUGCCUUGGCCUGGGGAGCUCUAUAAUUAACGGGGUAUAUGACUGUUACGUAACAUGGUGCAUGUAUGGACUGGUAUGGAGUAAGGAUUGUAGGGGAUGUCUGUGGUCGAUCGAAGUUAUGCAAAGGUCAACAUGAUCGUCGGUCGACGAAGCGGCGUUCUCCAUACGUGUGUAAUCGGUGGUCGCCGGUCGUUAUACAAGGAUAACAUGAUCGCCGGUCGAUGACACGACGAUCUCCAUGCGUGUGGAGUCAGUGGUCGUCGAAGUUAUGCAAAGGUCAUCGCGGGUCGACGAAGCGGCGUUCUCCAUAUGUGUGUAGUCGGUGAUCGCCGAAGUUAUACAAGGUUAACAUGAUCGCCGGUCGAUGAAACGGCGAUCUCCAUGCGUGUGUAGCUGGUGGUCGUCGAAAUUAUGCAAAGGUAAACAUGACCUCCAUGGUCGAUGAAAUGGCGAUCUCCAUGCGCUAGUCGGUGGUCGCCGAAGGCAAAGGUAAACAUGAUCGCCGGUCGAUGAAGCGGCGAUCUCCAUGAGCGCGUAGUCGGUGGUCGGUGAAGUUGUGUAUCAUUGCCGUAUUCGAAGAACGGAAGAUCAGGUACUGAAAAUCACUGAGGUAGACACAUCGCCGGGUUUGUGCUGGUUCGAUAAAGAUGUCUGUUAACCUUAAUAAGAGCAAUGAGAUGGGGAUUUCCCGAGUGGAUCCUCCUCGAGAGCAGGGUUUACUUAGGUCAAAGCAUACAUGGCGAGAAGCAUUGGCGACAGGCGAUCUUGCUUGGGUAUAUUUUUGGGUAUGUUUUUCUCACUUUAAGGUUGUUUUGUUCCAACCAUAAAGGAGAGAUAGGAAGUCCUUUUGUGGUUUUUGUAUAUGGGUUGGGAUACCCCUGAAGUAUCCCCUUUAAUUUUAUUUAUUCAUUGCUGAUAAAAAAAAAAAAAGUAAUAUCAACAGACACCUUAGAAUUUGACAAGCUUACAUAGUGAACUCUAGUUGGCAACUGAGUCAACCUUCCAUUCUCAAUAAUCACACAUUCUUCACCCAUAAUAGAUUGGGCAAGAUCAUGAAAUAGAUCAUGCAUCUUGCAACUUCUAAUCAUACCAAGCUUAGCAUACUUUGCUUCUUGAAAAAUUGAUCUACGGUAUAAUUUUUUCCACACUUUAUUUCCAACAUCCUCCACUUCUACGUUUCCUUUAGAUUUAAUAAAUCCAUUAGCCAUCCAGAGAUGAAUUAGAUCUUCCUUGUCAAUUUCAAAAUCUUUGGGAAAAAUUGCACAAAAAGAAAAGCAUAUCCUCAGAGACAACUCCAAAUUAGAAUAACUUAGUUUCAAAGCACGCAUAAUAGAAUUUUCCUCACAUAUAUUCCAAAUCUCACUUUCCUUUACAUUUUCCCAUUGGCUUACCUCACUUUCAUCACGCAAAAGGCUGCCCAGUGUUUUGAUUGCAAGCGGCGAACCAACGCAUUUUUUCACUAUCUCUUUGCCAAUUGCCACAAGCUCUUCCCGCCCUUUUCUGUUUGGUCCAAACGCAUGGCUUGUGAACAAUGACCAACUGUCGUCUCUUGAUAAUUCUUUCAAAUGGUAAGCGCCAUGCGUCUCCAUGGUGGAAACAACUUCCUGGAGUCGAGUGGUGACCAAAAUGGUAGCUCCUUUUGCUGCCCUUGCACACUGCAACUUCCCCUUCAACUGCUUCCAUUUCUCUUGGUCUUCAUUCCACACAUCAUCAAGAACAAGUAAAUACCUCUUGCUCUGCAACACUUCUUCAACCUUUUUCCGCACUGCUUCUAAGGUAUUGAGAUUGGGAUUUUGUCCAAUGCAACAUUCUAUGAUGGAUUGUAGUAUUGUCAUUGUGUUGAAAUCAUCAGAAACACAAACCCAAAUUGUCAAGUCAAAAUGGUUGCAUACCCUGUGAUCAUUGAAGACCUGCUUGGCAAGUGUUGUUUUGCCAAGUCCACCCAUACCAACUAUAGGAUACGGAGAGGUCUUCACUGUUACUGGCAUCUUCCAAAAGAAAUUUCACAAUUUGCUCUCGAUCUUCGUCUCUGCCAUAGACUCUAGGUUCUGUAAUGUCAGAGCUAGUUGGGCGCCAAUAACCAUCAUCAUCAUCAUCCAGUGCUUGCUUCUCUGUGACACCAUCAUCACGUAACUCAAACAUGCGUCUUUCUUCAUUAAUGUCGUGAAAUCUUUGGGUGAUGUCUUUCAUCCUCUUUCCAAUAUGAAAACGAAAGAGAAUGUCCCUGAAAUGCACACGGGCCAAGCAUGAACUUCGUCCAUCAUCAGAGAGCACCUUUUUGGAUUGAAGUGAACAUUCAUCCAAGAUAUCAUCAAGCACAUAUGUUGCAUCUGUGAGUUUCUGCAGCCAAUUCUUCACAGUAUGGCUUGUUAUUUACUUUCUCUCAGCGUCUGUGAGGACAGCACGGAUUGCGGUGAGAUUGCUGGAAAGCUUUUGAGUCUGUUGAUCAACACCCAAUAAGUUGUAAGUUGGUCUUUAACAGCAGAUUGCAAGUUUUGAAUCACAGUUCCCAGCAAAGCGUCAGCCAUUGGAAGGAAGGAGAAUUUGAAUGAAGAAAAGGUUGGUGAUUGAUUAUGGAGAAGAGAGGCAACGAUGAGUCAAUAAUAUUUUGGUUAGAAAGAAUUUCUUAUAUAAUUUAAUUUUCUUGGGCAGAAUGAUUGGAAUAUAAUUAUGCAUCAUUUACACGACUAUAUUCAUUAUAUAAGCAAAGUAUAUCUUAUUUUGAAGUUUACAUGAUUACAAUGAAAAGUAUAUAAAUAUAUUCAUACUGUGAAAAAAAAGAGAGAGAAUAAAAGUAGAUGAACAUCUUAAAAUAAAAUUCCAACCCUAUGCAAUCCUUCUUAUUGCACGUCAAGAAUAAUUUGUGAUCCCAAAAUAUAUUGAAUUCAUUACGGAAGUUAAUCAUUUCUUGAAUAUAUCAUUUAUUGAAUAUAUGUAUACCUCCAACUUCAAAAUUGUUUGAGUUACUAAAACAUAAUUACAAAGUCAUAGUUAAGCUAUUCGUACUUAAGAUUUGUUUAUUUAAAAAAAACAAUUAAAAAUAGACAAAAAAAAUCAUCUCCUAGCAUUAUUUAUUUGAGAAAUAGAUGAAAAAUAAUUUUAAAAUACUAAAUGUAACAAAGAAAAAAAUGUAGAGAAUAGAAAUUUUAAAUCAACACCCACUGAAUCAAUAUCCUAAUUUCCUUAUACUUAACCACAAAAUGACUUUCUUAUGAUAAAUUAUUAAUAAAAUAAAUUUGUAAUGUAUCUGGUAAGUAAAAAAAUUAGAAUAUGAAAAUUGAUUGUGAAUUACAACCUAACAUUAGAGCCCUUUCAGAGAAAAAGCAACAUGUUUCAUAUUUUCUUUAUUUCUCAAUGCGUACCUAAAAAUAUUAUAUCUUAAAACUUUUACAGGUUUUUUUGAGUUUUAGUUUUACAAAUUUUCUACUUUACACAAAUUAUUCAUAUUUUAUUAUUUUAAAUUAUCACCGUAUUUUUCUUAACUUUUGUAUUUUAACUCAUUUUAAAGUUUACAAUACUUUAUAAAAUAUGUUAUAAUAUAAAAAUGUUUUACAAGUUUUUUAAAGUUUAAGUUUUUUUGUUUAUUUUGUUUUUCAAAAAGAUAGUCUUAUUUCUUUAUCCUUGACUAUAUGUUUAAAAUUAAAAAAUGAAUUAAAUUUUGUAUUUGAUAAUUAAUCUUUCUAAUAUGUUAUUUUUAGAUAUUAAAUUCUAAAUUCAUAACGAUACCUAUGUUAUAUGUUAUUUUAUCUAUGUUUAGAGAUUCAACCUUGACUUAAAAUAAGACUAAAUUAUAUUUUUAAUAUAUAUAAAAUGAGAGUGUAAAUUUUAUCUUACAGAUUUGUUUGUGAUAUUAAAUUUUAUCUUCCUUUUUAAAAUGAUAAAGUACAUAAAAAAAUAUAUCUUAUUAGAUUUGAUGAAACUAUUAUAUCAUUUAUUAUUUAACUUCUAUUACAUCACUCAUAAAAAAUUUAUUCUUGAAAAAUUUAUUCUCACGUUCAAGUUGAUCAAUCCUGGAUACGAGAGAUUGUGAUGAAGAUUUCACCUUAAUUAAGGAUAACAAAAUAUUGGAUGAUGUUAUAAGUAUUAAGUAACAUGUUAUUUAUAAAAAGUGAUCAUAUUAUAAUUAUCACUACAAGAAAAUCAUCAAAUAGAAACCAAUUUUUAGAAACCAAAAUAAUUAGUUGCAAUAGUAACUAAAUUAGAAACCAUAUUUUAGAAACUAAAACAAAAAUUGGUUUCUAAAUUAGUUUAUAUUAUUUUCUAUUAUUGUUAAAUAGUUUCUAAAUUGGUCUUUAAUUAGCAACCAAGGUUUUAGAGACUAAAUAUCUAAUUAGCAACCAAUGUUUUAUCUACACGCCGGUCGACGCAAAGAUGUNNNNNNNNNNNNNNNNNNNNNNNNNNNNNNNNNNNNNNNNNNNNNNNNNNNNNNNNNNNNNNNNNNNNNNNNNNNNNNNNNNNNNNNNNNNNNNNNNNNNGGGUUUUAGAGACUAAAUAUCUAAUUAGCAACCAAUGUUUUAUCUACCAAUUAUUUAGUUUCUAAAUUUAGUCUCUAAAACCUUGGUUGCUAAUUAAAGACCAAUUUAGAAACUAUUUAACAAUAAUAGAAAAUAAUAUAAACUAAUUUAGAAACCAAUUUUUGUUUUAGUUUCUAAAAUGGUCUCUAAUUUAGUUACUAUUGCAACUAAUUAUUUUGGUCUCUAAAAAUUGGUUUCUAUGUCGUGAUUUUCUUGUAGUGUAUCAUGCAACUUAAUUCUAAAAGUAUUAAGCAUCAUGUUAAAAAAACAUCAAUAUCUUAAAAAUUAUAUCAAUAAAUAAAUAAAUAUGUUAGAUGUUAUAUAUAAAUCUUAAUAUACGGACUAAUUCAAUCACAAUUAAUUUUAAUGAUCACUACACGAAAAAUUCAAUUUAUGUACGGAAAAAAUCCGUAGGUAACAGAACCCUGGUAAAACUUGAAGCCAAGUUCCUUGAACAAGGUCCAUAAAAGCUUUAAUCAUUACACCACUCAAGUUUUAUUGUCAUGUUAAGAUUAUUAUUACUUAUGAGUAUAAUUAUCAAUAUUAAUAUUAUUAAUAUUAUUAAAUAUUAUUAAUUUUAUUAAAUAUUAUUAUUACUAAUAUUAAUAAUUUUGUUAUAUUAUUAAUAUCAUUAAUAUUAUUAUUAUUAUUAAUAUUAUUCAUAUUAUUAAUAUAAUACUAAUUAUAUUAUUUAAAUUAUUAUAUUAAUAUUAUUAAUUUUAUAAUAUUAAUAAUAUGUACACUUAUUAGUUAUGGUUAUUAUUAUUUAUGAAUAUUAAUUAUGAUUUUAUAAUUCUUCAUAUUAUAAUAAUAUUUUUAAUAUUAUAUAUAUAAUUAUUAUGAUAAUAGUUUGUAGAUAAUAGAAAUUCGUGGGUGAUAGUUCGUAAGUAAUAUUGAUUCGUGGGUAAUAGUUGGUAACAGAGAUCCGUAGGUAAAAGUUGGUAGGUAAUAAGAUUUGUGGGUAAUAGUUGGUUGGUAAUGUUGAAUUUACCUACGAAUUCAGAAUUUGUGGGUAAUGUCUUGAAUUUACCUACGGACUCAGAUUCGUGGAUUAAAAUUUGUAGAUAAUAUUAAUUUUUUUUUGUAAUGAUGUUUGUAUCAGUUCAAGUUUCAAAAUUUCUAAUAAUUUACUAUCUCGAGAUGGUUUUAACCAAUAACUAAUUUUAAAUAUAGUGAUUGCUUCUUCACGGUAUAUUUUAUUUUGAAGCUUACCAAAGUAGGAUGAAAAAUAUAUAAAUGUAUUAAAAAAUAUAUUAACAUCUUCAAAAAAAAUUCCAUCACCUUAAUGAUGAAAUCCCUUCUUGUUGUAGCUCAAGAAUAAGUUGUCAUUAAGGAAAUCCAUAACCCAUUAGUAAAUUAAUCUUUGAAACAAUGCAACAUUCUAUCCUUUUCUUUUAUCUUUUAGAUAUGUCAAUCAAAGUUACAAAUUUGUUGAACCUAAAGUUAUUCAUUUAGGAGGGAGAAACACCAAUCCAAUAUGAAGCUAAAUUGUCUUAUUAAAAAUACAUGAACUAGGUUAUAACCUCUAAAUGAUAUAAUGUGUUUCUGCUUGUAUUGUUCCAGCAUUGUCUUCUUCCACUGAACGAGACUACUGCCGAGUUCUUGGUGUGUUCUUGGUGUUCCUGAAUAUGCCAGUUAGGACGAGAUGAAGAAGACAUUUCUUGUUUUGUAUGGCUUAGACAAAUAUUGAUUGAUGAAAUCUAUGCAUGUUAGGCUAGGUAAAGCGAAGGUGAAGUCUAUUGGAAGAUUGUCAUGUGUUUUUUGGGCAAUGAGAGGAUGAUUCAAUUUCAUUUAGAACACUUUUUGUCGGAGAGAUGAAAUUUCAUUUCAAUUGCUUUGUACUUGGUAACAUCAAUGUCAAAUUACUCUAUUCUCGAUCAGAGGAAUAUUUUAUUUCGAUUACUUUGUACUUGUUAGGAGUGACAACAAUGGCAAAUUAGAUGAUCUAUUAUCAGUCACGACAAUAAUUUAAUGUUACCGAACCAGGUUUAGCUAUAAGGAUAGGGAAAUCUUAUAAUUAAUAAGGUUUAACCGUUCAUAUGCUUGUUAACCUAUAAAAAACAUGUAUGGAGGAAUAUUUUUUUUGUUUGAGAACUCGUGAAGGCAAGACGGGGACUUUCUUAUAAGGAUAGGUUUCCAUUAAGACUCAUCUUUGAGUUCAUGUUUAAUUUGGUCCUCGAUGUGCGUUCAAGAGACAAAAACUAUUUUUAAAUGAUAUUUUCUGUGGACAUUAUAGUUUUGAUGGAGGAAACAAGGUAGAUGUUAACUAUAAAUUUGGGUUUUGGAGAUUGGCAUCAAAACCAAAGGUUUUUCCUUGAGAAGGGGUACUACGCAUGCAAUAUAUGCAAUUUUUUAGCAAAAAAACAAUAGAAAAAUUACUUGAAAGUAGAAAUUGGAAAUGUCUAACAUAUUACAGAAUUUUUAGGAAAUUAAUGAAGAUGUCAUCAAAGGAGAAAACAUUGAGAGUUGUAUGAGAGCACAAAUCUCCUACCAAGCUAAAAGAGAAGUUUUUUCGUAUUGCAGUAUGAUAGUAGGAUUAAUUAUACUCUAUUGUGAAUCUUGAGCUUUUAAGAAAUAGUGAGAGAGAGAAAUUAGAGAAGAAAAAAUGAGUUUGUUAAGAUGAAUGUGUUGUUGUAAAAAAAAGGACAUAAUAGAGGAUGAUUGGUUAAGAAAAGAUAUUGGUGGUAACUUAAGUGUGACAAUGAUUGAGGAAAAGAUAAUAUAAAAUCAGUUUUUAUGGUUUCGAUAUGUGCAAAGGCAGCCACUGGUGUGAGGAGAGUGGAUCUCAUGGUUUUUACUUUGAAAAGAAGGGACAUAGGGAGGCUAGAAUUGCAUUGUAGGAAAUUAUUAAAAGGGAUCUCAUGCUGAAUAAUGUUCCUAAGAAUUUGCAUUUCAACUGAGCCUAAUUAUAUUGUGUUAACCAUGUAGCUGAACUCUUGUGAAAUAAAGCUAAUUUUGCUGAGCACUACAUUUUCUCUAGUUCUUACUUCAUUUUUAUCUAAUUUAGGAGAGGAAAAAUUUCAUACCAAGCACAGGUUAGUUCAGACUUAUCAGUCUUCUAUAGGUGCAGCUAAAAAGAUAUCUAUAACACAUAACAUUAUAAUAAAUUGUGGUCCACAGUGAGACUGAUCAAAUCAUUUCUUUUCCUGCCUACAAUCAUGUCAAGAGUAAUUGUUAAUGGUCCAAGUCAUUCAUUGUUCUACCAAAGUCAUUUAGAAAAUAGAGAUUCUUCUAUGUAAACAACACACUAGCUCUUAGUUUUUAAUAGAACACUAAGCAACCAUUUAGGAACAUACGCCAAUAACAUAAAUAAAUCCAGCUUAGUAUGUAAAUUUUAAACACAAUGGAGAUCUAAUAACUUCUCUGCACAAAACCAAACAGUACAAGGUAGGGAUUCCUUUCGAUUCCAAAAUACAUACAAGUCUCUUGAGAUAACAUCACUAGCGUCUAUCACUGCAUCUGAUGUAUUGUCCAUUCUAAAAUUCGGAGUUUCAUUUCGGUUUUGUCUUUAAAAGAAUUUUCGGUUUUGUUCUUACAUCACAAUCAAAUGCAUGUAUCUGAUGGUUUGAAUAUAGUACAUUGUAUCUAAGAAACGAAUAUAUGGUACUAAACAAUUAAUUCAACAAAAAAGUGACAAACUUUCAAUUUGGCAUUACAUAAGUGUAUGAACCCUCUAAGUAAUUCAACCUCAAAAAUCAAAUAGAUCAGACAUAUAUAAGAGAAGCAUCAAGGUAGCCAAAAAGCAUUUGUUUACUGUAUCAAUAAUUUUUGAAGGACUAAUGUUUAUGCGUGGCAGCAGUGAAGUUUAUACAUGGAAUCCUCGGAAGCAAAUUUGCCACUUUUCUCUACUUUUCUUAGUAGCAACCAUGGCAAAUUAAAAGGGUUCUGACUACUGCUUAGGCUUUUUUUUUUUGUGGAAAAUUCUGCAGCAACCAUGGCAAAUCAAAAUCUAUGGGUUGGUUUUGUUAUGUCUUCUUUUCAUGUGAUUGCCGAUUCUUAUAUAAGGAUUGAGAUCCUGAAGUAUUCCUCUUAAUUUUAUUUUAUUUUUUAUUGAUAAAAACAAAUAAUUUUUUAAAAUUUCAUUUAACAUGUACUUCACAUUCGCCAUUACACUAGGAACAUAGUCCAAAAAAGAAAUCACAAACACUCUCACCGUUCCCUUGGCAAAGCAUGGUGUAGGCAUGCAUUGAUAGGAAAGAGUUAUAAUAUUCUUUUAUUUAUUUUGUUGGAAAAAGUAGUAUUCAUUGUAUGUUAGUUUUUCUUGGUAGUUUUAGUCUUAUAGCCCCAGCAUAACUUUCAAACAUGUAUAGUUGUAUAAUAUUUUAAUUUUACUUUUUAAAGACUUAUUUGGCAAUGGAAGCUGGUUACACAGAGAAAGUCGAUGAACCAUGUCAAUGGUACUCCCUAGACAGGUUUCUGGACAUCGAAGGUAAGUAUAUAAUGAACAUGUAAAUACCAGUACACAUUCUUUGACUAAGAAUAAUCAACCUGUCUCAAAUGCUAUAGAAAAACUAAGAUAAGCUAAGUUCACCUAUUAAAUGGCUAUAGUGGGACCACCAAUUGAAGAAGCAAUGUUGCUAUAGUUCUUGUUUCUUCUCUCAGGGUAGAUCCUUUUAAGGCAUGCUUUCUUGUGACAAUGAAAACAUUAAAACUUGAUUUGAGAUUGAUUUAAGGAUUUAGAUUUAUGCUUGUUUAGUUUGGAAUUUCUUUUCUCUGAUCUGCCCCACAUAAUAUUCAAAUAUUCUGCAUUAUUUUUAGUUUUCAUCUCUUCCGCUUUUGAGAUUUCUUUAUUUGAAUUGAGCACUGCACAUGAAAAGUGAUUGUUUGAUCUCUUCCAAACGAAAUAACAUCCUAGAAGUGCUCAUAUGAAUUUGGUAGAGUAUUAAAAAGAAUACGAGCCUUAUCUUCAUUCUAGAGUUUCAUUUCAAGAUUAGGCACUGAAAAAUGAAAAAGGACAGUGGCAGAAGAAAGACAUAAGUGCAUCUUUACAGGGUUUUAAAACAACAAACUACCACCGAAACCAUUUAUUAAAUUGCAAAUAUCUUCUGCUACUUGUAGCACCGUGACCAUACAAAACUUAGUAACUAACCAUUUCUUAUCAAUAUGCUGUUUCUUAAAUGAUAUCUUGCAGCCUAAUAGAUAUAUCCUUGCAGAAAUGCAAACACAAAGAAUUGAAUCUAAACUUUAAGCCAACACAGUUAUUUUGAAUCAAAUUCAUGAGUGUCUACACUGGUGUUAGUAAGCAAUUUUUUCAAAAUCAAUUUUUAUAAUGUUAAAUAAACAAUUCAAAAUAAAAUUUUGUACAUGUUAAGCAAACAAUCACAAAUCUCUCUUACCACUUACACUUUCAAAACAGUUCAGUCAACAAUAUUUGAUCCUAAACAAAUUCAAAACCAAAUACUAUACCAAUUUGAGGCACAUGGAACACUAUAUAGCAGAUAACAAUUUGAAAUCACUUUGGAAAGUACCAUCACUGACUACAUGGAGAACAAAAGCAAAGAAAUAUUAAAAGAAUGAUGCAUGCAUGAGGAUUGAUCUUCUUAGAAUCACUGUUAAGCUUAUUCAUAGCAUCAUGCAUGUAAUCCAGAUCAGCCACAACAAAGACUUCAGCAUAAUCCUGAGAUGAGGAGAAAAAAACAUUAGAAAUGAUUUUAUAUCAGGCAUUAUAUCUCCUAGAAAUUGCACAUAAAAAAAACGGAUUUCCUUUUACUACUUUAUCUGGACAAAAACAUUACUGACUAAGCUGAAUCAUAAGAUACAUUGUAUGAAAUGAGAAGACAUCAAACAUAAAGUGGGGAUACAGAAACCUUAUUUUAUUAUUCAAUAUAUACACUACGCAAAAGGCUACCCAAUUUUUGAAGGACAGAGUGACACACUAGGGAGAGAAGUAAACAAAACACUCUUGAAUUUACCACAAAAAGUUUUAGGAUGACGUGAAUCGAGUGGUCUAAUUUAUCAAGAGUUUCUUUAUAGACAUUCGGAAUUCGCGUAUCAUAAACUGAUUGUUUUAGACACAAACAUGUAGGAAUAGGCAUUUGACUACAUUUCAAUCAUACUAUAUCAACACAAAUCUUAAGUACACAACCGUAAGUCAAUGAGCCAAAAACUAAUAGACGAUUAUAGGUGUAAAACUCGUAUCAAUAUGAAAAUUCAAUAGUUUCUUAAUAGGGAAUAUAUGAUAGUACACUACCUUGAGCUAAGAGAGUUGAUUCGAUAAAAAACUACUAAUGUAUUAAUCAUUGUACACAGUCACUCAGUCUGAAGUCGAUGCAAUGAAGAGAUUGAUCAUAUUUUUAAGAAGUAGAAUCUAGAGAUGGAGUGCAUGUGAUGCAAUCACAAACAAUGAAAGAUGCAGGUGUGAGAAUAGAAAAGGAGUUCUGGCCACUUGGACAUGACUCACUCAUACUCAACCAUAUAGUCAAACAAACUAAAUUUACCCAUGCUUUCCCCGUUUCCCUCUUGUACAGCUUCUUCAGACAUUGAAAGCUACUUGGUAGUGAUCUCAAUUCCUCACAUUCCAAUAUCUUUAGUUCCUAUAGUGCACCCACCCUACUAAUUAAGUUGCUCCGGCAGUACCUUCAGAUUUUUCAUGGAUGCAAUUACCAACUUCUUUAGACAACCCAUAUUCUCCCCAACCCUUUCCAUGAAACAAGUCGUUGCCUCACCUAUGAUGGUGAACAUAAUAAUAACAAUGAUAAUAAUAAUAAUAAGAUUUUUUUUUUUAUCAGCAAUAAAUAGAUAAAAUUAAGAGGGAUACUUCAGGGUAUCCCAACCCGUAUACAUCAACCACAUAGUUACACUCCCCUUUAUGGCUUAGGGGAGACAACCGUUGUGUGGCAAAACCUGCUUAAAAAACUGUAAUCACAGAACAACAAACCAAUUUGCAUCAUCAUGACAGAGGACCUACACGGUUAUGACAGCAACCUAAAUAAUUGCUACACAAAAGCAGCAGUACAUUAUACACCUUGGCAUCCAAACACCGCUACACCACCUUGGCCUCACCUACACCCUUACCUACAUCCACACCUAUACUUCCUACCUUUCACCUUUAUCCCAUUACCCUUCACAAAAAGACCUCCACGCCUCACUUUAUCAACUAAUAUACUUGUCAACAAAGAGAGCACCAAAGAAUGACCAGCAAAGGACCACUAAACAACAUAGAGUCUUCCACUUAUAACUCCAGCUCUAAGUAACCUCUCUAUCCAUCUCCAACCAGCAGCCACACAAGCCCUUAUGUUCAUAGCCAUCCACUUCAAACCAGCCAAGAGCAUGAUGUAGCACUAGGUUAAACGCCACACUUCCACACUAAUAGCAGGACCGUGUCUUGCACUCACUGCACGACAGCAUCGCUCUACUGCUUCAAACUGUUUUUGUACAUCCUGCUAGAAGUCUUACUUCCAAUCUGUUUUUGUACACCCUACUAAAAGCCUUACUUCAGCUGCUGCCACACCUGGUGUGCGUGACACGACUCCAGCAGCAGCUGCCACCUCCACAACACUUUCAUCGACCAUAUCUGAACAUCUCCAGCUAGAGCUGACUGGGUCUAAGAAUAAGCAGCUACUACCCUGGACUACACUGCAGCAUUGUACAUCUUCUUUGACUGCUGGGGCACCACAACCAUACCAACAUACUUGCUUUCCUUACCUAGAUGCUCUCCAUUUCCAGCAAGCAACAUGUUCCUGCAUUCACCACAAUAAAAACCACCCCGAAACGGGUUACAACACUACAUAUUCCCGCUGUCCAGACAUACUCUCUCAUACCCCCAAGGAACUCAAUCCUGCUCCAUAACAGGGUCCUACCAAACCAAAUACUUCACAUGGAGAGCCUAACAGUCUAGGUUUUCCAAAUCCAUCACCUCUGAACAGAACAAGAAAAAAGAGUGCGUCCUCCUUCCAAUUAGCAGCUUUUAAUGCAGAUUGUUGGAUUGAGAACCCAAUCAACAAAGGAAUAAGAAAACGAAUGCGCUUUAUGCUUCAUCCACAGCCAAGACUUGAGUUGAGCCCUCUGAAAAAUCUCCUCUGCAUCUACUACCCCUUGCUGGAAGGUAAUCAGGUUCCUUUGAUCCCAGAUGCAUCUAAUGAUGUUUGCCCAUACCCCUUUCCAGAUUUUAUUUUGCUUGUUGCUAUCUUGAAACAAGUGGAAACUUUGGAAAUGCAGCCUUAAAUCAUUAUGCUGGACGAAGGAGACCAGACCCGUUGGGCAUGAUGACACUCCAAAAAGAGAUGUUGACAAGUCUCCUCCUCUAACUGACACAAAGGGCACACCGUUGAGUUCAACAUCACCCCUCUCCUACUCAAACUCGCUCUUGUAGGAAGUUUACCCAUCAAAACCCUCCAGGCUGUCACUACCACGUUUGGGAACGCCUUCACCUUCCACAAGAGCUUAUACACUUCACUUUGGUUGCCUCUAUCAUGCUUAGCUAAACACUCAUAAGCAGAGUUCACCGAAAACAACCCCGGUACCUCCUUCCCCCACACUUGGAUGUCCUGGNNNNNNNNNNNNNNNNNNNNNNNNNNNNNNNNNNNNNNNNNNNNNNNNNNNNNNNNNNNNNNNNNNNNNNNNNNNNNNNNNNNNNNNNNNNNNNNNNNNNNNNNNNNNNNNNNNNNNNNNNNNNNNNNNNNNNNNNNNNNNNNNNNNNNNNNNNNNNNNNNNNNNNNNNNNNNNNNNNNNNNNNNNNNNNNNNNNNNNNNNNNNNNNNNNNNNNNNNNNNNNNNNNNNNNNNNNNNNNNNNNNNNNNNNNNNNNNNNNNNNNNNNNNNNNNNNNNNNNNNNNNNNNNNNNNNNNNNNNNNNNNNNNNNNNNNNNNNNNNNNNNNNNNNNNNNNNNNNNNNNNNNNNNNNNNNNNNNNNNNNNNNNNNNNNNNNNNNNNNNNNNNNNNNNNNNNNNNNNNNNNNNNNNNNNNNNNNNNNNNNNNNNNNNNNNNNNNNNNNNNNNNNNNNNNNNNNNNNNNNNNNNNNNNNNNNNNNNNNNNNNNNNNNNNNNNNNNNNNNNNNNNNNNNNNNNNNNNNNNNNNNNNNNNNNNNNNNNNNNNNNNNNNNNNNNNNNNNNNNNNNNNNNNNNNNNNNNNNNNNNNNNNNNNNNNNNNNNNNNNNNNNNNNNNNNNNNNNNNNNNNNNNNNNNNNNNNNNNNNNNNNNNNNNNNNAGGUAUUGUUCCAUUGGAAAUUUGUCUGGACGAGCACCUGUGAGUCCCGUAUCCUGCAAAAUAUCAAGCGCAUAUUUUAUCUGGGACAAGUAAAUACCAGCUUUGGAACGGGAAAAUUCAAUCCCUAGAAAAUAUUUUAGGUCUCCAAGAUCUUUAAUGCGAAAUUGUUGUAAUAAACAAUCUUUAACACGCUGAAUUUCUGUCAAAUCAUUUCCUGUCAGAAGAAUAUCAUCCACAUAAAUCAAAAGGGUAGUAAAUGAUGAGUUAUUUUGUCUUGUGAAUAGAGAGUAAUCUGCAUUGGACUGUUGAAAUCCUACAGAUUUAAUCACAUGAGAAAAUGUUGAAAACCAUGUUCGAGAUGCUUGUUUGAGACCAUAAAGGGAUUUGUUGAGUCGACAUACAAUGUUCUCCCCCUGUCGAUGAUGUCCGGGUGGCAAGUCCAUGUAAAUAAUUUCAUGCAAUGUGCCAUGUAAGAAGGCAUUUUGCACAUCUAGCUGGUGAGUAAACCAAUUUCUGGUUGCUGCAAUGGUGAGGAGUCACCUCAAAUUUGUUAAUUUUGCUGUUGGUGAAAAAGUUUCAGAAUAGUCGACACCUUCAAUCUGAGUGUACCCCUUUGCGACAAGGCGCGCCUUAUAUCUGUCGACGCUACCAUCUGAGUUGUACUUUAUUUUAUAGACCCAUUUGCAUCUGAUGGGUUUCUGUCCAGCAGGUAAUGAUGUCAAGGUCCACGUUUGAUUUAGCUGCAAGGCGGAAAGCUCUUCGUCCAUUUCUUUUUUGCCAAUUUGGAUCAAGGAUAGCUUGAGCAUAAGUGUGAGGUUCUUUGGUGNNNNNNNNNNNNNNNNNNNNNNNNNNNNNNNNNNNNNNNNNNNNNNNNNNNNNNNNNNNNNNNNNNNNNNNNNNNNNNNNNNNNNNNNNNNNNNNNNNNNAAAGAAAAUGAUGCAUAGGAUACCUGGUUCCAUUCGAUCGGUCUUGGGCAGUGGUCGAAUGAUUGGCUUGGGAUCCCGUUACGUAGUCUUGAGCCAGGAAGGUUGGGUUGAUGUGCGACUGGAUCGUCGAACUUGAAGGUCGGUUGGAGAAGGUUUGGUAAUGGGUGCUAAACUUCUUGGCAUGGGAGAAGAAGGUUGGUCUACUGGAGGUUCAGGUGUAUUAUGACGAGUAGGAGAAGAAGGUUGGUUUGAUGGAGGUUCAGGUGCAUUGUGACGAGUAGGAGAAGAGAGUUGGUUUGAUGGAGGUUCAAGUGUAUUGUGACGAGUAGGAGAAAAAGGUUGGUUUGAUGGAGGUUCAGGUGCAUUGUGAUGAGUAAGAGAAGAAGGUUGAUCGAGUGAAUGUUGGACAGGAGUGGGUAAGUCAAUGUCAAUAGUGGGCAAAAUACCUUGUAGUGGAGGUGAGGAUUGUGUCUGUGACUGUUGGCAGAAUGGGAAAACACUUUCAUGGAAGAUGACAUCCCGACUUGUAAAAAAAGUGUCUGCAUCUAUAUCAAAUAAUUUGUAUGCUUUUUUACUGUGAGGAUAACCAAUGAAGAUGCAUUGUCGGGCACGCGGAUCAAAUUUUUGCUUAGGUGAAACAACAGUUGCGUAACAGAGGCAACCUAAAGUUUUUAGGUGAGAAAGUGAAGGUGGUUGAUUAUAUAGUAGCUCAGAAGGUGAUUUAUUUUUUAGUAAAGGUGAUGACAAGCGAUUAAUAAUAUAUGUGGCGGUUAAAACGCAUUCUCCCCAAAAUUCUAAUGGUAAAUUGGACUGAAAUAGGAGGGCUCGUGCUGUGUUUAAAACACGUCUAUGUUUGCGUUCUACUACCCCAUUUUGUUGAGGAGUGUAAACGCAAGUGCGUUGACAUUCAAUACCUUUUUGAGAAAAAAAUCAUACAUUGAAAUAAAUUCCAGUCCGUUGUCAACGCGGAUGGUUUUAAUAGAUGCCUGAAAUUGAUUUUGUGCAAAUGUAAUGAAUGACUCUAAGAGAUGUUGGGUUUCAGAUUUUUGAUUCAUAAGAAAUAGCCAAGUACAUCUAGUAUAGUCAUCUAUUAUAGUGAGAAAAAAACGUUUUCCAAAAUGAGUUGGGGUUUUAUUAGGACCUCAAAGAUCACAAUGCAAUAGAUUAAAUGGAGAAUGAGAUUUUAUUGUGCUUAAAGGAAAGGGUAGCCUUGUCUGUUUAGCUUUGGGACAAAUACUACAAUGAUUAUGAAUGGGAAUAAGAUUUUUACUGAUAGGGAUAGGUAGUAGGGAAGAUACAAGUUGUAGACACGCUGGAGAAGGAUGUCCAAGGCGCUUAUGCCAUAAAUCAGGAUCGGUCGAUAUUUGAGAUGCGUGGGCUUGGUUUGGAAGAGGGGACAUGUAGUAUAAGCCUGCGUGUUGUUUACCCGAGCCAAUCAUCCUCCCCGUAGCCAAGUCCUGUAAAACACAACCAUGUGGAGUAAAAACGACACAACAAUUUAGUGAACUGGUUAUCUUGUGAUGGGUUGCUCCGCUAUCCAAAAUCCAUGGUUUUGUAAAAGCAGAAUUAGAAGAGGAGUUAUGGGCAAGCAGACCUGCAGAGCUAACAAACGUGGAGAGACUGUCAGGGCACCAAGAUCGGUGCUCUGAUACCAUGUUAAGAAGUGGGCUUUAAGCCUAACUCAACCCCAUAAAACCGGCUCAUAGGGGUGAGGUUUGCACCCAUUUAUAUAUUAUGAAAUGUCCUUAUCUCUAGUCGAUGUGGGAUUUCCAACACACCCCUCACGCCGAGGCUACCAACUCAUGCGUGGAGAUAUAUGUUAUGGGUGGUCCGAUAACGGCCCGAUAGCGGGUGGACUGAUAAACCCAACAAAUAUUCGCUAGGAUAGGCUCGAAAUGGAUCUGAUACCAUAUAAAAAAAUGAUAAAAAAUGGUAAGAAGAAAAGACGUUUCUUAUUCUCUUAUGUGUAUAUUACAUCACUCAUGUAUAGGAAAUAUAUAGGAGUUUCUCUCUCCCAAAUUACAAUCUAAUUAGGUAGGAUACUAAUCAUGAGAUUCUAUAAUUAUUAAAUUAAUUGCAUAUAAUUGGGUACAAUAUCGUCAAAUAUUGCAUACAAUAAUUGCAUAUAAUUUUAUAAUUAUUAUUUCCUUAAUAGAGAGCUUGAUUAAACAAGCGUAUAUCCUUACACCCGAACCCUCCCUCCUCUUUUGGUCUGCAUACGUCUUUCCAACUAGCCCAAGCAAUUGGCUUAAACAGUUUCCCCCAACCCCACAAGAAUCUUGUUUGAAUGCUUAUAAUCCUUUUACACACCGAAACCGGUGCUCUGAACAAGGAGAGGUAGUACAAUGGGACGGCAGUUAGAACAGAGUUAAUUAGACAAAUCCUCCCUGCCAAGGAUAAGAACCUCCCCUUCCAAGCACUGAGCCUUGCUUUAAGCUUGUUUAGAACUGGUUCCCAGAACUGCUUCUUCCUUGGGUUCCCUCCCACCUCCAGUCCCAAGUACUUGAAGGGUACCUCCAUCUGAANNNNNNNNNNNNNNNNNNNNNNNNNNNNNNNNNNNNNNNNNNNNNNNNNNNNNNNNNNNNNNNNNNNNNNNNNNNNNNNNNNNNNNNNNNNNNNNNNNNNNNNNNNNNNNNNNNNNNNNNNNNNNNNNNNNNNNNNNNNNNNNNNNNNNNNNNNNNNNNNNNNNNNNNNNNNNNNNNNNNNNNNNNNNNNNNNNNNNNNNNNNNNNNNNNNNNNNNNNNNNNNNNNNNNNNNNNNNNNNNNNNNNNNNNNNNNNNNNNNNNNNNNNNNNNNNNNNNNNNNNNNNNNNNNNNNNNNNNNNNNNNNNNNNNNNNNNNNNNNNNNNNNNNNNNNNNNNNNNNNNNNNNNNNNNNNNNNNNNNNNNNNNNNNNNNNNNNNNNNNNNNNNNNNNNNNNNNNNNNNNNNNNNNNNNNNNNNNNNNNNNNNNNNNNNNNNNNNNNNNNNNNNNNNNNNNNNNNNNNNNNNNNNNNNNNNNNNNNNNNNNNNNNNNNNNNNNNNNNNNNNNNNNNNNNNNNNNNNNNNNNNNNNNNNNNNNNNNNNNNNNNNNNNNNNNNNNNNNNNNNNNNNNNNNNNNNNNNNNNNNNNNNNNNNNNNNNNNNNNNNNNNNNNNNNNNNNNNNNNNNNNNNNNNNNNNNNNNNNNUUCUACCUGACAACCCAUUUCCGGUAUUUCGGUUUCUAACCGCCUGGUGGGUUCGGUCUAUAUUGCUCAAGCUUAGAGGGGUCCCUCACCUUCGGGAUUAGCGCAAUAAACGAAGCGUUACAGCCCUUCGGGAUGUUCCCAGUCGCAUGAAACAAAACCAUUGCUUCCAUUAACUCCUCUUUAAUUAGGUCCCAGCUUUUCCUGAUAAAGUUGAAAUUGAAUCCAUCUGGACCAGGACUCUUAGAACCUUCGCAUUGCCACACAGCGUCCUUAAUCUCUUUCUCAGUGAAACCAGCCACCAGCCCCUCAUUAUCCAUUGUGGUUAGGGUCUUAAACUCUACCUCAUCCAACCUUACCCCUAAAUCUUUCGUAGCAUUGAACCUAGCUUCAAACAACUUCUUUGCCUCUAAUCGAACAGUGCCUGGUUCCUCACACCACCGGUCCCCCACCUGAACACCCUUCACUUCAUUCCUGAGUCUUCUCCAUCUCAAAGAUGAAUGAAAGAACCUAGUACACGCGUCCCCAAUCUUAAACCAACUUGCUCUAGCCUUUUGGCAUAUGAGAGAUUCAAGUUUCUUAUCGUUUUCUACCAAACGGCUAGUCAGCUCCAUUCUGGUUAACCUUUCACUUUCCUCAAGGUCCCCAUUACAAUCUCUGUUGUCAAGAUCCUCCAAUUCCUGUAGGAUCCUUCUCUUUGUGGUAUGAAGGUUGCCAAACACCUCCCUGUUCCACACUUUCAGAUCUGACUUGAGAAGUUUCAUUUUCUCUUUCAGUUUUGCUAUUCCGUUCCCCUGGACUGAGAAAGACUUCCAUUUAUCCUUAACCAUGAUGUUGAACCCCUUCUCCUGGAACCAAGCAUCAAUCGAUCUAAAGGGUUUGGGUCCCCAAUCCUUCUCCACGGAUUUAAUCACCAGUGCGCAGUGAUCAGAAACCUCCCUUCGAAGAACAUACUGUUUGCACAUAGGCCACUUCUGCAACCAUUCUUCCGUGACUAACGCUCUAUCAAUUCUGCUCUUAGCUGUUCCAUCAGGUUUAAACCACGUAAACUUCUUACCAACCAAAGGCAGGUCAAACAAGGAAUUGGAUUCAAUGAAAUUGUUGAAGCCAGAUAUCUCUCUUGACUGAUCUCUCUUAUCCCUGAUACCUUUCCUUUCACUUCUACUUCUCACAGCAUUAAAGUCACCAUAAAAGAACCCGACUGAAUCUUGUGAAGCCAGUUUGACAUUGGAGAGCUCCUCCCAUAGGGUCUUCUUUGCAUUCAAUGCACAGGGGGAGUAAACAUUGGCCACAACACACCUAGAAGACGAUUUUAGAUGUAGACCGAUGACCACAAUAAAACCUUUCCCCAUCAGGUGAUUUUCAUAGCUAAAGACUUCUUUAUGCCACAAGGACAACAAGCUUCCACUCCCCUCUUCUCCUUUAUUGUGAAUCCAACCUACUUUAUUAUCACCCCACCAAGAGAAGCACCUAGCAUCCGAGAUUUAUAAUAAUAAUAAUAAUAAGAUGGUGGUGUAGUAACUAGAGGUAAGAUAGUGGAUUGGAAUUAAUGGACCAAACUCACAAGAAAAAAUAGAUUAAUUUAUUUACUCGUCCACUUUAAAAAAUUAUUAUGAAACUUUAAAUUUUAAGUUUCUAAUAUGUAAUUUGUUAAAUUUAAGUUAAACAUUUUCAUUUUAAUUAUGAUUAGUAUGAAGAAAUAUUAGUUUGUAAUUAUAUUUAUACAACUUUUUUUUUCUUAGGACCUCUUUUCAUGCAUAUUUGUUUGUGCAUAUGUCUAUUUAGCAACCUAUUGCAUGUGAUAAGUGUUCCAACUUAUCAAAGUAUUCAUUUUCUUGUAUCAUGUGUCUAGCAGGAAAACAUAAUCAAAUAAGAUUUUUCACACCCAAAUUUACAUUGUGUUUGUGUUCGAGGAGUAGUGUUUUUGCGAAAAGAGAGGUAAGUUACUCUCAUGUUUGUAUGAGCGAUUGUGCGAAGAAAAGGAGACACAAAUUUGAGAGUGAAUACAUUUGGUUUUCCUUACAUUGUGUGAAGAAAGUUGUGCAAAGACAUCUUGAGGAGAUGACAUUAGAAAUAUACCUUUGCCAUAAUAACCCCUUCUUGUUGUAUUGAUGUAAAUAUCAACAAGUAAACUCAAACACUUUUAUUUUCAUACAUGUUUUUACUUUGCAUCAUCUAUGGUUGCAAUGUGUAAAUCAUUUAACAUUGUAUGAUUGAUAAUGGUAAUAUGGUAGCAAUUUUUUUAUUUCAACAUUGUAUGGUUGAUAGUGGUAACAUUGACACAUUUAGUUUAGCAUACAUAGUUUAGCGUACAUGUGACUUAUGAUUGAUUAUGAAUUUUUUAUUUAUUUAUUUCAGUUCUUUGCAUGACAAUUUUCUUGGCUGGAAAAUGAUUGCAGUGAAAUUUUCAAAUUUAGAAAACUAAAAUCAGAGUGGUGGUUUAUAUGAAGAUCAAAGUCGUAGUUUAAUUUGUUACACUCACUUUCAUACCUGUUCCUCAUCAUUUAUAACCAAGGAGUAAUAUACCAGAAGUUUAUGUUCUCGUUGUAGUCAAAUUAAUAAAAUAAAAAAUAAUUCUCAUAUUAUAAAUUAUCGAUUACCUUCAAUCCAAUAACACAAGAAACCUUUGAAGUUUAAAAAUUAUGAUUAUUAAAAAUACCUAAAUUUGAUUUGAUUAGGUUAAUAAGAAUUAUAUGAUUUUUUUAUAACAAUAAAAAUUUUAUUCAAAUAUAGAGAAGUUAAAUCAUUGUAUUAAGUAAACCAAUAAAUAUAAUAUGACACUUUUAUAGAAUUUAAAGUUAUCUUUUUAAUCUAAAAAUUAUAUUUUCAGUUUUCUUAACAAUAAUUUGUAUGAAAUAUGUACAUAUUUUCUAUAAAAAUCAACUGUUUUAUGGUAUUGAUUUAACAGUGUUUAGUUAAAAAAACAUAAUCAAAUAUGGUUUCAAUAGAAUAUGUUGUUUCUAUAUGUCUUUGAUUUUUUUUUAUCAAAUAACAUAUAUCAUUUCCAAUUUAUUGAUUAUGUGCUUGUAUAGACAAAGUAGACCUAGAUAGAACCUAAAAUUAGUUGUACAAAUUGUUGACGUCUUGUUCGUUUGGUUGCUUCCUUAUUUCUCACUUCAAGUCUCUUUCUUUAAUUGUUGGUGCUCAGUCGAGGUAGACUUGAAAAAGUUAUUCCGACAAUCAAGUAAGUAUUCAAUAUACAGAGUGUAUAUUAAAAACUGACUGAUUCAAAGCGUCUCUUACACCUAUGUGGAGGGUUUAUUUAUAAUAUUUAGUUAUGGGCAUCUGUUGUGAUGGUGUUGAAUUUAUCAUAUAUCAACGUUAACUUGAUUCUAAGGAAGUUCCCUAAUUUCUUAAGGCUAAGGCGUUACUCGAAUUUUAUAAUAUAUGUUCCAUAUAUCAUAAUUGUUUUAAAUGUGUUUUCGACCUGUCGAGGCUUGUCCGAUUACUAAGCGGUACAUAUCCAAAAUGGAAAUUAGGUUAAUUCAUAUGAGAUUGAAAUUUAUAGAGAUUAAAAUUUAUAUGAAUUUAAGUUAAGAAAUCUGCAUAUGAUUAUGUAAAUAUUUUGAAAUUAAUAUACACUUAUUUAGAUUACGGUUUUAACUUUAAUUUUUUUAUGUUAUUUAAUCUUCAAUUUUAUUUUUUAAAUAUAUAUUUUCUACAUUUUUAUACGUAAGCACAGUAUCAAAUAAUUUAUAAUUAUUUUUCGACCGAAAUCUCAUAUCAUAACGGGAGUUAUAUUUUAACUAAAGUCGUAAUAUAUAUAUAUAAAUAAUCAACUCUCAUUCUAAUAUUUUAACACAAUGAAAAAAUAAUAAUUUUACAAAAUUUAUUAAUUAAAAAAAUAAUUUUAACUUGUUAUAAUUAAUUAAAUCAAUCACAAAUUUUUAUAAUUUUUUUCUUAAUUCUGUUUUAAUUUAUAAUACAACGAUAAACAAUUGACUGAAUAAUAAAACAUACAUUUGAGCACCACUACAUAGAAAUAAAAAAGUAACAUUUUAGUUAUUUAUACCUGUACAUAUGACUUUUAAAGAUUACUUUUAACUAAACAAAUUCUUUAAAUAUAAAAAUUAUUACAGUCAAAUAAUUUAUUAUAAAGACCCUUUAUUUUAGAACUGAAAUAGCUGAGUCAUAUUUGUUCAACUAUAUUCUAAUUACUCUAUAAUUACUCUAUAUUUUACGUACAGAUGAGUCUCUCUUCUUAAGUCCACAAGUCCCUAUCCCCAAAAAUUUGCAUGAUAAAAAUUUGUGUCUCUAUAUUUUAAAUGGGUUUUAAUUUUUACAAACUGUAUUUCUCCCACAAAAUCUGUAGGUUAUUCAAUCCGUUAAAGAAUACGCAUGCAAUCAAUCAAAUAAAAAAAAAUAAUUUUUUUGAUUGAAUUAAUCUUGAUAAUAAAGCUUAGCCCUAAAAUUCAUGUAACCUAUAUAUCGAAGAGGUUGGGUGUAGAAAACUUAGACCAAAAAUUUUCCAAAAAAACAAAACUCAUUGCCCACGUAAAGUAAGUUGUGGGUUACAAAUGAUCAAAUGCACAUGUAAGUAAAUAACAAACAAACAUAUCUGCACCAUUUUGGUACUAAAAGAUGUACAUGAUGAAUGCACCUUUGCUUACAGGCACUUACGUAGAAGGCAGUUCCAUGAGCGAGAUGAUCCUCGCCGGAUGCUCUCUGCACGCAAUUACGAACAUACAUUAAUGCACAGACUCACAGUAAGGAGAAAUUAAAGAAAAUGAUACAAUCAUUUACUUACCACAAAAUCUUGAAGUCUUUUCCUCUCGGAGUGGGAAUGGGUCGAGUAAUAUUUUUGGAAUGUGGUUUAUGUAUUGCCAAUCCUCUCCCGUAUCCCUCUUGCACCGCUUCGUCAGAUAAGGACAUCCGCGUAUACUUAAAGAAGACAAGUUGGUGAGGCGUUGAAUGCUACUUGGUAGUGAUCUCAACUUUACACAAUAAUGAAUCUUUAAUUCUUGAAGAGAAGUGAUGUCUCCUAGCCAAUCAGGCAAUGAACUAAACAUGCAAACAUCUAUAUUCAAAGUUCGUAGGCAGGGGACACAUUGUAAGCCAUAGGGUAAUGUGGAGCAAUUAUUGAUUGAGACAGUCCAAAGGGCAGUUAGUUGGGUCAUAUUGCUUGGUAGAGUCACCAGCUCAAAACAACAUUCGAUACUCAAACUCUCUAGACAUAUCAAAUAUUGCACACCUUCAGAUAAGGAUUUUAAGUUAUAACAUUUGUAAAUACUCAAAUAUCGAAGAGAGGUUAGACCUUCCAACGCAUGUUCUGAAAAAUACUCCAACUCAUCACAAGAUUCAAUGAUUAGUCUCUGUAGUGAACCCAACCCGCUGAGUUGGUCGGUUAAUACCACCAUUCCAUUAAUCCAUUCAAUGUCCAAGGCCUUUAGACAAGGCAUAUUCUCCACAAUCCCUUCCAUGAAGGAAGUCGCAUCGCAAAUACUAAGGUGCUGAACAGAAGGAAGACGUGGAAAUUUAAUGUUGGAGGAGAUGCCAAUAAUUGUUAAAUGAGAAAGACUAGGGAGCAUCUCUACCCCUUCUUCCCUCAAUAUCCUCUCCAAUUUUGGUAAAUUCCUCACCAACAAAUUCUCCAACAAAGGAAAUGCCUUCUCCUCCACACCAUCAUACGACUCACCAUCUAUCCACUUCACAUAUUUCAUUCCACUCACAUGUAGCCUUUUCAACUGUCUUAGUUUACCAAGUGGAGGAAGCUCCUCACAGUUGUCACAGUCCAACAGUCUAACUUCCACCAAGUCUCUCAGAACUGCACCAUUUCUCAUCCAACUCGAUAAUUGUCUCCCCUGAUAUCCUUUCAUCUCAAAACUCUUCAGAGUUGAGGGAGGUUGCAAGGCUUCCAGUACUCUCUCAACGUUAAUAUUAUUACCUUCUGAAUUAGCAUUACCACCCCAUGACAAUUCUAGGAUAUUCAAGUCCUUCUUACCAGUUAAAUUUGCCUGUUUCGCAUCCCAUUCAUUGGGGACGUUCUCAAGGCCUUUGAUUCUCAGCGUGCCUCCAAGCUUUAAGCUAUGCAACUCUGCUAACCCACACCCUGCCUUUGAUCCCACAAAGAAAGUGCUCAGUGUUCUUAGAUGCCUUAACUUGCCAAUAUGCGGAGGCGUCUCUUGUAUUGAAUAACAAUUAUCAAUCACAAUAUGCCUUAGAUCCUGUAAUUGCGUCAAUUCUUUCGGCAGCCUAAAUUGCCUAAUAUUUUGUAGUUUCAAUAUUUGCAAUUUCGGCAACUGACAAAUUAAUUUAUGUAAGCCUUUUCCAGAACCCCAAUUCCAACUCAAGUAUCUCAAAUGUCUUAAAUCCUUGAGUGGGAACAAAAAAGAAGAACAUGUGCGCAAUACUCGGAGACAAUGGUUUGAUGGCAACAGGCCAAUAUGACCCAAAUCCAGAAAUGUCCGCAGGGAUUGAACUUUCUUGAAAGCAGUCAUAUCAACCUUAGAAUUUAACAAGCUUGAAUAGUGAACUCUAGUUGACAACGGAGUCAACCUUCCUUUCUCAAUAAUCACACAUUCUUCACCAUAAUAGACUGGGCAAGAUCAUGAAAUAGAUCAUGCAUCUUGCAACUUCUAAUCAUACCAAGCCUAUCAAACUUUGCUUCUUGAAAAAAUGAUCUACGGUAUAAUUUUUUCCACAAUUUAUUUCCAACAUCCUCCACUUCUACAUUUCCUUCAGAUUUAAUAAAUCCAUUAGCCAUCCAGAGAUGAAUUAGAUCUUCCUUGUCUAUCUCAAAAUCUUUGGGGAAAAUUGCACAAAAAGAAAAGCAUCUCCUCAGAGACAACUCCAAAUUAGAGUAGCUCAGUCUCAAAGCACGCAUGAUAGAAUUUUCCUCACAUGUCAUAGAACUACUUUCCUCUCGUAUAUUCCAAAUCUCACUUUCUUUUACAUUUUCCCAUUGGCUUACCUCACUUUUAUCACGCAAAAGACUUCCCAUUGUUUUGAUUGCAAGUGGUGAACCAAUGCAUUUUCUCACUAUCUCUCUGCCAAUUGCCACAAGCUCUUCUAUUUCUUCUCUGUUUUGAGCAAACGCAUGGUGUUUGAACAAUGACCAACUGUCGUCUCCUGACAAUUCUUUCAAAUGGUAAGCAGGAUGCGUCUCCAUGGUGGAAGCAACUUCCUCGAGUCGAGUGGUAACCAAAAUGGUAGCUCCUUUUGCUGCCCUUGCACACAACAACUUUCCCUUCAACUGCUUCCAUUUCUCUUGGUCUUCAUUCCACACAUCAUCAAGAACAAGUAAAUACCUUUUGCUGUCCAACACUUCUUCAACCUUUUUCCGCACUGCUUCUAUGGUUUUGAGAUUGGGAUUUUUUCCAGUGCAACACUCUAUUAUGGAUUCUAGAAUCGUCUUCGCAUUGAAAUCAUCAGAAACACAAACCCAAAUUGUCAAGUCAAAAUGGUUGCAUACCUUGUGAUCAUUGAAGACCUGCUUGGCAAGUGUUGUUUUUCCAAGUCCACCCAUACCAACUAUGGGAUAUACGGAAAGUUCUUCACUGUUACUGACAUCUUCCAGGAGAAACUUCACAAUUUCCUCUCGAUCCCGGUCUCGGCCAUAGGCUAUAGGUUCUGUAAUGUCAGAGCUAGUUUGGCGCCAAUUAUCAUCAUCAUUCACUGCUUGCUUCUCUGUUACAUCAUCACGUAACUCAAACAUGCUUCUUUCUUCAUUAAUAUCAUGAAAUCUUUGGGUGAUGUCUUUCAUCCUCUUUCCAAUAUGAAAACGAAAGAGAAUGUCCUUGGGAUGCACAUGGGCCAAGCAUGAAUUUCGCUCGUCAUCAGAUAGCACCUUUUUGGAUUGAAAUGAACAUUCAUCCAAGAUAUCAUCCAGCACAUAUGUUGCAUCUGUGAGUUUCUGCAGCCAACUCUUCACAGCAUGACUUAUUAUUUGCUUACUCUCAGCGUCUCUAAGAACAGCAUGAAUUGCAGUGAGAUUGCUGGAAAGCUUUUGAGUCUGCUGGUCUACACCCCAAUAAGUUACAAGUUGGUUUUGAACUAAAGAUCCCAAAUUUUCAAUCACGAUUUUCAGUAAAGCCUCGGCCAUUUGCAGAAAGGUGAGUUUUUUGGGAUGAUUGUGGUUGUGGAGAAGGAAGUACGUUGAAGAGUGCUAACGUAGAAAAUGAUCAAUUUUCAUUAACAGUUGAAUUGACAAUUGGUGGCGAUGGCAAUAAAAGUUGUCGUUUUCUUCCUUGGCAAGUGGCCCCCUCUUUGCUUGUGUUGACGAAGAAUGUUGAUACGAUGAGUGAACUCAAACCAACCAUAUUAAUUGCAUACCAACCAUAUUAAUUGCAUACCAACCACACCGACUUGUCCACUCACUUUCUCUAUUAUUUCAGCUCAAAUUUCCCAACUUUUUCCACAUAUUUAUCACUUUUGUCGAAAAUAUUUUAUAAAAUAAAAAUACAGAAUUAUACAUAAGUUAUCAAAAUUAGGGGAAAAUAGUUUUUGAAAUUAUGUAUAAGUUAUCUCUAUGGGGGUUUUGUUAUCUGCUGAGUGCCUUCUAUUCUUAUCAUAUUCUAUCUCAUCUAUGUUUCAUCUCUAAGUCAAAAUAAUAAUAGUUUCGUUUGCCAGCUUAAAUAAUUUUCUCCUACUUAAUAUUUUACUGAUUUUUUGUUUUGAUAAUUCAAUAAAUUUUAUUUUAAUUGAAUUCUUUAACAAAAUAUAUUAUCUUAGGUUUUUUGUCACAAUUAUUAACUCUAUUGUCCACGUCUUUAUUAGAUUGACUAUUAUGUUUAAUAAAUUAUUUGUAUUAAUUUUCUUUCUUUACUCGUAUCAACAUAUAUAUGAAGGAAAAAACAUAUUGGUUUUUAUAAUAAAUAUAUAUAUAUAUAGAUCAAAAGAAAAAUUAAAGGAUAUUUAUAUAUAAUGACUAAAAUAUCUAUGUUGAAUCAUAAAUUAGUUUUAUUUUCUUCUUCUUAUUAUUAUUAAUUUUAUUUAUUUUUUAUUAUUAUUGUUUAUUAUAAUUAUUUUAUAAAUUUAUUAUUAAUAAUAUUAUUUUUUAUUAAUAUUGUAUUGUUAUUAUUAUUAUUUUAAUAAUCAAAUUAUUAUUUUAACAAUUCUUAUUAUUAUAUUUUUAUUAUGUUAUAUUAUAUAACAAUUUUAUUUAUUUUAUUAUACCGAAAAUAUAAAUAUUAAUAAAAUUUAUUAUAUAAAAAUAUAAUAUAUAUUUAAUCUAAUAAUUAUAUUUAUAAAUACAAUAAAAUAUUUAUUAUAUAAUUAAAUUGUUCCGCGGCAACGACAUCAAACACUUUAUGAUGCACCGCGUUUGUCAGAAGUAAUAAUUGUCCCUAAGGAAGGAUAUCGAUCCCACAAGGAAUACUUGAACAAUCAAAUAAAAUAUUCACCAAAUAUAAAACAGAAUAAUAAAAAGUGUUUUGAAAGUAAUUAGAAAAAUAGGGAUUGGGUUUUGUACCGUCCCACGAGGUCACUAGGAAUUACACCGACCCGCCUAUUGAAUCGACCGAAAUGGUUAUCAAGCAUGACAUCAACCUUUGUGACUAGCCAGCUUGGCACAAGGAUGAGGGGUUGUGUACCGUCCCGUGAAGUCACUAGGAAUUAGGUCGACCCGAUCAAUGGGUCGAACGAGCUCUUGACGUAUAUAAUAGAUGACACUCAUAAUAUUCCUGGUUACACUAUAAAUGCUGAAGCGAUAUUCCUUAUUACACUAAAUGCUGACGCGAUAUUCCUUAUUACGUUAUGAAUAUUCUGCGAUUAUAUCACGUGAUGGGAAAACUUUAUGACAAGUUACCACAAUACAGGAAAUUAAUGCUGCGAAGAACUGGAGACAAAGGUCCAGGGCCACAAAGACUUAUAAAUAGAUUAUCACUCACAUGGAGUAUCUCAACUCAUAUCUUCGCAUUAUAUUCACUACAUAAAGCAUAUCUUGUGCUCUCAUUGACUUGAGCGUCAGGGUGUCAUCGCAAGAAGAGCUCCCCUUGUUCCCUGAAGGUUGAAUCGCUAAAGCUUGAAGGGAGACAACCAAGAGCUCGUACAGAUUCCGACCGACCUCGAACCGGUGAGAACAUUUGGCGUCCACCAUUGGAUCGUUAAAACUGCGCCCACGACUAGAAGAACUGGAGAGAAGAGUCAGAAACCACAUCAUGAGGACCAGGCAGACACAGAUGCCAGAAGGUGGAGAGGCAUUCAUUCUGCAACAGGUGGUAGAGGCAAUGCAAACUUUGCAAUGUGAAAACGAGAAAUCUAGGAGGCAAGUUUAGGAAUUCUAAGCAGAGCAGAAGUGACUCCGUGUGGAAUUCCUGGCUGAACAACUGAGACUAAGCCGCAAGAUGACUGAUGGAAGAAGCCCUCAAAACGAACGAGGAGUUACAAAAAGCAAAUGAAUAUUUGAGGAGGACAUUUCAGCAACGACUGAGACAAGUGGCCGAAUAUCUGGUCGGAAGGAGAAGAAAGGCGGAUCCCCGACCAUUCAGCCAGGACAUCAUGGAGGAACCCAUACCACAUCAUAUCGCAAUGCCCAAAAUGCCCCAUUCUCGGGAGUCGAGGACUCGAAAACCCACCUAAAGAUUUUCCAAGCCCAAAUGCUGAUUUCUGGGGGCUCAGAUGCGGGCCGAUGCAAGAUGUUGCAGGAAACUUUCACGAGAACAAAUCUGCGUUGGUUUAUCGGAAUCCCCGACGGGGCAAUAAGUUCGUUCUAGGAGUUCUCUUAGAUUUUCGAAGAACUAUUCAUGGCCAACAUUAUCAUGCGUGUAGAACCUAUGGUGGUAGACGCGUUUGUAAAAGGUCCAAAUCCUUUUAGCGACUCCCUGCUAAGAGAACGAAAAAGAGGCCAUCAGAAAAAAGAAGUUGGGCGAGCGACGGGGUGAGGGAAGAUACAAAGAACGGAUUCGGGAAACUCAGCCUAGGCAAACCGAACAAGUUGUCAAGUGGUCGGAGAAAAGGUACGUACCUUAUGUAGCCCAAAAGGAGGAGGCAGGAAGGAAUGCACCAUGGUUACCACCGCCUGCGCCUAAGCCCACCUUGAACCUCACUGUACCUCUAGCUCGCCUGUUGGACGACCGAGCCGUAUCCUCCAAAUUAGAGUUCCCGAGGAAGACUGAUCGCAUUUUGGGUCCCAAAAAGUCUGCUUGGUGCGCAUUUCAUCAAGCGCGCAGUCAUGAUACGAAAGAAUGCCAGGCGCUGCGACACUAACUGGCGGGGUCGAUAGAAAGAGGUCACCUCAGGAAAUUUUUGUGACUUGAAGCAGAGGGUGAAAUCGUCUGAAUAAUGGAGCAACAGGACGACAAUCAUGUAACUCCCAUUGGGAGAUUUCAAUAAUCGUCGGGGGUUUCUCAGCGGGAGGACUAACCGCAGCUAGUCGGAAACGCAACUCCAGAGCGGACCUAGUUUUCGAAACGAUGGAGCUAAAAUCAGUCACGACCCCUAACCUCUGCUUUACGAAAGCCGAUCUCGAAGAUGUGUCUCCCCAUCAGGAUGACCUAGUGGUAAUUACGAGAAGUUGAUUAUGAGAAGGCCUGUUGGGAGUUCAUCUUUUAUACCUUAGGUAGGUUGGAUUUUUGUGAUAAAUGGAUUAGAAGGAUCAAACCGUGCUUGAAAUCUUCUUCUGUUUCGGUGUUAUUAAAUGGCACUCCAACUAAGGAAUUCUAUCCUCAGAAGGGUAUUCGUCAAUGCGAUCCUCUUGUGCCUUUUUUGUUCUUUAUUGUGGCUAAAGGUUUGGUAGGGGUGUUAAGGAAAGUAGUCGAGUGAAACUUGGUUGAAAGUUUGGAGAUCGGGGUUAAGAAGGUAAAGGUGAAUAUGCUCCAAUUCGCUAAUGAUAUUUUGUUCUUUUGUGAAGCCAAUAAUAAAAGCGUGUUCACUAUUAAAGUAAUGUUGAAUUACUUUGAGUUAGCUUCUGGCCUUAAGGUUAACUUCUUGAAAAGUAGGAUUGGUGGGUUGGGAGUGGAUAAGUCUUAGAUCCAACGUUUUGUUGUGUUACUUAAUUGUGACGUGAUGAAUACUCCUUUUAAGUAUCUGGGGUUGCUCAUGGGAGGUUGUCAUAAGAGAAGUGCGUUUUGGGUCGACGAGUUAGAAAGAAUGAAAAGCAGACUGGGUAGGUGGAAAGGUAGAUUCCUAUCACUAACAAGGAGAGUUUGUAUGAUUAAGUUUGUUCUUUCUUCCAUUCCAUUGUUUUACGUUUCUUUGUUUAAGUUGCCUUUUUCGCAGUUGAAGGAAAUCAUGAAAUUACAGAGGAAUUUUGUGUGGGGUUAAGGGUCGGCUGGAAAGAAGAUUGCUUGGGUUUCUUGGAAAAAGGUUUGUGAGCCUUGGGAAGCUGAUGGUCUUGGUACUUUGGACCUUCGGUUAUUCAAUGUGGCCUUGUUGAGAAAAUGGAUUUGGCAUUUGGGUUCUAACAAGGGAGGGCUCUGGAAAGAGAUUAUUGAUUCAAAAUACGGCAGUUGGAGGAGUCUGAAAGAGAAUAAGAGUUCUUACAAUGAGUCUUUGUGAUGGAGAGAUUUGAAGGGGAUUUGUGAGAUGGAGGAGUGGGGAAGAAAUUUUGAGGAUUGCUUCAAGUGGACAAUUGGUAAUGGAAAUAAUGUUUUGUUUUGAGACGAUGUGUGGUUGAGUUCUGGAGCUUUGAAGAGUAGAAUUUCAAAAUUGUUCUUAAGCACUAGCAAUGAAGAUCACUUGGAUUCUUUUGGGGUGUGGGAUUGCAGCUCUUAGAAUUGGGUUCUUAAGUGGAGAAGAGAUUUGUUCGAUUGGAAAAAGACUCAGGAAUUUCAGCUUUUGCAGAAGCUUCAAGGCUUACGUCUCGUCUUGGGUAGGGAAGCUAGAUGGGUGUGGAAGGUUGACCCGAUUUCACGGUUUUCUGUUAGUUUGACAUAUAGUAUUUUAAGGAAGACUUGCAUCAAAGACAUAUAGAUUUUAAGGGGAUUUUUGGAAGAUUAAAAAAUUUAUGAAGAAAUAUCAAUACAAAGAAAAUUAAAUAAAAUAUUUUAUUGAUAUAUUAAAUAAAAUAUUUUAUUGGUAUUUUGAUGUAGGUAAAUAUUAUUGGUGAAAUACAUGUAAAUAUGUAACAUUAUUUUGUUUUUUAUUUUUAUUUUUAUAAUAAAUUUGAAUUGUGGAGAAUAAAUUAUAAUAUAUUUGUAAAUAUAUUUUUAUAAUAAAAUUCGGAUGAAAAAAUUAUAAAAAAAUUAUAAUGUUGGUACUAAAUUAAAUGUUGGUAUUUUUUGUUUGUUAAAAAGAUACUAAAAUAAGUAAUAGUAAAAAUUAAAUAAAAUUGUUUGGAUAUUUAAAAAAAAAUUAACUAAAUGGUUUAAAAAAUUAUAAAUAAAAAUUAAGUUAUUCAUUGAUUGAUUGAUAUGUUGUAUGUAAUAAUAAAAAAAAUUAAGUAUUCUUAGGUUUAAUAAAAAGAAAAAUGUAUAAAUUACAAUUUUAAAAUAAAAAUUAAGAAAAUAAUUAUAUUUAAAUUGAAAGACUAUGUAAAUAAUGAAUUAUAUAUAAAUAUAUGUCAUAAAUGAUAAUAGUUAAUGUUAUAUAAUCAUAUUUAAUUAUAAAUCAAUAUAAAAAAAUUAUAAAGAGAAAUGAAAUAUGUGAUAAACACUAAAAUAAAAUAAUUUUUAAAAAUAAUUAAUAAAUUAAAAAUAAUUGAUCACUUUAAUUUGGGAUGCAUUAAAAAAAUAAAUGUAUUGGUUGUAAAAAAAUAUUUUUAAUGUUUAAAAUAGUUAAAAAUAUAAUUAUUGAAGAAAUAAAAAGUAAUAAUGAUGUGUCCCAACAUUACUCGAGAGUGUCCACUUCUCGUCAUUAAUUAUAUUUCAUUUUGCACAAACUAUUUAAUGUACCAUUGAAGAAAAUAUUAAAUGAAUGAUCAUAUCUAAUUUUUUUUCUUUUUUAUGUUCACUAUAUACUACAUCAUUUCUAUAAUUAACAACAAUUAAAACUAAUAAACAUGAAACAUUUAAAAACAAUUCACAUUUAUGUUAUUUAAAUCUCAUAUAUUUUCUUUUUUCCACCUUUAACUAAUAUAUAAAUUGUAUUUUAAUUAGUGUUCACUACAAAUUUCAUUUCUCUUUAUAAUUUUUUAUAUUUAUUUAUAAUUAAAUAUGAUUAUAUAAUAUUUAUUAUUACAAUUUAUGACAUAUAUUUAUAUAUAUCUCAUUAUUUACAUAAUCUUUCAAUUUAAAUAUAAUUUUUUUCUUAAAAUUUUUUAUUUUAAAAUUAUAAUUUAUACAUUUUUUUAUUAAACCUAAUAAUAAAUUUAUUUACUUAAUUUUUUUAAUUAUUACAUACAUAUCAUCAAUGAAUAAUGUAAUUUUUAUUUAUAUUUUUUUAAACCAUUUAUUUAGUUAAUAAUUUUUUUAUAAAAUAUCCAAACAAUUUUAUUUAAUUUUUACUAUUACUUAUUUUAAUAUCUUUUUAACAAACAAAAAUACCAACAUUAUAAUUUAUUAUAAUUUUUUCAUCUGAAUUUUUUAUUAUAAAAAUAUAUUUACAAAUUUAUUAUAAUUUAUUUUCCACAAUUCAAAUUUACUAUAAAAAAUAGAAAAAAAGCAAAAUAAUGUUACAAUUUUAUAUUUAUUUUACCCAUAAUAUUUACUUACAUCAAAAUACCAAUAAAAUAUUUUAUUUUCUUUUCUUUUGUAUUGAUAUUUCUUCAUAAAUUUUUAUAUAUUUAAUUUUUUAUUUUUAAAUUUUAAAUUUUCUUCUGUUUAAAUUUUAUAAAUAUUUAAAUUCACUAAAAAAAUUAAUGCAAAUGCUACACUUGCUUAAAAUGAGAAGAGAAAAAUAAAAAAAUAAAAAAAUAUAGAAAAUAAAAACAACAACAAUAAAAAAACAAAAAUAUAUAAAAUAUCUCAAUUUUUUUUAAUUUAUUAAUUUCUUAUUACUUUUGAAACAGUGCUAGAUGCUAUAUAGAGAAAUAAAAAUAAAAGGAUGUUAAAUAAAAAAAUAAAAAUAAAAGAAUGUUAAGAUGAAAAAAUAAAAGUGAAAAUAGUGGUAUACGAGGAAAAAUCUUAAUUUAGUAAGUUAUUUAUAUAUAAAACUUAGAAAUAAUUAAAAAAAAAUUAACACAAUUAAGAUUGUGCAUUUGUAAGUGUGAAAAUGUUAUGUAAGUAGCAAGAUCAUAGUAGAGGUUAAACUCUGCGGUAGUUAGAAAUCCUUACUUUAGGAUAGCAAUGGAUGAAUGAUUGGUAGAAUGUAAUCCCAUUUUGGUACUUAAAGAUGUACAUCAUGAAUGCACCUUUGAUUAUAGGUUUAUGUUUUCAGUGACUGUAGCAUACAGGACAGUGUUAAACUCAGCACAAAUACAUAUAAUUCAUCCACCAAUAUCAGUCAAAGCUAUACAGAGCAACAGGUGAUUAAUUGAAUAAAACAGUAACACAUUUGUGAACCACUUUAAUAAUAUAAGGCAAAUUUCAAAUCUGCAUUUUAUAAAUUUAUCUAGCUAGGGUACUGGGAUGUGGAAUCAGUCAUUUACUCAUCUAUUUUGAUGGUUGCAUAGACUCACACAGUAAGGAGAAAUUAAAGAAAAUGAUACAAUCACUCACUUACCACAAAAUCUUGAAGUCUUUUCCUCUCGGAAUGAGAGUAUUAUUUCUGGGAUGUGGUUUAUGUAUUGCCAAUCCUCUCGCGUUCCCUCUUGCACCGCUUCUUCUUCAGAUAAGGACAUUCACUUAUUAUAAAAGAGACAAGUUGGUGAGGCGUUGAAUGCUACUCGGUACUGACCUCAACUUCCUACACUUAAAAAUCUCUAAUUGUUGAAGAGAAGUCAUGUCUCCCAGCCACUCAGGCAAUGAAGUAAACCUGCAAGUUACUAUACGCAAAAUUUUUAGGGAGGGAACACAUUGUAAGCCAUAUGGUAAUAUGGAGCAAUCCAUGAUCGAGACAGUCAGAAGGGUAGUUAGUUGGGUCAUAUUGCUUGGUAGAGUCACCAGCUCUAGACAAUACCAAUCCAACUUUGCCAAAAACACAUUUUUGAGAAGCAAGAUCAGUUUUCAAGAUUGGAUUGGCCUUUGGAAAACUUGUCCAUGGUUUUUAAAAGGUAGUGCACUUUGUUUUCAAGUGAUUCACAAUUUUCACAAAAGUUAGAAUCACACUUGCAAGAAGAAUUAUUGUAAAUCAUUUCCAAAGUUUCAAAAUCUGUUUUUGAAUUGUUCAACUCUUCUUGCAAAGUUUUGACUCUGUUUUCCAACCAGUUGUUUAAAUCUUUCAACCGGUUGUUUAAAAGGGCCAACCUAUUAGCUUCUUCACGAAUCUCAUUGAAGGCUUCAAGAAGUUCACUAUAAUUUUCAAUAUCAAUGGAGGAGCUUGAACUUACACUGCUUGAUUCAGAUUCUUCCUUUACCAUGAAACAAGGAUUGACUUCCUCAUCAUCCUUUGAUGAAGAACUUGAAGAUGAAUCAUCAUUGUAUGCUCUUCUUGAUUUGCCUUUCUUCUUAUACUUCUUGUAACUCCCUUUCUCUUUGAUCACAUUGCUUGGACAUUCAACCUUGAUGUGUCCCUGUUUACCAGAUCCAAAACAAGUACAAUUUGUAGAAUUAAAUUCAUUAACAUUCUUGGUAUUGUACAUGUUUGAUGGCUGGUUUUUGUCCUUGCUAUUCUUCACUUCAAUUGCACCUUCAUGGAAAUCCUCAAGGAUGUCCCACAUCUCCUUUACAAAAGCACAUUUUGAGACCCUGAAAAACUCAUUGGAAUUUAAGGCAGAAGAGGUGAUAUUCUUAGCAAUGCAAUCAUAUUGAGCCUUUUUAGUUUCACUCUCAGUUCAUUGGGACCAAGGUUUCUUAAUGAAAACAUUAUCUGUUUUUAACUUUAGGAAUAAAUGGGCCAUUUACAAUAGCAUCCCAAAUUCCUCUUGAUUCAACAAAGAUUUUCAUUCUAACCUUCCAUAAUUGAUAAUUCAAUCCACAAAACAGAGGUGGCCGGUUUAUUGAAGCACCCUCCCCAAAGGGUAAUUUUUCAGCCAUUUAAAAAAGGUUUAGGAUCAAAACUCGAAUAACUUUCAAGAACCUUACUCUUGAUGCCAAUUGUUAGAAUUAUAGGGCUAUAAAAAGGAGGGGGGGGGGGGGGUGGAAUUGUUUUUGAAAGAUUUUCGCCAGUAUUGAAGAUAGAGUGAAAGGUUAUGAAGAAUUAAUCAAUGGAAAAACUAUCCAGCCAAAUAUGAAAUUGUUUUAAGCUUGAUGCAGAAAUUCAACCUGUUGUUUUUACGAAAUAACCGGUUGUUUUUAUCAGCAGUUUUAUCAAAACAAAUUUAAAGCAAUUUAAAGAGUGUAAGGAUAGAGAGAUUCACACAGAAUGUUUAUACUGGUUCACUCAACACCUGAGCUACAUCCAGUCCUCGGAAACCACUAAGAAUUCACUAUUUAAUCAAUCACAGAUUACAAAUUACACAACCACAAAGAGGUGACUUUGAAUCCCACAAAGCCCACUCACCCUCUUUGCAAUACCACACACCUCAAGCCAGAAUCUCACUAACUUUACAGGAUUUCACACUCCAAGAAUGUUGAUCUUGAUCCCCCAAGAACACAGAACACUUCUUGGAAACACCAAUACAAAAAUACAAUUAUUAAGAAGGAAGGGAAUAGAAAACACCUGGGUAAAUCACAAGAUCAAAGAUCAGAAUACAAGACCCAAUCCUAUUCCACACACUUGAGAUGAUCCAAAGCUCUUUCAAAACUGUUUUUGAUUGAUCUCUUUCUUCGUUUUAAACAUAGGAGCGUAAAAAACACCUUUUUAUCUUUCAAUCAAAUGGUUAAAACAAUUUACAACAAUAGCCCAAAAGCAGUUGGAAUCAUUCAAAAUAGAAAAACCACCUAACAACAUUUUGUUAAGGUUUUCAGCAAAACAGUCGGCUGGUUUUUUUAAAUAACUGAUUGAAUGUUUUUAGACAACAUUCAAAAUCAUUAAGUGUCAAAUAACCUGUUGUUUUGAAAUUUUAACCUGUUAAAAUUUGUUUGACAGCAAAGGCAAAGACAGAGCUUUUCCAAAUCAGUUUGAAAUCUGCUAAGUGUCAAACAACCUGUUGAAACGAAAUUUCAACCUGUUGAAUUUUGUUUGACAGCAAAGGCAAAGACAAAGCUUAAAAUCCACUGUGUCAAACAACCUGUUAAAUCGAAAUUUCAACUUGUUGAAAAUUCACUUCCUUUUAGAAAAUCCAUCUUUUCAAAAUGUUAAAGAUUCGAUUGAGCUUGGAUCAACAUAAGGAGUGAAUUAACAAGUUUCAAACAACUAGACACACACACAACAACAAGGUCUUCAAGCUUUCCACUAGGAUUUGGAGACAUCAAAGCAUCUGGUUCAACAAUAUUUACGUCCACGGUGGAGGUCCAAGGGAGGACUCGGAACUGUUCACUAUGGGAUUAGCUCUUCAUCCAGGUUAAGUCUAUGCUCUAAUGCUUAAUCUAACAGUGAUAUUGUUAAAUGUAUUCAUCGUUUGAGGAUAAAACAAAAUGAUGUUGAAUCUUUUAGGCUGUGGGGGUUGGGUAAACACUUGGGAAUGAAGUGUUCAGAAGAUGAAGAGGUGGUCAUUAGAGAAUUGGAAGGUUUGGAGGUCAUGGAUAAUGAAAUUAAGAAGUUGCUUGAGGAGGGUGCCAUAAACGAUGAAUUAUGAUUAUUGUUAAUUUGAAUAUUAGAGGUAUAAAGGGGGCACUAAAGCAUGUUACUCGAAACACAUUAUUGCUAAGGAGAGUGCAAAAUUCUUAUGCUUACAAGAGACAAAAACGACUAAUCUAUCAGAUAAUAGAUGUUUUUUUGUUAUGGGGGGAUAACAAUGUUGAGUGCAUACAUAACGAAGGAGUAAAUGAAGCAGGGAACAUUUUAUCUUUGUGGCACAAGGAAGCAUUCUGAUAUGAAAACCAUGUAGUAGGAAGUGGCUUCAUUGUUAUCAUGGGACAACACCUUAAAUCAAACAAGUUAUGUGUCGUAAUUAAUGUAUAUGCAACAUGUAACAUAAGUGAUAAGGUUGCUUUAUGGGAAGCUCUGACGUAUUUAAAGAGUUCACAUCAGAGUAUGACUUGGUGCUUUUGUGGGGAUUUUAAUGUUUUUAGAAGGGAUGACGAAAGGAAAGGGAUCGGAGGGAGUUCUAGUAAAAAAAAAGGAGAUUAUUGGCUUUAAUCGUUUUAUUGAAACGAAUUUUCUGGUGGAAUUACCAAGUGUAGGAAAACAAUAUACUUGGUAUAAAUCAGAUGGCACAUCUAAAAGCAGAUUAGAUAGAAUUCUUGUCUCCGAAGAAUGGCUUCAAAUUUGGCCAUCAGGCAAGCAAUGUAUACAACCAAGGGUGGUUUCCGACCAUUGUGCUUUAGUGGUGAAGUAUUUAGUCAGAGAUUGGGGUCCUAAACCUUUUAGGACCAUUAAUGCAUGGUGGAUGGAGCCUGGUUUCAAGGACUUUGUGAAGGAGAAAUGGAGGUUAUACAACAUGCAGGGCAAUAGUAUAUCUAAAUUCAAAGAUAAGUUAAAGUUAUUUAAGGAUAACCUUAAAGAAUGGAACGAUAUUGAUAAGUUAAAGUUGCUUAAUACUGAUAAACAACUUCAUUUUGAGUUUCGGACCGAAGGAAUAGUAAAAUAACUUUUGAACAAGCUAAUAAUGAGUUUCAGACUGCUAGAACGGUAAGAUAACUUUGAGCGAGUCGUGUUAGACCGCCUGAAGCGUGUUAUCUCGUUUGUUUUAGUCGCAUUAGUGAUGAAUUUUUAUGGCAAGUGCACCGCGUUUGUCAGAAGUAAUAAUUGUUCCUAAGGACGGAUAUCGAUCCCACAAGGAACAGUAAAUUAUCAAAUACAAUAUUCGUUAAAUAUAACAACAGAACAAUAAAAAGAGUGUUGAAUUGAGUGUCUUGGCACUGAUCAAUAAGAAAACAAACAAAGAAUUAGUUGCUUCAGUUGGAAAAAUAGGGAUUAGGUUUAAUCUCUCUCACUCUCAUGUAUUUUGAUUAGCAUGUCAAUAUUAAGUUCCUUGAUUGAAAUUGAUGCCCGUAGAAAAUUCAUUUAUAUCGAUCUCUCGCAUAUAAAAUUCUUAAGAAUGAUUCCUAAAUAUCGAUAUCUCGCAUACCUAUAAAAACAACUUAGAAAUCACAAUCAGACGUUAAUGGCAAUUAACAUUUCAAGUCUAUCUUUAACACUCAAAUAUGUUAAGUAUUGAUGUUUAGGUCGGAACCCUAAAAAUACCUCUCGGUCAGAUUUAAGAUUCUCAAUUUUUCACGGAAAGUUAAAAGUAAAACAACAAUACCAAUAAUCAAUCAAGAACUGAAUAUUAAUAUAUAAGAUAUCACUUCAAUACAUAAGAGUUUAAGCAGAUUACUCUGAAUCUCAAAGGGUAGAAUUAGCCACGCAUACUUCUAGCACCUUCCAUUCUGCCAAUUGGGUUACAAUUCACUCUAUGGUGUUUUCCUCUCAAUUUGGCACGCUAGAUUUGAGCCUCUAGCCCCCUAUUUAUCCUAGUUUUCUAGGGUUAGGUCGCUUCUUGUGUCGCACUAAUGGGCUAAGUGAUAAAACAUAAAAAAGGCUCAAUCUUUCUUUGCAUCUUUUCCAUUAUGGGACCUUCCAACUUUCUCUUUUUAGCUCAAAUUAUUCUCCUAUUCUCCAAAUCUUCAAUCCUCCCUAAAAAUAUGCAAUUAAAUCCAAAUUUGGGAACAAAAUGCUCUUAUUCAAAUAAAGCUCAUAAAAAUGUAAAAAGGUAUAAAUUCAUAAAUUAGGGAUUAUUUUAUAUGUAAAUUAGCAAUAAAUCCUCAUAAGUGCCUACAUUUUAAUAUGAAAUAUUACUGAAAUUUGACACUUAUCAAUUAGGCGAUGUUAUUGUUGUGUUGAUUGCUUGAUGCGAUAAUAAUAAUACUGAUCGGUUCGACCGAUAAAAAAUGCACAGUUUGAGAUUAUUUUCUCAAUAUAUAUUUGGUUUCUGGUCACAAUUAGUGAGAUUUGAUUGAGUUAGCAGGAGGAUAACUAUUUCCGACCGACCGGAUGUGAUGAAAAAAAUAAAGAAAGAUAUAAAAUACUGGAAUGUUUAAAGUGCCUCCUUAAAACCUUCUCGAUUGAAACCCUCCUUAGGGAUAAAAUAACCGAGCGAAGAAAGAGUACACUAAUAAUGUUUAUCAGCUAUAAUUGAAUUUGAUAUGUGUGGCAUUCCAUGUUCUUGGUACAGUUUUUCCUUAUAAAUAUUCUAAGUGAUAAGCACCUCUUGCUGCUGUGUCAGCAAUUCGAAAUGGUCCUUCCCAAUUGCUGGAGAAUUUACCUUCCGCCUUUCGGGCAUCGCUGCGCAUUCGCCAUACUAAAUCUCCUUGGUGAAAGUUUCUUGGUUUUACCUUUGAAUUAUACUGUUUGGCCGCCCUCAAUUUGCAUGCUUCUUCUCUUAUUAUGCUUUUAUCCCCGAGUUCAUUAAUGAGGUCGAGGCCAACCAAUAAGCUUUCUUUGUUCAAGUUCAAAUCUAGUGUUUGCCGACGUAGGGAAGGUUCCCCUAUUUCGACAGGUAUCAUAGCUUUUGUACCGUAGGUUAGGCUAUAUGUCAUUUCUUGAGUUGUAGACUAUGGUGUACACUGGUAGGCUCACAGGACCUCAAGAAGUUCUCCAGUCCACUUUUGUUUAGCGGGGUCGAGCCGUUUUUUUAACUCGUUGAGGAUGACUUUAUUGGCGACCUCAACUUGGGCGUUAGUCUGAGGGUGUUCUAUUGAAGUCGUGACAUGUUUGAUAUCAAGUUUCUCGUAAAACUGGGCCAAUUCUCGAUCAGUAAAUUGAUGACCGUUGUCAGUAAUAAUAGCGUGAGGUAGACCGAACUAGCAUACAAUAUUCUUCCAAACGAAAUUUUUGACAUUUCGUGCGGUGAUUGCCAUUAAGGGUUCGACUUCUAUCCAUUUUUUGAAGUAGUCUAUACCAACUAGCAAAAAUUUGCAUUGACCUUUGCGCAGAGCGAAUGGUCCAAUAAUGUCCAUUCCUUAUUUGACAAACAACCAUGGGGAAAGAAUGUAGUGGAUAUUUUCAGGUUUCUGGUGGAAUAAACUUCCAUAUUCUUGACAUUUCACGCAUUUUCGUACAUAUUUUGUGUAAUCACCCUGUAUGGUCAGCCAAUAAUAACCUACUCUCAAUACUUUAGCAGCCAUCAUUCGUGCUCCUAAAUGGGUGCCGCAUAUCCCUUCGUGUAUUUCUUGCCUAACAUAUGUGGCUUGUUCAGGAGAAAGACAUUUCAGCAGUGGACGAGUAUAGCCUCGUCGGUAAAGAUCUUGAUUUAUUAAGAGGAUAUGUACCGCUUGUCGCCUCAAUGUUUUCUUUGAAUGUAUGUCAUGCGUUCCAUCUAUCAAGAAUUGUUUGAUGGGUGUCAUCCAAUCGAGUAGGGUGUCGAUCGUCAAGCAUUCCUCGGAACCUACGCUAGGUUUAACUAGCGUUAUGUAAACGACUGACCGGUGAAGCCCCUUUUUCAUGGCGGUGGCAAGACGGAAAAGCAUAUAUGCUCGGACGUUAUCCUUUCGGCGUAUGUGUUGAAUUUUAACUUCCUCAAACUUUGUGAUUAAUUCUUGCACGAAAUGGAAAUAAUGUUGUAAAAGUGUUUCACGUACUUCAAACUCUCCUAUUAACUAUCUGACCACUAGCUGUGAGUCACUUUUGUAUAACAAUUUCUUUACUUCCAAAUCUGUUGCAAGAUUAAGACCAGCUAUAAUUGUCUCGUAUUCAGCCUGGUUAUUUGAAGAUUUAAACUCAAACUUUAGGGCUUGUUCGAUAAGAAUGUUACCUGGUCUUUCUAGUACCACUCCUGCGCUGCAUGACCGAUUAUUGGAAGAACCGUCGACGUGCAAAAUCCAUGUAGAAUUACUUUCUUGGUUUUGAGGAGGGCUAAAUUCAAUUGUGAAAUCAGCUAAAGCCUGUGACUUGGUUUCUCCCCUAGGUUGAUAUUGGAUAUGAAAUUCUGAUAAUUCAAUGAACCAUCCUAUCAUUUGUCCGACCAGAUCUGGUUUCGCCAAUAUCUUCAUGAUGGGGUAAUCAAUUUUCACUAUGAUUCGAUGAUUCUGGAAAUACAUACGCAUGCGUCGUGCAGUAGUAAUCAGGGCCAAAACUACUUUUUCUAUCAUUUGAUUUGUACUUUCUGCCCCGUGAAGUACUCGACUCACAAAGUAAACAAGGUGUUCUUCGGUCUCCACUUCUUGGACUAAGACUGCGCUAACUACAUCUUCUGAAACAGUAAGGUAAACAAUAAUAGGUUCCUUGGAAAUUGGCUUUUGGAUGAUCAGAGGGGAGGCUAAGAAGGUAUUCAACUGGAGGAAUAUUGUCUCGCACUCAUCCAUCCAUUGGAACUUUGACGCUUUGCCCAAUAGUUGAAUAAUGGGUUUAGUUUUUUUCGCUAAUCUUGGCACAAAUCUGGAUAAUGCAGUCAGUCGUCCGACUGACCUCUGAACUUCUUUGACAUUUUUUGGGCUUCGCAUCUUGGCUAUGGCUCUAGAUUUUUCGGGGUUAGCUUCUAUGCCGCAGUGUAUGAGCAUGAAGCCUAAAAAUGUUCCUCAUUCGACACCAAAUGCAUACUUAUCUGGGUUAAGACGCAUGCCAUGUUUUCGAAGCACUUGGAAGACUUCCCUUAAGUCGUUGAUGUGUUGUUCGCAUGAAUUAGAUUUGACAACAAUAUCAUCCACAUAAACUUUGAUGCUUCUGCCAAUCAUGUCCAUCAACCGUUGAUAGGUGGCACCGACAUUCUUGAGGCCGAAUGGCAUGACUUCAUAGUAGAAAUUUUCGGAAUCAUUCAUGAAGGUUGUUUUUUUCCUUAUCUCUUGGAUGCAUUUGGAUUUGAUUGUAUCCCGAGUAGGUGUCGAGAAAGCUGAGAAUAUUAUGACCUGCGGCUCCAUCAGCGAAUCGGUCGAUAGUGGGUAGAGGAUAAGAGUCUUUGGGGCAUACUUUAUUGAGAUCAGUGUAAUCCACACACAUCCGUUAUUUGCCAUUGGAUUUCUAAACCAUCACCACAUUAACUAGCCAAGUAGUAUAGUGUGCUUUUUGAAUAAAACCAGCUUUCAUUAAUUUUGUUGUUUCGUAGCGGGCGGCUUUGUGCCUUUCCUCUCCCAACUUACAUCUCUUUUGAGCUAUCGGCCUUGCUUCUUUGUAAAUAGAUAGACGAUAUGUGAUAAUUUCUGGACUUACUCCAGGCAUAUCAGUUGUUGUCCAAGCAAACAGAUCGACAUUAUCCAUUAAAGUGGUGUUGAUCAAUUUACGGUCGUUCGACUUUAGAGACGUCCCAAUCUACGUCUUGUGUGUAUCAUCGUGGAGGGGUAAAGUUUGAAGAUCUUCACCGGGCUCCAUGCGAGGAUCAUCAAGUCUAUGAUCCAAAUCUACGAGUGCAACCAUGUCUCUUCUGAAGUGUCUCUCCUGUGAGUGUUGUUCUGACGAUCGUUCUCGUCUUCUGGGUGAUUGACCGCACAAUGAUGUUUUGUAUAACCUUCUAGUAGGUUCUACUCUUAAGCUUGCAACAUAACAUUCCCGAGCGGUUUUUUUAUCAACAUGGACUAUCGCAAUAUCUCUAGUGGCAGAGGGAAAUUUCAUUGCUAAAUGUGGAGUACAGACGAUUGCUCUCAAAUGGUUGAUGGAAGAACGACCGAGCAAUAUGAUAUAUGAGGUAUUGGCAUUAACCAAUAAGUACCUAACCUUAAUAGUUUUAUUAAGUCCCCCUUCUUCACCGAAUGUGGUAUAUAGGUCGAUAUAGCCUUUGGUAUCUACUUGUUCUCUUGAGAACCCAACAAUCUGUUCGUUAUAGGACUGAAUGUCUGUCUCUGAAAUUCUCAUUUUUUGGAAGGUUCUCCAGUAAAGGAUAUCUCCGGAGCUACCUUGGUCUACUAGUACUUUGGUAAUUGCAAAUGUAUCAAUUUCUACCAUAAUUACCAUGGGAUUGUCCUGUGCUGGAUCUAUCGCAGUAAAAUCAUCAUCAGUGAAUGUUAUUGGAGGCAUUCAGGGUCGUUUCUGAGUUGACGUGGAGUGGAUUGAUUGAAUAGCUCUAAGAUGUUUCUUUUUGGCUGAAUUCGAACAUCUGCCUCCUGCAAAACCUCCAACAAUGUAAUUGACUUCUCGGACUCUUCGUUUAGUCUGAUUUCUACUCUCAGGACUUUCACUCUGAGGUCAAAUCCUCGGGACUGGACUUUCACUUCUUCUAUGUCUAGUGGGUCGCUGAUUGUUGUCACGACGACGCAAGUCUCCUCGUCCAAGUCGAUCGCAAUGUUCUUUUGGGGUCAGUCGUUCCCCUUGGGGAGAUCGACAGUGCGUAGAGACAUCAGUUUUAAUGAACUGACGGAAAUGUCCAGCCUGGAUGAGUGUUCUACUUUGUGUUUUAAUGUCUGGCAUCCUUCGGUUGUGUGACCGUAUUUACGAUGGUAUUGACAACGUUUGGACGUGUCGGUAUUCCAUGGAGUUUGUGAUGGCCUUAAUGCUGGAAUCAAUUCGGCUUGUAGAGCGUCAUCUAAAAUCUUUCCUCUUGGAACAGUCAGAGGAGUAUAAUUACUAAACUGAGGUCCUUGGUUUUCUCUAAAACAAUCCAUCCGGUCGAACAUGGGUCAGUUGCUUUUUUCCUUUUCUUUUCCUUUGUUAGUGUUUUCAGCUUGAUGAUUCCUAUGAUAAUCAAUAUGUUCUUCAAUUUGCAUGAGUUUGGUUGCUCGAUUCCGCAGUUCGUCCAUAUUUUUGGCUGGUCUUUUGAUUAGGCUUUCGGUGAAUCGGCAUGGUCGAAUUGCCCCGACCAAAUGGUGCAUAGCUAUCUCAGGGUUUAAGUUUCUGAUGUUCCUACGUACCUUGCUAAAUCUAUCCAUGAAUGCCACAGGGACUCUUCUCUCUCUUGCUUUACAUUUAGAAGGGAUAAGGAGGACGUGUGAUGGGGUCGACUGGUUGCAUACUGCAUGAUGAACUUUGAGGUUAAAAUCUUAAAGUUUGCCGCUGAGUGGGGAGGUAUCAUGUAAAUCAGUUGAGUGGUCCUUCUUGUAGAGUGGUUGGAAAUGCUUUGCACCAGACUGCCUUGUCUGUUGUAUAUAGGGUCAUUUGGGUUUUGAAGACAUUCAGAUGUACAUAUGAGUCAGUCGAACCAUCAUAGAGCUUGAUAUUUAGACCUUUCCACUUAGCUGGGAAUGGUGUAUCAAUUAUUUCAUCUGUAAAAGGGUUGCCCCUCAUGUCUUCUUCAUUAUCUGGAGUGGUAGGCAUUAUGGAGCUUUGGUGGGUUUGACGAGUCUGGAGAGUAGGUGGAGGCUGUGGAGUAUGGUGAGUCGAAGUGGUCUGACUAUUCGGUGGUGCCUGGUAUUGUCCUUCUCGUUCAUAGUGUUCAAGUCGUUGUUGCAAGCAUCUAUUUUGUUCUUUUAGUUGAGACAUUUCUUCUUCGUAUUGGCGUUGGUUUUCUUCAUUGCGUAGCUGGUCCGCAAUACCUUUUUGACGCAACUCCUCCAUUUGUGCUUGAAGGGCUCUAAUCAUGGCUGCUUGUUCGUCCGACAUGCGGUCGAUGGCGUUAUUCCUUGUUGAUACCAUUGUUGAUCGAUUUGCGGUAGGAGAUUAAAAUUGCUACUUCGAACCCACGGUGGGCGCCAAUUGAAUCUGUACUGGGAAUGAGGGGCCUACAUAGCCCUUUGACAGUUAACACAGUUGCUGACGUACCAGUGAUCUUUGAUUUACUUCAAGCUUCCUUCCUUCGCUAUUGGUGUUCCGCCGGUCGAGGUACCUACGAUUGCAAUCUGACAUUUAAGUCAGUGCUAGGAUUUAUGUAUGUUCUGGUAGAAUAUGAAAAAUGUACCUCACUCUUGAACCAAGGAUUCUAUUUAUAAUGUUGACUCAUGCACUUUUACCUCUAUUUAUGGAAGGGGCCCCAACACCAAUCCAUUAAAAGGCCACCAAACAUCUCAAAUUGAGGCAACCACUAGAGUUAUGGUCAAGAGGGUUCAAGAGGACGCAUUUUACAUGCCAUAAACUCUAGUGUAGAAUAGUUUUUAAAUUCUUGUAAAAAUUAGCAUAGGAAUUUUAUUCGUAAUUUUUCCUUAGAUGAAAUAUGUCACCUAAAAACUAACCUUAGUUAAAUUAGGAUUUCUAAAACACCUAAUUUUAACCAAGGCACAUUUUCCACAUAUUCCAUAUUUAACAUGUGCUAAAUUUUUUCCAUCACAUGUUAAAUAUGCUACAUGUGCUCCAUGUGCUAAGUGUAAAAUAGGCGCCACUUUUAAGUUCUUUUUCAUUUGAAAUUCCCUCCAAUUCUCUUGUUCAAAUCCAGCCCUCACUUGCUAUAUAAUGAGGUGUUUGGGUCAUGUAAAUUCAAGAUUAAUAUACUUAGUGAAUUGCUGCCAAAUUGUGCCAAUUUCACUUCUUGCCCAAAACCUCCUAGGUUAGGCUUUUAAUCUUCAUAAACUUCCCCUUUCCAAGUAGAGUUGGCCUCACCACUCUCAAAUCCUACCUCUCAUGCACCUUCAAGGUCACCACCACUCCUAGGAGGACCUUGCUUCAUCUUCAAUCCAUGAUGCUUUCGCCAUUCACCAACAAAUUCCGAAAAUAUGAAGGUACAUCUCCAUCAUUUGGUAUCUAGAGUCAUGGUCUUCAAGAGCUAAGUGCCUUAUUUCAUUUUAAUUUUUGUGUUCAUCUUGUUUUCGUGUUGUUCUUCAAGUUUUCCUUAUUGUCUUGCUGUUUUUUACAUUUUAAUUUGAUUUAGGUGCUGUUUGGAGAAAUCCAAUCGGUGCAUUGUGUUCAAAUUGUUCUUGAGCUUCUAAUUGUCAAAUUUGUGUAGGAUCCCAUAUAGAUUUGUGUUGCUGUUCUGUUUUUUGGUUUAUUUGAGUCUUAUUUGCAAUUCUAAUCGGUUCAUUGUGUGUUUUGAGUCAUUUUAAUUUUUGAAUCCAAUUGUGUUUUGUCUAGUCAUGUUUCUCCUAAAAUUGUCAUCAAUUCCAUGUAGUGUUGUUUUUGAUAAUUUUGGUUUCUUGAUUUGAUUUGAGUCCAGUUUUAUUUUGAGUUUGUUUGAUCCUUUGGUGCAUUUUUCUUUUUAAUUUUGAGUUCAUAUUUGUGUGUUAGAUCCAUACAAAUUCAUAUACAUCCAUUCCAUUGUGUUUUUGAAGUUUCUUCAAUCUGUUUUUAAUUCCAGAAGUGUCUAUUUUUUUUAUUAUGAAAUUAAAAUACGUUGAAGAAAAAAUAUGUUGGAUCUAUACAGAUUAAUGUAUUAUAAAAUCAAGAAAAAAAAUCAGAUCAAAACACAAUAGAAAAAAAAAUGAUAAAUCAAACAAAAAAUGUGUACAUCGUGGCGCCAACAGAAUCUGUAAUUUGACAAGAAUUUUGAAAAAUUUAUCACAAUUAUUUGGUGCAUAAUUUUGGUGUGAUUCCAGCGCCAAAAGUUUUCUAAGACCUUGAAUUGUUUGUGGUUCAAAUUUCAGAAUCAGAUUUCAAAUAGCCAGCUCAGCAUAAAUUUUAUAAGUCAUGCUUUUUGUACCUAAAAUUUCCGGUAGUACUGUUUUGAUUUUUUUUUAAUAAUUUCUAGUGUCAUUCUCUUGGUUCAAUUUGUGUGCUACCUUUUGUUGAGUGCCUUCUUGUCAAAUUUAUUCAAUAUUCCUUCUAGUUGUGUCCUAUAAAUCAAUCAAUUUGUUGUUGUCCUAUUUUUUAAAUUUGAAUUGUUCUUUGCUUUAACUUCUUGACCUCUAAUUGUUGGUGAACAAAAAUUCAAAUUGGUGCUUGUUAAGUUGGAAUUAACCUUGUGGUGAGUCCAUCCCUACUUAGUAGGUACUGUUUUGAAGAUUUUAAUUUGCUAAUCAUAAGAGGUUAAGGCAAGGAGCUGCAGCAAAUAUAAAUACAAAAAUAUACACAUCAAGGAAGAUCAACCACAAGCCAAAGAGUGCAUAGUUAAGGAAAUCUGAGUUUUAUUUUGUGUAAUUAAAUUUCCUUUGUAUUUCCUUUGAGUUGUAAUUACAUUCAACUUUGAUUAAUUAGUGGAAUAAUUACGUGUAGACGGUGAGUGUGUCUUCAAUGACUCCAAGUGUCUAGAAGCCUCACCUUAGGAUUCGUCUAGUUUAAAGUUUUUUAGUUAGCAAUCUUUAAUUUGUGCUUAGUUAAUUGUUUUGCUUUAAUUACUUGUUUUGUAUUGUUAAUUGCUUUGCAUUGUUUUCUUUGCAUAAAAUUGUGUUUUCAUUUCUACUUGUGAUUUACGUAGUUUACUUAAAAAAAGGUUUGUGACAAGUUUUGAGGGAUAGUUUUUGGCAAGGAAAGACUUGGUACUUAAGAAGUCCUAGUGACUCACCUCUCUUUCCUGGAAAGCUACCUUCACUACUAUCCUUAUCUUUUUUUAGGUAAAAUACUUAGAACACAAGUCUUUAACCAUGUCUUCUCCAUCUCGCAUUUCUAAUGAAAGUGAAGGAACCAUCCUUAAAAAUCUUUUGGAAAAAAUAGCACAAGGUGUUCAAGCACUUUCAUAUAGACAAAUACAAUAUGAGGCCCAAUUCAAAGAAAGUGAUACUCAUUUUUCUUUGAUGCAAGAAGAGUUGAAAAUGGUUAAAGAAAGGAAUGAAUACAACAAAUCAAAAAGAAGUUCUCAUGCAUCUAGCUCUAAGGUAGACAAUUCUUUUGGGAACAAAGCUUUAGAAUUAAUGAAUAUUAUCAACCACUCCCUAGGAGAGCUAGAAAAGAAAGAAAAGAAAGCACUAAGGAGGUUAGGGUAGAUCUACCUUAUUUCCAUGGGAAAGAAAAUGUAGAAGUCUAUCUAGAUUGGGAAAUGAAGGUAGAACAAUUGUUUGCUUGCCAUAGAGUAAGUGAAGAAAGAAAGGUACCCUUAGUCACCCUAAGUUUUCAAGAUAAUGUUAUGUAUUGGUGGAAUGCCCUUGGGAGAAAAAGGCACCUUCAUAAUGACCCUCCCAUAGAGUAUUGGAAUGAUCUUAGGGGAGCUUUAAGACACCGCCAUAUUCCCUCCUACCACAUUAGGAAGUCAAUGGACAAACUCCAAGGACUUCAUCAAAAAAAUCUAAGUGUAGAAGAAUAUUGGCAAAAGAUGAUGCUAUAUAUAAUAAGGGCAGGGAUUAAUGAGGACAACCAUACCACCAUAUCUAGGUUUUUAAGUGGUCUCAAACUUGAGAUAAGAAACAAAGUUGAACUUUUACCCUAUAAAGAUUUAAAUGACUUGAUUCAACUUAGCAUUAAAGUUGAAAAACAAAUUUUGAGAAAACAAUCAAGUCAAAAACAAAGUUCAAACUCUGUAUCUUAUGACAAGAAAGAGGUCCAAAGAGGGGAAGAGCAUAUAAAAGAAACAUCUCUAGAACCUUCCCAAAACCUACCCAAAUACGUGCAUAUCUCACACACUCAAACUAGAGAAAUUCCAUGUUUUAAAUGUUUUGGUAAUGAUCAUUUAGCAUCUCAGUGUUCCAAUGAAAUCUAAGGCAAUGUCUCAUGAACUCUAUACUCUUUUACCUUUUGAAAAUGUUCCAUGGGAAGACAUAAGCCUAGAUUUUAUAUUAGAGCUUCCUAGGACAACAAAAGGUUUUGACUCCAUUUUUAUGGUUGUGGAUAGGCUCUUCUUUAGAGAAGCGGUAAGAUGUCAUGGAUUACCUAAAAGCAUAGUUUUGGAUAGAGGUCCAAAAGUUAUAGGCCAUUUUUUUAGGACUCUUUUGGGGAAAUUUGGAACUAAGUUGAGAAUUUCAAUUUUUAGUCAUCCUCAAACGAAUGGUCAAAACAAAGUUGAAAAUAUAGCUUUUUCUACUAUGUCUAGGAUAAUCAUGAGAGACAACCACAACUCUAGGGAUGAGUAUCUUUUCCAUAUUGAGUUUGCAUACAAUAGAGUAGUUCACAAGACUACCAAUAUUUCCCCAUUUGAAGUUGUAUAUGGAUUUAACCCUCUUACUCCUUUAGAUUUGUUACCCUUUCCUAACCCACAAACUUUUGUGCAUAAGGAAGGCGUUACCAAAGCUGAAUUUGUUAAAAAAAUGCAUGAGAGGAUUAAAGAACAAAUACAACAACAAAUAGAGAAAUAUUAUGAUAAGUUGUCAAAAACAAUAGAAAAACAAAAAGAAUGGCAACUUAAUAGAAUUGAUUUUUAUACAACUCCUCAAACUAACACAUUUGCUUUGUUUGAUGAUUCCCAUAGAUGGACGUUUGAUCUGGGAGGACGAGCAUAGUUGUCAAAGUAAGAGUCUGCUAUCCGAGAUCGACCUGUGGAUCUGAGGAUACAUUUUCUCAAGAAGGAGGAGAUAAUGGACACCAUCCAGACACAUACAUCCCCCUACUAAUGACGAGGACGAAGCCUUGGAUUUGAGGACAAAUCCUUUUCAAGAGGGAGGGGAUGAUGGAAGGGGCCCCAACACCAAUCCAUUGAAAGGCCACCAAACAUGUCAAAUUGAGGCAACCACUAGAGUUAUGGUCAAGAGGGUUCAAGAGGACGCAUUUUACAUGCCAUAAACUCUAGUGUAGAAUAGUUUUUAAAUUCUUGUAAAAAUUAGCAUAGGAAUUUUAUUUGUAAUUUUUCCUUAGAUGAAAUAUGGCACCUAAAAACCAACCUUGGUUAAAUUAGGAUUUCUAAAACACCUAAUUUUAACCAAGGCACAUUUUCUACAUAUUCCAUAUUUAACAUGUGCUAAAUUUUUUCCAUCACAUGUUAAAUAUGCUACAUGUGCUCCGUGUGCUAAGUGUAAAAUAGGCGCCACUUUCAAGUUCUUUUUCAUUUGAAAUUCCCUCCAAUUCUCUUGUUCAAAUCCAGCCCUCACUUGCUAUAUAAUGAGGUGUUUGGGUCAUGUAAAUUCAAGAUUAAUAUACUUAGUGAAUUGCUGCCAAAUUGUGCCAAUUUCACUUCUUGCCCAAAACCUCCUAGGUUAGGCUUUUAAUGUUCACAAACUUCCCCUUUCCAAGUAGAGUUGGCCUCACCACUCUCAAAUCCUACCUCUCAUGCACCUCCAAGGUCACCACCACUCCUAGGAGGACCUUGCUUUAUCUUCAAUCCAUGAUGCUUCCGCCAUUCACCAACAAAUUCCGAAAAUAUGAAGGCACAUCUCCAUCAUCUAUGGGCUGGAUCUUUAGUUGACAACUAACAUGCAUAGUGAUUUCCUAAAAACAGUGGAGUGUAUUUCUCAGUUUGAUUGGUUUUUAUCAUUAUAUUUCCGGUGGCUUUUGGGUUUUGUCUGAUCCACCUGUCAACUACGAGCACAGGUGGCGUGGAUGGAACACAACCGUUGCCGAGCAAAAAUCAGAUUAUGAAAACUUGCAGAACUUACUCACUUCAAUGUGCUUUACAUUGUACAAUAAAAAGGAGGACAUUGUUGUAUGGCAGAAGGCUAAGGAUAAUAGUUGCUAUUUGAAGCUUCCUAAAGAGACCUACCCACCAAAGUGUGAUGACAAAAUAAGUUGCUUCCUACAAGAAGUUGCUGCUUGAGCUUGGCACUGACAAAAUAAGAAAUGUGAUGGACAUGAAUACAGUGUGUGGAGCUUUUGCUGCACCUUGAUCAAUGAUCCCCUUUAGGUCAUUUAUGUGGUCUCAUCUUAUGGUCCCAACACACUCCCUGUGGUUUAUGAUCGAGGCCUUAUUGGAACCUUCCAUGAUUGGUAAGUUUGAACUUUUCAUUAUCAACCAUAAGGUUAUUACUUAUGAAUGUCUUUGUGUCAUUUCCUAUGGUAUGAUAUUUAUUUGAAUUUUAUUAUUUCAUAGGUGUGAGGCUUUCUCAACCUAUCCUCGAACCUAUGAUCUCCUUCAUCUUGAUGGAUUCUUCAGUGCAGAAAACCACAGGUGAAUAUGUAAACUUGUUUACUCUCAUUAGUAACUCAAAUAUGGACUCACUCUAAACUUCGAUUAUUGAAUAUGUUUCUGACAAUAGUUGUUCCUUAACAGAUGUGAAAUGAAGUAUGUGCUGUUGGAGAUGGACCGAAUUUUAAGACUUGGUGGCCAUGCUAUCAUUCGAGAGUCCACUUAUUUUGUGGAUGUUGUUGCAACUAUUGGGAAGGGCAUGCGAUGGAUGUACUGGUAGGCUAAAACCGAGAGGUUAAGCCGAAAGCUAAAUACCAAACAUAACCGAGAGGUUAUACACAAGUGUUGUGCUGAUAAGCUUUAGCCGAAAGCUAGAUACUACACAUAACCGAGAGGUUAUACAAUAAAAGAAUAAGACAAAAUAUAAAUAUUAUUAUAAUAAGGACCAAAUAAGAUAGAAACCUGCAUUAGGGGGUGCGUAAAUAAUAAAAUGGUGUGGAAAGAAAGUCCAAAGGUAAAGUGGAAAGCCCAUUAAAGAAAUCCUAUAAAUAGGAGGUUAACGUAAGAAAAAGGUAAGAGUGAUUUUUAUCUGAAAAACGUUAACCUAUUUCUGACUUUGGCAUCAGAGCGAUUUGCAGGUACACCCCCCAUCUGUGUGAAGGAGAAGCCGAGAGUACCCGCCGUAAGGAGAAGCCGAGAGCAGCCAACGUGAGGAGAAGCCGAGAGUAGCCGAUGUGAGAAGAAGCCGAGAGUAGCCAAUGUGAGGAGAAGCCGAGAGUAUCUGCCUUGAGGAGAAGCCCAGAGAGUCCAUCCCAAGAUUGGAAGAUUUGUAUAAGAGUUAAUCUUGUCAACCUGAUUCCAGUGUUCUUGGUCCCUAUUGUAAGAACAUUUUGGCGCCCACCAUGGGGCCGAGAAAUAGUUGAAAAAGGUAGAAGACAAGAUGAAUCAAAGAGAAGAACAAGGAGGGGAGCAGGCAGAUGAUGUUAGCAUGCCAAUGACAAUGUUGGUACAGCUACAGAAAGAGUUUGAGAUGUUAAAAAAAAGUAAUGAAGAAGAGCUAAGUGUGUUAAGAGCCGAAAAUGCACUCAUGAGGAGAAAGUUACAAGAAGAAACAGUUUUGAACUCAUCCUUUGAAACCGUUGAGCUGAGAGCACAAGUGAAUGAGAGGAUUCAUCAUAAUGAAAGUUCCCAAACAAAAAGAAGAUUGCUCGAAAAUUCUGAAGUUUUCGCAGCGGCAUCUUCAAGAAAACAUCCCUUAUAUGACGUUAUAGUUGAUACUCCACUACCUGACAAUUGGAAAAAUAUGACUAUUGACAAAUAUGACGGAAGCACAGACCCUGAUGAACAUAUCGCAAUAUAUACCACACAAAUUAGUUUAUAUACAUGGAACGAUGUUGUUAUGUGCAGGGUGUUCCCUACGACGUUGAGAGGUGCAACGUUAAGUUGGUUCACACGUCUCCCACCCUUAAGUGUAGACUGUUUUGAUACAUUGGUGGAAAAGUUUGGUGCUCAGUUCGCAACCAGUCGUCCUCAUCAUUUAACCUCGAUUGCCUUGGUAAACAUAAGGCAAGAGAAGGGAGAGUCGUUGAGGAUGUUCAUGGAACGCUUUGGAAGAGUUGCCCUGGGAAUUCGAAAUCUCAGCCCAGAGGUUACCAUGCAUCAUAUGAUAACAGUGUUGAAACCAGGACCAUUUGCUGACAGUCUUUGCAAGAAACCCGCGACCAAUUUGGAUGAGUUAAGACAACGAGCAUCGAAAUUCAUGCAAAUGGAAGAGUUGAGAGAGUUUUGAAAUCAAGUCAGGGUUGAUGGAGGUGAAAAGAAGGCGAUAGAAAGAGAAAGUGGACCUGUGGCUAGAAGAGCUAGAGAAGAAUUUAGAAGCCGAAAGUUCUAGCAAUACACACCUUUAAAUACGAACAGAACAAGAGUCCUGCAGGAAGCCAUGGCGGCAGAGAUAAUACCACCACCUAGAAAAGCAAGAACACCGGAAAGGGCAGACCACACUAAACAUUGUGAAUACCAUAAAAAUCAUGGUCAUCAUACAGAAGAAUGUAUUGGGUUGAAAGAUAGGAUAGAGGAAUUAAUUCAAGGUGGGCAGUUGAAACGUUUUGUUUGAGGAGGAAAUACAAGACUGAGGUUAAGUCCGGAGAGAGGUUUGAGAGGGGGUGAGAUAGGAGAGAGAAGGGUGGAGAGAUUUGAAAGAAGAGAAAAUAAAAGAGUAGAAAAGAGAUAUGAUAGAAGGGGUGGAAGGCCGGAAGGAAGAAAUGAUAGAGCUUAUCAAAACACGCAGUCAGUAAGGCGAAGUAGGGAGCGAAGUCUGGGAAGGCCUGUCAGGGGGUUCAUAAACACAAUUUCAGGUGGUUUCUCUGGAAAGGAAUCCUCAUCAGCAAGGAAACAACAUUGGAGAAGUAUCAGAACCAUUAAUCAUAUUUUCGAAAGAAGAACUUUGCCACCAAUGCUUUUUACAGAUGAAGAUUUUCAAGAAAUUGAUCCUGAUCACGACGACCCUAUGGUGAUAACGGUAGAAAUAGCCGAAUAUGCCGUCAUGAAAACCUUGGUUGAUUAGGGGAGUUCAGUUGAUAUUUUAUUUUGGGAUACUUUCAAGAGGUUGCAUUUAAGAGAAAAAGAUAUUGUACCUUUCCGAGAACAAAUCAUUGGCUUCUCGGGGGAGAGAGUUAGCACGAAAGGAUACGUUGAUUUGAUGACAACAUUUGGAAGAGGCAGUAAAACUAAAAAGAUCAAAAUCAGGUACUUGGUGGUGGAUGCUUCUACAUCAUACAAUGUGUUGUUGGGGCGAUCUUCUUUGAACAAGUUGGGAGCAAUAGUCUCAACACCACACUUAGCCAUGAAAUUUCCAACAGAGAAGGGGGAGAUAGCAACGGUUUAUGUCAAUCAAAAAGAUGCUCGAGAGUGUUAUGCAACGGGUUUGAAGAUGAAUUUGAAAGCAAAUAAAGAUACUGAAAGAAUGGUGGCAAUGGCAGAUUUGGACCCAAGAUUAAAUGACGAAAGGUUAGAACCAAAAGAAAAGACCACAACUGUGGUAUUGGGCCAGGACGAGAAGCAAUGCACUUAUAUAAGUGGAAGUUUGCCCGAAGAAUUGUUGAACAAACUCAUCACAGUGUUACGCAACAACAAAGACUUAUUUGAUCCAGAGGUAAUUUGUCACAAAUUGUCUGUGUGUCGAGAAGCGAGACCGGUAUCUCAAAAACAAAGAAAGUUGGGAGAAGAAAGGCGAAAGGCAGCAAUUGAAGAAACCGAGAAGUUGAUGCAAGCUAGUUUCAUUAAAGAGGCUCAGUACACGACAUGGUUAUCCAAUGUGGUACUUGUUAAGAAACCGAAUGGAAAAUGGAGAAUGUGUAUAGACUAUACAGACUUGAAUAAAGCCUGCCCGAAAGAUACAUAUCCAUUACCCAACAUAGACCGAUUGGUAGAUGGGGCGUCUGGACAAGAGAUGAUGAGCUUUCUCGAUGCCUAUUCAGGGUAUAAUCAAAUACAAAUGUAUGAACCGGAUAUUCCAAAAACAACUUUCACCACAGAUACUGCAAAUUAUUGUUAUAAAGUCAUGCCUUUUGGUUUGAAGAAUGCUGGAGCAACAUAUCAAAGCUUGAUGGACAAGGUGUUCAAAGAUCAAAUUGGAAAGAACAUGGAAGUUUAUGUUGAUGAUAUGGUUGUGAAAUCAGAAGAGGUAGAGAAACAUUUGGAAGACCUUGAGGAAGUGUUGGCACGCAUAAGAGAGUACAAUAUACGUCUCAAUCCAGAAAAAUGCAUUUUCAGCGUCAAAGGUGGAAAAUUUUUGGGCUUCAUGCUAACCAAUAGGGGAAUUGAGGCAAAUCAUGAUAAAUGCGAAGCAAUAAUGAAGAUAGGAAGUCCAAAAAACUUGAAGGAAGUGCAAAGACUAGUUGGAAAGCUAAACUCAUUGUCAAGAUUUUUACCAAUAUUGGCAGAAAAAACUAAACCGAUAGUAAACCUGUUAAAAAAAUUCGAAACCUUUGAGUGGAGUGAGAGGUGUGAACAAGCCUUUUCUCAAAUCAAAAGUAUGGUAGCUGAACCACCAAUCUUAGUUAAACCUGUGUCAACCCAACCCGUCAUAGUGUACUUAACAACUUCAAAUGAAGCCAUAGGAGCAGCAUUGAUCCAAGAGAACCCGGAGCAAAAACCAAUAUAUUUUGUAAGUAGAUCCCUCCAAAAUGCCAAAACCAGAUACCCCAAGGUCGAAAAAGUUGCCUUAACACUGGUGUACGCCGCGAGACGUCUUCGGCCAUAUUUUCAUAAUCAUCAGAUAAUUGUGAGGACAGAUUAUCCAAUAUCUAAAAUUUUGAGAAAACCAGAACUUGCAGGUAGAAUGGUGACAUGGUCAAUGGAGCUUUCAGAAUAUGGAAUCAAAUAUGAACCAAGAGGACCAAUCAAAGCCCAAUCCCUUGCAGAUUUCAUCAUCCAGAUGCCGACAACAGCACAACAGGAACAGUGGACAUUAUAUGUAGAUGGCGCGUCAAGCAAAAAAGGAAGCGGAGCAGGGAUAGUACUUGAAGGACCAGACAACUUCCAAAUAGAGAUGGCAUUGAGAUUCGAGUUCAGAACAUCCAACAACCAAGCCGAAUACGAAGCUCUUGUUGCAGGAUUAUUAUUGGCCAGAGACAUGGGAGUCGAAAAUGUCAUUUGCAAAAGUGACUUUCAACUCUCAGUGGGACAGGUACGAGGAGAUUAUCAGGUAAAAGAUCCAUUAUUAAUGCAAUAUUAUCAUAAGGUAUUAAAUAUUAUGCAAUGCUUCAAUAAGGUCGAAAUAAAAUAUAUUCCGAGAGAAUUGAAUAUGAAAGCAGAUUCAUUAUCCAAAUUAGCAAGUCAACAACGACAACUACAACAUAACUCAGUCAUACAACAAACCCUCAGUCAUCCGACAGUUGGUUUAGAGGAAUGCUUCCAUAUUGCAACAUCAAAAGAUGAAUGGAUAAAAACAUAUAUAGAAGUGAUAAAGAACCAAGAGCAAGGUGUUGAACUGGAUACAAAAAUGACAAAGAAUGUGGCUAGUUUUGUCUUAAUUGGAGAUGAACUCUACAAAAGAGGACAUUCAAUGCCUUUGUUAAAAUGUCUCUCAAAAGAGCAAGCUCAGUAUGUAGUGAAAGAACUUCAUGAAGGAAUUUGUGGAUUACACUGUGGAGCUCGGACAAUGGCAACAAAAGUUUGCAGAGCCGGAUAUUACUGGCCAACACUCCGAGAAGAUUGCGAAAUCUAUGUUAAAACAUGCAAGAAAUGUCAAGAGUUUGGAAGUUUAAAUCAUAUACCAGCACAAGAGUUGCAAGGAAUUAUUUCUCCAUGGCGAUUUGCAAAGUGGGGAAUUGAUAUACUUGGUCCAUUUCCACUUGGACGAGGACAACCUAAGUUCAUGAUAGUAGUUGUAGACUACUUUACAAAAUGGAUAGAAGCAUUGACUAAGAUAACAGCUCAGCAAGUUCAAACGUUUGUAUGGAAAAAUAUAAUAUGUCGAUUUGGAAUCCCACACACCAUUAUAACUGACAAUGGCCGACAAUUCAUUGACAAAAAACUUAUGGAAUUUUAUGCAGAUUUGGGGAUCAAGUCAACAAACACUUCAGUUGAACAUCCGCAAACGAAUGGACAAGCAGAAGCUGCAAACAAAGUUAUUCUCAGACAGUUAAAGAAGAGGUUAGGAAGCGCUAAAGGUUUAUGGGCAGAGAAGUUGCCAAAGAUAUUAUGGGCUUAUAGGUGCACACCACAAACUUCAACUGGUGAAACACCAUUCAAUGUCACAUACGGAACGGAUGCAAUGCUACCCGUAGAAGUAAAUGAACCAACACUACGAAGGCAAAUAGAGGACAGGAAUAUUAACAAUGAAUGUUUGAGGACCGACCUUGAUCUUAUUGAAGAACUUAGAGAGCGAGCAAAAAUAAAAGAGGCAGCAGUAAAGAGAAGAGCGAUGAAGAGGUUCAAUGUGAAAGUAAAAUUAAGAGACUUUAAAGAUGGGGAUUUGGUAUGGAGAAUGCGAACUAAUGCACGAAAAGAUCCGUGACAUGGAAAGCUGGCAUCUAACUGGGAAGGUCCGUUCAGGGUAUUAGAAAAUUUGCAAAAUGGAGCUUAUAGAUUAGAAACUUUGGAAGAGAAAGUGAUAUCAAGUGACAAUUUAUCUCGUUCACUUUCAUUUAUUCGGUCUUGGAUGAUUUCACUCCACGUGAAAACCCACCCGAAAAAACAUCUACUCAUAAUACCUUCGGUCUUGGAUGAUUUCACUCCACGUGAAAACCCACCCGAAAAAACGUAUAUUCAUAAUACCUUCGGUCUUGGAUGAUUUCAUUCCAGGUGAAAACCCACCCGAAGAACACAUACUUAUAUUGCUUUCGGUCUUGGAUGCUUUCACUUCAAGUGAAAUCCCUCCCGAAAGAAUAUUGCCUAAUAAAACCAUUGGUCCUAAAUGUUUACAAUUCAAGAGAAAUUCCUCCCCAGCAAAAAUUUUUCAUAUAAUUCUUUCGGUUUCAAAUGCUUUCACUUCAGGUAAAAUCAUUUCAUGUAAAUACUCUUGCCAUAAACUAUUAUCUCGUGAUCCAACAUAAUUGUUGAAUAGUGAUGCCGAAAAAACAAAUAGCGAAUGUUUGCUACAUCGAAUAAAUUAGACUAACAUAUACUUCACAACAUAAUAAGCCGAAUAUUAAAGCCGAAAACGUGAGACAAAAGUAUUUUCGAUCGAAAGAAUAAAUCACAAUCUAAAUCACAAGGAAGUUGUUUUCUUUCGGUUAAACUAAAAAUCAAUACUAAAACCGAAAGGUGGUCUCAGUGCUUUAAAAUAAAAAACCGAAAGGUAAUCUCAGUGCUUUGAAGUUAAAAAAACCGAAAGGUAGUCUCAGUGCUUUGAAGUUAAAAAAACCGAAAGGUAGUCUCAGUGCUUUGCAGUUAUAAAAACCGGAAGGUAGUCUCAGUGCUUUGAAAACCGAAAGGUGGUCUCAGUGCUUUGAAGUUAUAAAAACCGAAAGGUAGUCUUAGUGCUUUGAAAACCGAAAGGUAGUCUUAUUUUAAGGUUAUCGAAAUUGAGAAGUAUAGUUAAGCACUCGUAACCAAAAUAUGGCAUUUAAAACAUUUUCAAUAAAAUAAUCGAAAGAUUAAGCAUCGAGAGGUUAAAACCGAGAGGUUUAUCGUAACAUUUAUUUGUAACUGAAAAACAAAAUUAAUCAUGCAACCGAGAGGCACGACCACGAGUUCAAUAAUAGCCGAAAAAUGAGAAACAUAAAGUAAUAUCCAAUAAAUAACAAACAAAAUAACACAAAUUAAAAAGAAACCGAUAAGCUUUAUACGUACUAAGGUUUCAAAAAAGGGAUUACAUUAAGAAUGCAAAUAUUCAUACAUGGAUCAGCAUUCCAAAACAAAUUCACUCUCGUUAACUAAACCGAGAGCUAUAAACAAAAAUAAGAGCAUAUAUCCGUCUAGCUCUCAGCAUCAACAUCAUCAGCAUCAUCCUCAAAAAUUUCAUUAACAGGUACUAAGUUACCAUUAUAGAAAUCUUUCAUGACAUCAAAAUUGCCUUCAUCUAUAGGAAUCUUGUAGAAAUACUUUGCCUGUGCCAAAGCCUUUACAAAGCCUAGCUUAUGCUGCGCCAAAAUAAAGUUUUGAGCUUCAAAAACAUCCACCUUCAACUGCUCAAUUUCAUCUUCCAUACCUUUAAUAGUGUUGGUAUUACAAUCCUUCACCGAAGAUAACUCCGAAACUUUCUUCUCAAGAAGUUGAUUAUUAUUACGAAGAUCAUUGAUUUCUUCACCAAUUUUUGAACUCGCAACCUUCAAAUCCGAAACUUGUUUCUCAAGAUUUUCUUAUUCUAUCCCUUGUUGCUUGCUCUGCAAACUCAUCUCUUCCAAUUGCAAACUUAGUGCAGCAUUUUUCUCAUUACUCUCGGCAAAAUCAUUCUUUAAUUUUUCAAAUUCAGCAAGAGUCACACAAUUGCCAUUCUUUGCUUUCAGCAUUUUACCAAUCAAAAGCGUCCUACUUGAAAGCUCGAUGAUAGAAUCAGCUAAAGAAGCAUAGUCCUCAGCUUUCAACAGGUUGUAUGAAAACUCAGUAAACGAAGUUUGAACAAACUUGGCAUACUUCAUAGAAGCACCAAAAAUGGAUUCGGGAAGAGGCUCAGUUGAAAUAUCCUCACAAUGACGAUGGCGUCGAGAAGAAGAAUGUGAUUUUUUGCUACUUCUACCACGUUUCUUGGACUUUUUCGAAGGACCAGCAACAUGGUCAUCCUUCGCAGUUUCAGGGGCUUCAGUACGAGAAGGAGGUUCCGCAGUUUCCACCUCCAAUACCGGAUUGACCACAUUUUUAUGCCGCGGAGUAACAUCGCCAGUUCUGUUAAGAAGUUUUGUAAAAUAUGAACGACCUUUCGGAUCGAUGGCCGCCAUUAAUGCUGAAAACCAAUGAAAAAUUUAGCAAAGUUAAAAACCUCAUGCUAUAAAACAAGAAAAAAUCGAAACAAUCACAUACCGAUGAAAUCCUCUUGCGGACUCUUCGAAGUAUAUAACUGUAGUAAAGCGCGAGUGGGAAUCCGAUACGAGAAAUGACCAAAAACUUCAAUAACACGACGAUCAGCAGCAUUCAUCGAGUGGCACGACCACGAAUUGAACCUUAAUGGAUCUUGCGUCCAAUACAAGGGAAAUUUUGGAGUGUCCCCAUCAAAAAAACACUCUCUUCCUUCGGGCUCUAUUAGGAUCUUGAAAAAAUUUCCUUUAAAAUCCUUAUAUGACGACGUAAAAGGCUUAAGAAAGCAAAUAUCAGACUUACUAAUCAAAGACAACCAACUCGGUCGUUUACCUGGCUGAGAGCUAUAAUAAUACAAAAAAGAUCUAGGGCUGGGAGAGAGUGACAACAAUUUACACAAAAUACUAAAAGCUUGCAUUGAUGCCCAACCAUUAGGAUGAAGCUGGGUGGGAGCAAUAUUAAGAAUGUUAAGAACGCCCAUUUGAAAAUCAUUCAAGGGCAAUCGAAUAUGGAGGUCCCUAAAAAAGCAAGCAUAAAAAUAAAAAAAAUCGUUGUUAUCGCCCUCUCGACCAUGACAGACAUUAUCAACAUCACCCACACGCCGAAAGGAAAUUAUAUCAUUCUCAAAAUCAGAAUAAUCUGAGAAUUAGAAACAAAAUCACGAAGCUCAUUAGCAGAGCGAUAUCGAGAGAAGAAGUCUCGGACCUUAGGAUUAACCCAGUUGUAACCUGGACGAAGAGUCUUCCUUGGAGAAAUCAUUCUAACUCUUUCGGCAACAGUUGCGAUAACGACAUCAUUUGAGUCUUUCAUACAAAAAAGGGUAGCAGAAGAAGACUUUGAUUCAAGAUCUUGUUCUCCUCGUACCACUCGACCAGUGGACUCACCACCCGCGCUUGAAAAAUCACUCAGAUCAUCUGAACUAGAAGAAGAUUUCGGAUUAGACAUUGUUACCUUUGAAGAAAGAAGACUUCAAACGUCCUAGCUCUCCGCAAACAAUACAAACCGUAGAAAAUGAUAACAGCUUGAAUACAUUGCCUAUUUAUAAUAUAAACAAAACCCUAGAUACUGAAAAGUCACAACCCUUCCAAGCCGUUCAAAAAAUCAAUCAUCUAAGGGUUCAAAGAGUCUUGAUGUCAAAUCAUUCAGUCUGAGAAAGCAAAACACAGUAAACGAGGCAUUUAAUUCAAAUCAAAUCAUAUCUCAAAACCAUAAUUUUAGACAUAAACAAUUUUAUUUUAUUUCUUAAAACCUUUAAAUUAAAUUCUUUAUGCCUAGGGGGCCAGUGUACUGGUAGGCUAAAACCGAGAGGUUAAGCCGAAAGCUAAAUACCAAACAUAACCGAGAGGUUAUACACAAGUGAUGUGUUGAUAAGCUUUAGCCGAAAGCUAGAUACUACACAUAACCGAGAGGUUAUACAAUAAAAGAAUAAGACAAAAUAUAAAUAUUAUUAUAAUAAGGACCAAAUAAGAUAGAAACCUGCAUUAGGGGGUGCGUAAAUAAUAAAAUGGUGUGGAAAGAAAGUCCAAAGUUAAAGUGGAAAGCCCAUUAAAGAAAUCCUAUAAAUAGGAGGUUAACGUAAGAAAAAGGUAAGAGUGAUUUUUAUCUGAAAAACGUUAACCUAUUUCUGACUUUGGCAUCGGAGCGAUUUGCAGGUACACCCCCCAUCUGUGUGAAGAAGAAGCCGAGAGUACCCGCCGUAAGGAGAAGCCGAGAGCAGCCAACGUGAGGAGAAGCCGAGAGUAGCCAAUGUGAGAAGAAGCCGAGAGCGGCCAAUGUGAGGAGAAGCCGAGAGUAUCUGCCUUGAGGAGAAGCCCAGAGAGUCCAGCCCAAAAUAGGAAGAUUUGUAUAAGAGUUAAUCUUGUCAACCUGAUUUCAGUGUUCUUGGUCCCUGUUGUAAGAAUAAUGGAUAUGUUGCAAAGAAAAGACUGAGUAUGGAGUUGACAAAGAGAAGGUUUUGAUAUGCCAGAAAAAGCUAUGGCCUUCAUCCAACACAGGUUCAAGAUGACAAACUCUGGAACCUCUGGAGUGGCUAGAAUCGUAAAUCCAGAAGCAGAAGUUAAGGGAACGACUUCAGAGCCACCCUCUACAAAACAUUGAUUCAUUCUAUAAUUUAAGUCAAGAAUCGGUCGAUUUCAUUUAUCAGAUGGAAAAUUGGUAACUCAAUAAUCUGAUUUUGCUAAGUUAAUUAUAUAGAAAAUUUUCAUAUAGAUACUAUUCUUUAUAUGGCAUCAAUUGUAUCAGGUAUCUCUCGUAUACCUACUUUGUUGUUGUUGUGUAAUAUCUAGUGAACUCAUGUGAAAAAAUAGAAGUUUUGAAUUCUACAGAAAGCAUAUGAUCUGCUACUAUUCAUGAAUUGGAAUUCCUUAACAGAGAAAAUACAAUGUGUUGUAUUAAUGCUGGGUAGUAUUACAUUAGUACUCUAUGAUAAUUUAAAAUUGAAUGUCGUAUUAUAAAGAUUUUUAUUAAUAACAGCAUAAGCAUGUAACAUAAAAACCAUAAACCGGUGAGAGCAGAACAAUUUUUCUUUUUUUUCCGCAAUAAUAUCGUAUAUAUAGUCAUAUGAUUCAUUCAUAUGAAAGUGAAAUUAUUAUCGCUGUCUUCCAAAUUACAAUACACAGUUUCAAGAAGAUAAUUCUCCACUUACGCUGUAUGUUAUUUUGGGUGUAUAAGUUGAUAUUUGCAUUUUCUUUAAUCAAUGGAAGAGUGAAGAACCUUCUUGUUUCUCGUAUGACUCGCAAAUUUCAUUUUCAUGGUACGGAGAACAUCAGGUUCAGGUAAUUUCAAAUUUGUGUUUCACAAAAAACAUUCAAAUAUAAUUAUCUACUACGGUAAAAAAGUACCUUUGAUGAUUGAUGGUUGAAUUUUACAAGUCCCUAAAUGUUAAAGUAGAUUAAGUCAAAAGAUUGUUUUACAUGUGAUUGAAAUUACAUAAAAUAGAAUAAGGCAACAUAGUCAUUCUAUAAGUAGAAAUGUUUCUAAGCUUAAAAUGUUACAAAACAUUAAGAGGAUAAGAUUUCAUGGUUGAAGAAAAAUACAUUUGAGUAAAAUUUAGGAGUUAGUAUUGAAGGAGAUUCUGUGAGCUCAUAUAAGGAAUCAAUCACCUUUAAUGUUCUGACAUCCUGUAUGGAAUACACGUUAGAUAAAAAAACAAGUGAGCAAUGUAGUAAGUUUGGUCACAAAAAUCAUAUUCAAAGAAAAAUUUGACAAAUAUAAAAGUUGGGCCAAUGUGAGAUUUGGAGUGAGACAGACAUUUCUAUUUAAUAACUUGUGUAAAACAAAAUGAUGAUAAAUAAAAGUCCUACAAACAUACUUAAAAUCACAUCCACUAGCAUGCUGUCAUCGGAAACUUGCCCAUUGGCAAUUGGUAAGCAACCGUACGUCACAGUAAAAGAUUACCAACUAAAGUAAACGAAAUAAUCAUACCCAUUAUCAAAUACUUGUAUCGUGAAAUUUGACACUUCAUGAUGAGUGCUUAACAUCGAUUUGUGCCCAGAAAAUUCCGUUAUGUCCAGAAAAUUUACCAUUGAUUUGUGUCCAGAAAAUUUAACAUCGAUUUGUGCUUAACACCUAAUAGUCGUGUUUCUUUACCAUGAUAUAUCUUUGAUCAAAUUUUUAAUCGCAGAAUUUAAGACAAUCAGGACACUGCAAUUUCAUAUUCUGUAGUAGCUGUUUCUUCUUGCACCGGUUUUUUAGAUAAGGAUAUUCGCGUAUCCUUAAAGAAAACAAGUUGGUGAGUAGUUGAAUGCUACUCGGUAGUGACCUCAACUCUUCACAGCUAAAAUGAUAUAUAUGACAUAUAACAUUAUAAUAUAAGACUCAUCAAAUCAUUUCUUUUCCUGCCUACAAUCAUAUCAAAGAGUAAUUAUUAAUGGUCUAAGUCUUUCAUUUUUCUGCCAAAGUCAUUGAGAAAAUAGAGAUUCUUCUAUGUAAACAACACACUAGCUCUUAGUUAUUAAUAGAGCACUAAGCAAGCAAUUAGGAACGUACGCCAAUAACAUAAAUAAAUCCAGCUUAGUAUGUAAAUUUUAAACACAAUGGAGAUCUAAUAACUUCUCUGCAAAAAACCAAACAGUACAAGGUAGUGAUUGUUUGAUCUCUUCCAAACGAAAUAACAUCCUAGAAGUGUUCAUAUGAAUUUGGUAGAGCAUUAAAAAGAAUAUGAACUUAUCUUCAUUCUCCAGUUUCAUUUCAAGAUUCUCUAUAUGUGAAGGCACUGACAAAGGACAGUGGCAGAAGAAAUACAUAAGUGCAUCUUUACUUGGUUUUAAACCAACAAACUACCAACCAAAACCAUUUAUUAAAUUGCAAAUAUCUUCUGCUACUCGUAGCACCGCGACCAUACAAAACUUAGUAACUAGCCAUUUCUUAUCGAUAUGCUCUGUUUCUCAAAUGAUAUCUUGCCGCCUAGUAGAUAUAUCCUUGUAGAAUUGCACACACAAACAAUUAAAUCCAAAUUUUAAGCCUACGCAGUUAUUUUGAAUCAAAUUAAUGAGUGUCCAUACUAGUGUUAGUAAGCAAUUUUUUCAAAAUCAAAUUUUAUACAUGUUAAAUAAACCAUUCAAAAAUAGAAUUUUGUACAUGUUAAGCAAACAAUCACAAAUAUCUCUUACCACUUACACUUUCAAAACAAUUCAGUAAACAAUAUUUGAUCCUAAACAAAUUCAAAACCAAUUUUAUACCAAUUUGCUCUUGCAUCCAAUUCUAUAUACAUUGAGAUAGCUACAUUCAUCAUGUAUUUUAUUCAUGAAAAACUUGCCCUCAUUUUCCAAUGCCUGUAUUUAUGUUGUCCAAUGUUUUAUUCUGUACUUUGCAUUUUCUGCAUUGCACUACAUUUAUUUUGUUUCAUGGGUAACUUUGCACCUACUGCAUUGCAGUGCCAGUGAUCUUGGUGCACUUCAGCAACUCUUGGUUGAUCAACCAAUGUCCAGACAGAAGAAGGUAUGCUAGAAUUAUCUGUGGGGUAGUAGAAGUUAUGUUUUAAUCAUUAAAUAAAAAAUGGAUAUAAUCAUUAAAUAAAAAAUGGAUAUGCAUGUCAACGCCAUUAAUUUCAACUAAUACUUAUGAUAAUCAUUAGGAAUGCUUCACUUGGCCUCUUAAUGCUUCUAGGACCUCCUAUAUGAUCUUUAGAUCACUGUUGGAGCAUUGAUAAUUUUUUAUUUAUUUUGAAUUGAGCAUUGUUAAUGAAUAGAAUCUACUACUAUACUAUAUUUACUUACGAAAUCUGGAUUGCUAUAUUUAGACAUUAUAAGAUGUCAAAUUUAAUUCAACGUUUUUAAAGUAAACUGGAGUUCGUAAAAUUAUUUUGUUUAAGGAAUUUAUAAACUAAAACUCUAAAAGUCUGGUGCUACCCUUAUUCUGUUUUCAUUCUGGCAAUCACGUUUUAGGCUUAUUAAUACUGCUUACCCUUAAUAGCUUGGUAGGCAGGGCAUUAUGGUUUCAACUCAUGCUCUAUGAAACUAGAAAAAGAAAAACAAAACGGUGAAAGUUACAACUUGUUUCUUAUUCAGAUAAUAGUUCUACAAUCAUUUUUUAUUUAGUUCCUCUCCUAAAUUUGUUUAUUUUAUCCUUGUUUCAAUCUUGAUUUCAGUAAUUUGGGAAGUCUAGGCUUGCAAGUGGCCAGAUUAGUCUUUUGUCAGAUUUGGUAAGCCUGUAAGUAUCAGCAGCCAAAUUUUAUAUAUGGUAGUCUUCUUUCACAUGAUGUGGUUAAAUUGAUAUCUGGUUGUCAUGUUAUAAAAAUAAGUAUAGUUUCCAUUAUUAUUAUGUUCUCAUUAUAUUUUGUUUAGCUUAUAUAUGUGUUUGUUCUAUCAUAAUCAAGGUUGUCAACCCAAAAGUCUAUGUAAACUUGAUGUUUACGAAGAUUUAAAAACCUCAACUCAAACUCAUAAAAAAAGUUUAACAUAUUGGUUCACAUAACAAUUAUAAUAGAAAAGCAAGAUUAAAGAAAAUAAUUGCAUUAUAGAAAGUUUUAUAGUACAUGUCUUACGCAUACAGAUAGAUUUUGGUGUUUAAGGCACCUUAAUCUUAUUUGAGUAUAGUUCAUGAAAGUGUGAAAUAUAAGCAGCAGGAUCACAACAGAGGAAUUUUAGACAUGAGAUUGUGCAUUAAAUCCUGCAGUAGUUAGAAAUCCUGACUUUAAAAUAGCAAUGAAUGAAUCAUUUGUAGAAUGUAAUCCCAUUUUGGUACUAAAAGACGAGAGACGUACAUGAUGAAUAAUGCACCUUUGCUUAUAGAUACAAGAAGUUCAUUCUCCACUUACGCUUUAUGUUAUUUUGGGUGUAUAAGUUGAUAUUUGCUUUUUCUUUAAUCAAUUGAAGAAUGAAGAACCUCAUUUCUGAAUUUGAAGUUGGAGAAGUUGAAGUUGUGUGUGAUGCAAUCUGAAGGUUUAAAAAAGCACUAGACUUUGUGCCUUUUAAUGGUAAGGAAACGUAGAAGUGAUAACAUAGAAAGGUAUACAUAUGUCAUUGAAAUUACAAGUAUCCGUAAAAGAAUAAAUCCAGACAACAUAGAAAUGUGUCUAAGCCUAAAAUAUAACAAAGCACUAAGAGGGUAAGGAGAUUCUGUGAGGAAAUACAAGUCAUCCACUUCAUCUACGGUCAGUCAUCUUCAAAGUUCUGACAUCCAAUAUGGGAGAUGAUACAUAAGAUAAGAAAACAAGGGAGCAAUGUAGUAAGUUUGGUCACAAAAAUCAUAUUCAAAGAAAAAUUUCACAAAUAUAAAAGUUGGGCCAAUGUGACAUUUGGAGUGAGAUAGACAUUUCAAAUGAGUAGCUAGAAUAACAUCUAUAUUUAAUAACUUGUGUAAAACAAAAUGAUGAUAAUUUAGCAUUGAUUUGUGUCCAAAACUUUUAAUCAAACAUAUAUAUUGCUUACACUUAAUAGUACUGUUUCUUGACCAUGGAAUAUCUUUGAUCAAAUUUUUAAUCUCAGAAUUUGAGAAAAUCAGGACACUACAAUUCAUAUUCUGUAGUAGCUGUGUUUGUAUCACUUUAAUCUUGAAAUUUCUUUGAGUUUUUGUUUCUUCUCUCAGGGUAGAUCCUUUUUAAGGCAUGUUUUCUUAUGACAAUGAAAACAUUUAAACUUGCUUUGUGAUUGAUUUAUGGAUUUAGAUCUAUGCUUGUUUAGUUUGGAAUUUCUUUUCUCUGAUCUGCCCUACAUAAUAUUCAAACAUUCUGCAUUAUUUUUAGUAGUCAUAUCUUCCGCUUUUUGAGAUUUCUUUAUUUGAAUUGAGCACUGCACAUGAAAAGUGAUUGUUUGAUCUCUUCCAAACGAAAUAACAUCCUAGAAGUGUUAAUAUGAAUUUGGUAGAGCAUUAAAAAGAAUACGAGCCAUAUCUUCAUUCUAGAAAAAAAAAGAGGUUAAAGAAAGAAUAAGAUGAUUUUAUAACAGGCAUUAUAUCACCUAGAAAGUGCAUAUAAAAAAACUGAUUUCCUUUUACUACUUUAUCUGGACAAAAACAUUACUGUCUAAGCUAAAUCAUAAGAUACAUUUUAUGAAAUGGGAAGACAUCAAACAUAAAAGUGGGUAAAACUGAAACCUUGUUUUAUUAUUCAGUAUAUACACUACGCAAAAGGCUACCCAAUUUUUGAAGGACAGAGUGACACAUUAGGGAGAGAAGUAAACAAAACACUCUUGAAUUUACCACAAAAAAGUCGGUUUCGUUUUGGAAAAAAGUUGUAUUUCUGGAAUGUGGUUUAUGUAUUGCCA